rnacentral:lncRNA from 1 species
UUGGCUUUUCAUUUCCUAGCUUGACUGACUCUCUCUCUCUCUGUCAUCCUAACCUUGUGGGCAGCCAUGGCAGAACCAAGCAGAGGAGGUAUGUUACAACUAAACACCCUAUUUGAAAUUUCGAUUGUGUGAAAUUUAUAUUUAUCAUACUAUAUCUUUUAGUUCGUAACCUAUUAUUAACUUAAAAGUAAACUUAGUUAGAUUUAUUCGAGUUGUGAAUUGAAUUGAAAUAAUCGGUUAAAUUCUAUGAUAGAUUAGUCAAUGGAUUUAAAUUUUUAAUUCAGAUUAAAAUUUAAAAUCAGAAGGACUAAUUAAAAACUUCUCUUCUUAAUUGAAAUUAAAAUUGAACUAAAAUCGAUAAUUUAAAUUAAUCGUACAGUUUAGUUUCGAUUUGAUUUUAAAUUUUUAAAAUAAAUUAUCUUAUAAAAUUCUGUAAAUUUUUAAAAUUAAUAUAUAGAUAAAUCAAAUUAUUAAAUAAUUAAGUUAAAUUUUUUACUCGUAAAAAAUAUAUUUCCAUUUAAUUUUUUUUAUAUUAUAUGAAUGGGUAUAUUUUGUAAAAAAAUUAUUUAUUGAAUUAUUAAUUAAAUAAUUUUUAGUACUCAUAUUUAUUUCUUUACGUUUUAUUUAAUUUUAACUAAAUUUUUUAAAAAUUUUUUCACGUAUGUGUGGAAUUUAUGUUUGAUAUCAAUGCCAACCCACAAAAUUGCAGAAUAACAAAAUUAGCAUUUGAUCCAGGUGUUCACAAGUACAGCUUUGAAGAGCUAGCAAAAGCAACAGGUGAUUUCUCCAACAACAACCGCGUUGGACAGGACGGUUCUGGUGAAGUUUAUGAAGGAACACUUCCCAAUGGUAAACAAGUUGCGAUUAAGAGGCUUCAAUAUAAUUCAGAUCCUGAGAAACAGCAAGUGGAACUUCUAUUUGAGAAUGAGGUUAAAACCAAUAGCCGCACUCGUCACCCGAAUAUUGUGGAGGUCGUCGGAUACUGCAGCGAAGAAGCUGAUCGAUUGAUUGUUUACGAGUUCGUGUCCAACAAGAGCUUGAAAUCUCAUCUCUAUGGUGAGUACUUCUUAAAUUUUCUCAUUGGAUUUAUAAUUUAUUUAUCAUGAGAAUUAAAUGAUUAAGCCAUUUUGUUUGGUUACACAAGUGGGAAGAAGACAGCUGGCGACCGCCCCGAUCGAUUGGCCAACCAGAAUGAAGAUUGCUUUGGGUAUAGCAGAAGGAUUGGCAUAUUUGCAUGAAGAAUGUGAGGUUUUAACUUUAUUUAGUUUUUUUUUUUCCCAAGUUUUCUAUAUUGCACAUUAUACUUUUUAAUUUUAUGCAUUUUUAGGUAAAUCAGGAAUCAUCCACCGAGAUAUUAAAAGUGAUAAUAUUCUUCUCGAUGAUAAAUUUAAUCCUAAGGUAUGAUGAUAUACUCACAGAAGACAGCUAAACAUUUUAUAAUUAAUAUUAAAAAUGUAAAUAAAGUUUACAUUUAUAACUAUUAACUGUUUUAAUUAAUUACAAGUAAUUUUAAUUAUAAAUAAGUGGCCUUUCAAAAUCUUGAUUUAAAAUACCUUCUGUUUAGAAUUAAAAAAAACUUGUAAGAUUCAUAUCAACUUUGAAUUUAAAUUUAACUUAUUAGUUAUAAAUUAAUUUGAAUGACACAAUAAAUUACUUCUAUCAACUUUUUUCUUUUCAGAUUAGAAAUUUUGGAAUUUCCAAAGAAUUUGCGGAUUCAAAAACUCACGUUUCCACUAUCCCAAUGGGAACUCCAGAGUAAGAUUCGUUCUUAUUUGUUUGCUAAAUUUUCUUUCUCAAAGAAAAUUGGUUGAAUUAGUAGUUCUCAUUUGAUAAACACUUUCUUUAAGUGCAGUUAUCUCGCUCCUGAGCAUUACACCCAAGAUGAUCAAAAUAAGAAGCUCACCGAUAAGUCUGAUGUAUUUUCCUUUGGUGUCGUACUUCUAGAGCUGAUUACGGGAAAAUUAGCUGCUUUUGAGAAGGAACGCAGGGAAUAUAUUUUCUUAACUAUUUGGGUACUUAAAAAUAAAGAAUUUGAUAUUUUGUAUAUUCAAUAUUCAAGGGUUUUUUAUUUUUUAUUAUUUUUUCCCUGAUGGAAUGCUUAACUGACCUUUGUACAUCUAUUUUGAUUAUUCACAGGCCGUGCCUCUACUGAAACAAAUUUUGGAUGCAGACUAUCAAGAUUUGGAUGCUGAAAAUUGUAAAGAACUUUUUGAUUCCAAAUUACCGAACAAUUUUGAGAAAAAUGAUAUGGAAAAGCUUAUUUAUUCUGCUGCUGCUUGUAUAUAUAAACCUGCAAAGUUACGCCCACAUAUGUGCGAGGUAAAUUGACAAAACCAAACCAGUUAUUUUUGGAUUAUGCUUUGCAUGUGAUUAUCAGUAAAAAUAUAUGAAAUAUAAUUUAAAAAGUACGUAAAAAUUAUUUGAUAAUUUUGCAUAUGUUAUUAAAAAUUGGGAGGGUGACUGCAUGUGAUUUUUUGAUGCAGAUAGUUAAAGUACUAAAUGGAGAUAUGGAACCCAAAACUAUAUGGGUGAGAAGUGAUUGCAAGUACCUAUACAAUGGGUCACCUUACGCUCCAUUUCCUCAAGCUCAGGGAACCUCCAGCUCUUGAUCUCUAUCCAAUACAUGAAUUAACCUCCGCCUUGUAAUAAAAGAGUAUGUGUUCUUGCUAAAUGCACGUGCUUUUCUAAGGGAUCAAUUAGUUAAUAAGAAUGUGUUCCUUGCUGAAUUUUUUUUUUUUCAAUAUUAAUAAUGAUUGAUAUUGAAUAAUUUUUCAUGUAUAUAUAUAUAUAUAUAUAUAUAUAUAUAUAUGCAGAAUAUAUAAUAUCCAUUAAGUAUUAUUUUAAAACAAAGAGAUAAUAAUUUUUUUUAGUGAGGGUUCCUUCGAAGUGCAACAUAUAUAUGUAUAUAUAUACACAUAGGUAUGAUUGGUAAACGUAUGGAAAAUUUUUUUGGAUAAAUCAUAAGUCGAAUCCAACAAAAUAAUUAAAGAUUUAAUAGCUUUUGAUAAUUUCAAAUUCAACAUUUAUAUUUAAUAGCAUCGAUCUUGAUAUUAAUAUAUAUAUAUAUAUAUAUAUUAAAAUAAUGAAUACGUACAUAUUAAUAUAAAAUUAUUCAAUUAAUAUCAAGAUCAGAGCCACCAAAAAUAAUCUAUUAACGGGUGUCGAAUCUAUCAAUUUAAUUUUACUUCCCUUUUCUUGAUUUAGAUGACUAGUUGAGAUAGAAGAAUAGUUUGAAACAAAAAGUAAGAAGAAAAGUUUUUUUUUUUCUAUAAAAGUGAUUUUGCGUAAGUUAAGAAAAAAAAUUUAAAAGAAAAAAUAAUAAAUAGUGCAAUUGAAAAUUGAGAAACAAGUUAUUGAUUAAAAAUUCCAGUUGAAAGUAAUCAAAUUGAGGUUUUUUGCAGUUGAUAAUUGAUUAAAAAAAAAUAUUUCAUGUUAUUAUUUAUUGUUUGGUUACAGUGGUCAAACAAGCGAAUCUCACCGAUUCUUCUUUAUGAAUAAAUUAAUCCGCUUAGCGCUUAAAUUAAUUCCUAGUUAACUAACUGUAACGGUCAUCUGCCUGCUUGCGGCAAUUCCGUCCCACAUCGACGGAAUAUGAUAAAUUGGAAUUGUAUAUAAUAGCUAGCACGAAACUACUAAUUAACUUGAUUAACUAUUUUGGGCUGAGUGGAAAGUGGGUCCAAAAGUUAUUUAGGUCAGUUCCGGCCGGGCUGCUUCAAUUAGUAUCAGAGCCACCUUGGGUCAGACAAAUUGUGCAUAGCUAGUGGGCCUGCGAGUAAAGGGCUACCCGUGAGAGACAAGAUGGAGCUGCCCGAGGUACUAGCGAACCACAAUACCCGAGGGUCCAGUCCUGAUUAGCAAUUGUAUUGGAUUCAGUUGUCCUGGUUAGCAAUUGUACUGGAUUCCGUUGCGAUGAGGACGUAGCAAAAAUUUAGCGGAAUCGAUCUGCUUGUGGCAAUUCCGUCCCACAUCGGCGGAAUAUGAUAAAUUGAAAUUGUAUAUAAUAACUAGUACGAAACUACUAAUUAGUCAACUGCAUUAAGAGAGAAGAACCCAAACUUGACCAAUAAAAACAAGCGAUUUAUUUAAAUCAAAUCUACUAAUUUCUUAAUAUAAACUAACAUGUUAACAUGUUAAUUGCUACUUGUUAUUAAUUCAAUUAAACAAUUACGGAUUUAAUUAGCAAUAUGUUGUCUUCCCAAGAUAUUCAAGUGAUGAAAAGAAUUGAAGUACAUAACCUCCCAACUUGAAUAAAACCUCAAUUUAAUUUACCCUUCAACUGAAAAUAAUUAUAUAGGCACACAAGAAUAAAAUUCUAAGAUUGGGAGAGUCUUUAUAUAGGCACACAAGGAUAAAAUUUAAUAGUUUAAAAUAAACUCUACACCCCCUAUCUUAUCUCUAUCCUAAUCCGAUUGACAACUAAUUAUAUAGGCACACAAGAAAACAAUAAUGGGAAAUUAACAAAAAAUAGAAAUAAGAUGAAAAGAAUUGAAGUACAUAACCUCCCAUCUUGCAUAAAAACCUCAAUUUAAUUUACCCUUCAACUGAAAGUAAUUGUUUAGCCUGUAAAGGUCAUAAUAAAAUUGCAACAACUAAGAACAAGAAGAAGGAAAGAAGAAAAAAAAGACAAAAAGAAGAUGGAGAAGAAGAGGGGGUCGGCGGCACCCAGAGGAGAGGAGGGGGGAAGGAGAGAAUAUGAUGUGUAGGUUUAAUUCUAAGAACCUUUAUAGGGUGAAUCUUUGCUAAGGUGGCAAAAUCUGCUGAGGUAGCGCCUUCUGAAGCUCUCCAUUGCCUUGAGUUACAAGUUGAGUCAAGGUUGUAACCUUUCUGUCCAAAAAUCUUUUAAUUCAGUCUCUUUUCGUUCUUUUUCUUAAUUUUCGAUAAAAAACCUAUCCAAAUUUAAAUUCUAAAUAAAAAUUAAAUAUUUAUAUCAAAAUUAUAGUAAAAUCAUGGAAUUAAAUGAGAAAAAAGUUGUGAGUUUUGCAACAUCAUCUAUCUAAUUCAACAAAUAUAAAUUGCGUAUAGGGUGAAUAAGAUCAAAUUCACAAGAAAUUGACACUAAAAAUCUCCAAUUAAUAAGUAGAAAAAAUGAAUAAUAGAAGUAGAAAGAGAAUUUUAAUGAAAAUUCAAUUAAAGUAAUAAAUCAAGAUAAUUUAAUAAAGAUAAUUUAAUAAGGUCGUGAAAAUAUAUAGGGAAGCUAAUAUGGUAGCGGAUUAUCUUGCGAAUAGUGCGCAUGGUGGAGUUUUUGGUAUGAGUUUUAUUGAUUUGCCUUCAUCUAGUAUUAAGCUCCUCUUGAAUGCUGACUGUAUGAAUGUUUUUCAUGAUCGUAUAAUAAACUAAAGGGCUCUAUCCCUCCUUUUCAAAAAAAAUAAUAAUAACAAUAAUUAAGAGAAAAUUAAAUUAAUACAAAUAAAUUAUAGUUGAAGAUUAUAGUCCAUUUCAGUUUUGAAAAUUGAUCAUAAAAACAAAAAAAAAUCUUUAUUUAUUCUAAUAAGUUAGUUUAGUUAUAGAAUACACUCUGUAUAAUUAUGGCACACGAGAUCGUGGACAUGCCGGUCGACGAGCAACAAAAGCAACAAGUUAUGGUUCCUCCAACAUCAUUCCAGAAACUUCAUUUGAUGAGAUGGAUCGUUUUCCCAAACCCAUUGUCUUUAGGAGAAGAUGAACAUGUUACAUUUAAUAAAAACCUUAAACCUUUCUCUUCUUAUUUUUCAUAGACCAGAGUUCUCCUUAUCAUUUUAAGCUUUUCUCUUUUUAUUAUUUUCUUUAACCGAUAACUUAUUGUUUUAUUCUCUAUAUUGAAUAUGACCAAUCUUAAAAAUAACUCUCUUUUAUUUAAUUUCAAUAUCAAAUAUUACAUGAGAUUUCUGAAAUAUUGAUAUAUUUUUUUUUAUUGGUAAUUCAAUAAAAAUUCAUUGGUGAAUAGUAUGAUCUAUUUUUAAAAGUCUCACUGAUAAAUUUGUACCCUGGAAUCUAUUCUGGAAUUCACUAGUAAUUUUUUACCCUGGAACUUUUUUUCAAGCUCACGAGAUCAGUUGGAAAAUUGUUGUCUUUCUUUGCCCCCUAUGAAUAUACAAUGGUUCCACAAAUUAGAUAUAUACACUAACUGCAUGUCAUGGUUUGCUUAGAUGAUGAAUCUAGCUCAUACUUUGAAAAAGGUUGAUUAAAUUGAAGAAUCUGGCUCAUUGCAUGAGAAGAAUUAUAAGGGUUUUGGGCUGAAGCAACUAGCAGUGGCAAGAAGUGCAUCUGACAUUUAUAUAGGCGUAUAAUAAACUAGCAAAUGCAACAGGUCAUUUCUCGCUCAAUAACCAAUUUCGUCAAAUUUCAAGGGAUUCUUAGAGGGCAAGAUUUGUGCUAUUAAUUAAAUAAAAUUUUAGGGAUUAUGUUAUAAUUUAUUGUUAAUAUGUGACAUGACAUAUAGACUAAAAAUUUUUUUUAUCAAAAUUGAUUGAGAUUAAUAGAUAAAAUUAAAAUAAAUGUGAAAAGAUUAAUUUUAUUGUAUAAAAUUUUAAAAUUAGAAUAUAAAUGUGAAAAAUCAUACAUUUUUACAUCUUUUUAUCCAAUAGAUUUUGUUAUUAGAUAAACUAGUUGACACCCACAUGUUGAGUAAAUUUUAAUUAUACAGUUAUUAAUUUUAUUGAUAAAGAAUAAAAAAUAAAGUUUUUAUGGUUAAGUGGUAUCGAAGUUGCAAUACGGAUAAAAAGAUCUCAAUUUUUCUUAUAAAAUUCCAAAUCAAAAUUUUUAGUCAAAGUAUCCCACCAAUUUAUUAAAUUGUUUAAUUACUCUUUUGCAUUUAUUUUGAAUAACAAUACAAAUAAAUUUCAUUAUUAAUUAAAUCAUCAAAAUCCAUAUUAUAUUUUUAAUUUUUAACAUUAUACUAAUUUGUAAAAAUAGGAUCUAUUCAUUAAAGAUAUGUGUAAUAUAAUUAUUUUCAUAACUAUAUAUAGAUAUUACACUAGAACAAGCAAUUUAUUGAGACACCCAUGUAUCCAAAACGUAUAAACUAAUACACUGGGCAAUCAGAGAUAUCUUUAUUGAUUACAGAAUAGGUAUUUAUACAUACAAGUGUGACUUAGUUAACAAGUAUUUAAAAUCUAUACAAACUAGGAAACCGAAAUCUAUACAAAUUAGGAAAAUAGAAUCCUAAUCCUUAUCAGUAUAGUCUCAAUCCUAAUCCUUAUCACUUAUCAGUAUAGUCUCAAUCCUAAUCCUUAUCAUAAACCAUCAAAUACAUGCCAUUUAUCAAUAAUCUUUUUUAUUAUAAGAUUUUAAAAAAAACAGUGAUAAGAGAAAAAAGAAACACAACGGUUUAAAUAUUUAAUAAAUUUAGUCAUAAAAAUUAAAUUAAAUGUAAUAUUAAAUAAAUUUAACAUGGACGAUAAAAUGAUCAAAUGAGUAAACUUAAUCGUUUUAGAACAAUCAAACAUUAUAUUGCGACUUAUAUAGUCUGUCAACCAAGUUGGUUUCCUAGUAGAAGGAGGCUGACCUCUUUCAAUAGGUUGGAUUUCCUGUGAACUUUCACUAGCAAUUUGAUAUUGCAAGUCAGAUUAUGAAAGUUGUACAUGUUUGUUAUUUUGGUUCUCUAUUUCUUCAAAGGAGACUGAUAUAGGUUGCUGUUGUGACUCAUUUUUAGCCUAAUUCCAUAUGUUUUCUUCAUAAAAAAUCACAUCACUACUGAUCACAAUCUUUUUAGUGUUUGAAUUUAACAACUUAUAAGCUUUAGAAACUUCACUUAAGCCAAGAAAGACAUGUUUUUCACCCUUAUCAUCUAACUUUUUCAUUUUCUCAUAAGAUAUAUAUGCAUAUUUGAUGCAACUGAAAAUUGAACAAUGAUCAACAACUGGUUUUCUUCCACUCCAUAUUUCCUCAGGAGUCAUAUUUUGUAUUAAAAGUAUUAGACUUCUAUUUAGUACAUGGAUAUUCCAAUUAACUGUCUCAGGCCAAAAGUUCUUCAGAACAUUGCCUUUAGCCAGCAAUCUUCUCACCAUAUUAAGGAUUGUUCUAUUUUUCCUUUCCAAUAUGUCAUUUUAUUAUGGCAAAUAGGCAGCGAGUUCUCUUCCAAUGCUUUAUUCAUCACAAAAUUGUUCAAAUUCCUUUGAAUAAUAUUUUCCACCAUGAUUGGUAAGGAAAGUUUUAACUACCUUCCUUGACUCAUUUUCAACAUGCGCUUUGAAGCUUUUAAAUGCACAAAAAGCUUCUGAUUUAGCUUGUAAAAAGUAAACCCAAGUCUUCCGAGAAAAAUCAUCAAUGGAAGUGAUUAAAUAUUUCUUACCCCAUUGAAAGUUGGAUUAAUUGGACCAUAUAUAUCGAAUGGACCAGAUCUAAAAAAUCAUUCGCUCUCCAUGAUUUUCCUUGUGGAAAUUGAGAGCAAUGUUGUUUACAAACACACACUCUUCACAAACUUGAGAUGGAAUAGUAAUUUGAGGAAGACCAUUCGCCAUAUUCUUAUGUUGGAGAGUUCUUAAUCCACCGAAAUUCAAGUGACCAUAAUAGAAAUGCCAAAAUUGAGAUGGAUUCUUCAUUUCAGCCAUCAAAUGGGUUUAGGCAAUUUGAAUUUGCAAUGGAAACAACUUGUUUGAGCUCAUUUAAAUAAUUACAAUGGCUUCUCUUGAAGGAUUAUAAAUUUCACAAGCUCCCUUUUGAAUGGUUAUCAUAUAGCCCUUCUCUUGCAAUUGACCCGCACUAAGUAAAUUAUUUUUUAAAUCAGGAACAUAAAGCACACUAGAAAUAGUCUCCAUAAAACCAUUCUUAGUUUUAAUAUCAAUAUCACUUUUUCCCAUCACAUUCACUUUAGAACUAUUACUAAAACUCACAGUUGAAUGAAAAGUUUUAUCUAAGUGGGAAAAGAGAGACUUUACUACCACACAUAUGAUUGCUACAUUCUGUAUCAAUGUAUCAAACUGCAGAGUUAAUUGUCUCAUUGGUUUAAACAGUCAUUAAGAGAGUUUCAGCUUCAUGAUUUUUCUAUAAAGUUUGACUUCUCCCUAUUUUGACAUUUUGGUACGACAUUCCAAAUGAAAUUGACCAAAUUUAUAGCAUAUGUAGCAUUCAAUUUUAGAUUUGUCAAAGUGCUAAAACUAUCAUUUCCUUUUGUGUGAUUGAUCAUCGUCAGAUUUGAAAUUUGGUGCCAAAGAUCGUAGGAUUUUCUUCACAAUGGUGACAUUUUCCAUCUCCUCACCAUGAAAUCACAUUUUAUUGCUCAAUAAAAUAGGAAGUUAAUUAAUUACUGGUACCAAAAAUUUGUAAAGAAAUUAAAAUUGAGUGUAGAAUAAUUUGGGUAAGUAAACACCACAAGCAUAAUUUACAGAUGAGUUGGUAUGAUUAAUAAUGAUUACCAAAUUUUGAUACAACGGAUGACUAUUGUCUUGAUCUAAUAGUAAAAACAAAGGUGUUUAAAAAAUUAUGGUUCAAUCUCACCGUCACUUUUUUUUUUUUUUUUUUUUGCAUUUUUUGGUCAAAGUGCUAACUAACAUUUUUUUUUUGCCAAAGUGAUUACUAUUCUUGUAAUUCAACCUCAUGCUAAACCUACCCUAAAGAAAAUCCAAGUCUGAACGCUAAAGUUACCCACAUCUUUCUUCCAUCCUAUAAUAUAAUUUUAUUAUAAUUGAAAGCAAAAUUCUAUAAAGAAAAAUAAUUAGAAAAGUUUUCAUAAAUUAAAACCGAUUUUUACAAACAAAUUUUUAAAAACAAAAUCUCAUCUCUUUAAAAAGUUGACCAAUUUCCAUAAAAAUUAAUUAAAAAUAAAAUUUUAACUAUUUAAGUUCUCUAUUCUAUAUAUAUAUAUAUAUAGAAAGUAAAAUAUAAUUAAAUUUAUUAUUAUAAAAUUAAUAAUUUUUAGUAACAGAAAUUAAUAAUUUUAUUGUUAAUAAUGUUAUACAUUUAAUUAAUUUAUUAUAUGAUAUUAUAGUUUACUAUUUCAAGUUUAAUUCUAUUAUUUUACUAACAAUAUUAUAUGACAAAUAAAAUUUUGAUGUUUUAAUAGUCUGAAUAUUUAAAAUUAUUUAUGUACCUUUUUUUUCACAUAUAUUAAAAAAUAUAAUUUUUUUAGUUAAUUUUUUAAUUAUAUUCCUCUUAAAUAUAUUAAAUUUUAUUAAAUAUUAAAAAAUAUUUAAAAAUAUUUUAAAAAUAAAAUAAAAUUAAAUACGAUUAUAAUAAUUAAUUUAUAUAUUAUUAUAAUUUAGAAAAAUAAAUAAUAAUUUUAAAACAAUAAAAAAAUAGAUAAAAAUUUAUGGAGCAGAAAAUAGUAUUUUAUUGUAAUAUUUUAAAAGCCUUGGGUCUAGGUCUUAUUUUAUUUUAUUUUAUGGGUCUUGGUCUAUAUAUUAUAAAACGUUAAUUCUAGAAGGCUUAAUAAUCAAUAAUUCAACAUGCUUUUAUCUUAUUGGAUAGAUGUUAUUAAUUAAUUAGAUGGUCAUCACCUAAUUAUCUCAGCUCCACAAUACGGCUUCAACCUCAAUAUCUUUCACACUUGUAAGCUCUACAAAUAUAUUAAUAUUAAUAUUUUUUUAUAAUGUUUAUAUAUUAAUAUUUAAUAGAUUUUAUUAUUAAUAUUUCAAUAAAAAAUUAUUGGUAUUACAUAAUUUCUGAUCAUAAAAUUAAUAUUAUGUUGCAAUUAAAUUUAUAAAAAUAAUUUAAUUAUAUUAUAUAUAUUUAUCUAAUAAUAAAUAUUUUUUAUUAUUUUAAUAGAUUAAUAUAGUAUAAUAAUUUUAUACACUUUUAAUCACAUUAUAAAAUUAUGAAAUAAAGUAUAAGAAAUAAUUAUUAUUAUAUUUUAUAAAAAUAUUUUUAAUAUAUAAAAGUACUAUAAAAAUUAAUAACAAAGAAACUACAUACCAAAAUAUUUAAAAUUAUAAUAUUAUUCUUUUAUUAAACAUAUAUAAGAUUAUUUUAUUAAAUUAAUUACUUAAUUUAUUUGUUUUUUUAUAAAUUAUUAAUAAUUCAAUAAUCGAUAUAAUAUUUAGAAUUAUUAUAUUAUUUUACUAUUAAAUAUUAUAUGAGAAUAUUUAAUUAUUUAUAAUUUAUUAAAUACAAAUUAAUUAAUUAAUUAAUCUAAUAGCAUAAUAAAUUAAUUAAAUCUAUUAUUUUUGAUAAAUUAUAAAUAAUUAGUGAUUGUAACGGUCAGCGCUUGUGGAUUUGCGGCUUUCAUCCCACGUCGGGGAGAUGAUAGAAAAUUGGAAUUGUAUAUAAUAGCUAGCACGAAACAACUAAAUAACUUGAGUUAACCAUUUUGGGUCAAAUGAAAAGUGGAUCUAAAAGUUAUUUGGGCCAGUUUGGACCAGACUGUUUCAAUUGGUAUCAGAACCACCUUGGGUUAGACAAAUUAUGCGAAACUAGUGGGCCUGCGAGGAAAGGGCUAUCCGUGAGAGACGAGGUGGAGCCGCCCGAGAUACUAGCGAACCACAAUACCCAAAGAUUCGGUCCUGGUUAGCAAUUGUAAUCGAUUCAGUUGCGGCGAGAACAUCGUAAAUUUAGCUGGACCGAGGUAACAGUCAGCUGCAUGCUUGUGGAUUUGCGGCUUCCGUCCCACAUCGGGAGAUGAUAGAAAAUUGAAAUUGUAUAUAAUAGCUAGCACGAAACUACUAAAUAACUUGGGUUAACCGUUUUGAAUCAAGUGGAAAGUGGGUCCAAAAGUUAUUUGGGCCAGUUUGGACCGGGCUGUUUCAAUUAGUAUCAGAGCCACCCUGGGUCAGACAAAUUGUGCGGAGCUAGUGGGUCUGCGAGGAAAGGGCUACCCGUGAGAGAUGAGGUGGAGCCGCCCGAGGUACUAGUGAACCACAAUACUCAAGAGUUCGGUCCUGAUUAGCAAUUGCAAUCGAUUCAGUUGCGACGAGGACAUCACAAAUUUAACUAUUUUGAGUAAGUGAAAAGUGGAUCUAAAAGUAAUUUAGAUCAGUUUGGAUCGGGCUGUUUCAGAUUCCGUAUAGUAUCUAAUCAUAAUUUUAUUUUAUAAUUCUAAAUAUUAAUAUAUUUUAUAUAUUAAUAUUUAAUAUAUUUUAUUAUUAAUAUUUAAAUUAAAAAUAUUAUUAAUCUUAUAUAAUUUCACUAUCAUAAAAUUAAUAUUAUACCACAAUCCAAUAAAAAAAUAAAUUUAAUUUUUAUAAUUUUAAAUAUUUAUAUUAAUUUAUUUAUUUAUUUUAUAUUUUUCUUUAAUUAAUUAUUUAAUUUAGUGUUUUAUACAUACAUUUAAUACAAUAAUAUUAUAAUUUUAAAUAUUUUUUGUGUGCAGUUUUUUUUAUUAAUUUUUAUAAUAUUUUUAUAUAUUAAAAUAAUAAAAUAUAAAAAAUAUAAUAAUUAUAUAUUAAUAAAUUUAUAAUUAAAUAAAUUUAUAAUUAAUUAGUAUUAUUUAAUUAUAAUAAUAUAUUAAAAUUAAUAAAAUAUAUUAUAAAAAAAUUAUUGUAAUAAAAAAUAUAAUAUAAAUAAAAUUAUUAAAUUAAUAUAAUAUAAAAAUAAUAUAUUAAUUAAUUAAUAUAAUUAUAAUACUUUAAUAAUUAAAAAAAUAUAAAAAAAUUAAAUCAUGGGAGCUAGGCCAUGAUUACUAAUAGUUAGUACCAAAUUAUUAAUAACUUAAAUUAAUUUUAUAAAUAAUAUAUUAUUCUAUUUCAAAUUAAUAUGGAAUUGAAUAAAAUUGUAUUUAGUUAAAAUGUUAAUUAUAAUUAGAAAUUUAAUUUGUUUGAAAAUAACUUUUGCAUUAAAAUAUGAAUUCAUUGGAUUAAUCCUAACCGAUAAUCAUUUUUAUCAUAUAAAUUGUUGGGUUGACAAUUAAUAUCACCAGCCAGUUUCAAUUAAAACAUAUUACUAAUCCCAUUUAGGAAGUACAAAGAUCGUUCCAGAAUUAAAAUUAUAUUAAUUAUUAACUAAAAUCAAUCUUUAAAAAUUGAAUUUCAAGUUCACUCUCAAAUUUAGUUUAAUGGUAAGUGUAUCUGAAUACAUCUGAGAGAUUUCAGAUUUUAUUCUCUCAAUUUCCAAUCCCAUUUAAAAAAAAAAUUAAAUUUCAAAUAAAAUGAAACUUUUUUUACGUAAAAUAAAGAAAAAUUACUAAAUUUUAGGGCUGUAAUCGAACCGAGCUGAGCCGAAUUUUGAUACGUUCAGUCUCGAUUAGAAAAUAAAUUUAAAAGCUCGAGUUUGACCUUGAGCUCGACUCGAACUCUAUUUAUAAACUCGAGCUCAAUUCAUAAAAUAAAUAUUAAACUCGAGCUCGGUUCGAACUCGAUUCGUAAUAAACUCGUUUGUCACAUUAACGAGCCAACUCAAACUCUAUUCAAAAAACUCGAAUUUGAACUCAUUUAGACUCGAAUUUGAGAUCGAUUAUAUUAUAAAUAAGCUUAAUAUAAUUUAAAUUUAUUUAAAUUAUAAAUAAAUUUAAAUUAUAAGGUUAUUAAGAGACUUCUAAAUUAAAUUUUUUUAGCUAAUUGAAAUCUCUCUAAUUGAAAACUAAUGAAAAAGAAUGUCGAAUGGUUGUCUUUUUAUAGAGAAGUCACGAUUCUCCAUAUCCUUUCAACUUUCGAUGUGGGAAUAGUGUUAGCAAACAAGUUUGUUCGCGAGGCUGCUCACGAGCUUGUUCACGAGGCUGCUCACGAGCUUGUUCACGAGCCUAUUCACGAAUCAGCUCGCGAGUCUAAAUAAGCCGAAUACUGUUAAGUUCAAGUUCGACUCGUUUAUUAAACGAGUCUAAAAAGUGAGUUCGAGCUCGGUUCGUUUAGAAAACAAGUCGAGCCCGAUCGAGUUUUUAUCGAGACGAGUCUCGAAUAGUUCACGAACAGUUUGGUUCGUUUACAUCUCUACUAAAUUUAGAAAAAAAUUAAAAUUAACUAAAAUUUGAUACUAAAGGGAUUUUAUAAUGUAAUUUUGACUAUUAUAAUCGUUACAUAUAUAUUUAUAUUCCUGCAUUAUAUAUUUAAAAUAAAUUCAUUGAACACUUAAGUUAAGACUGUAACUCAUUGCAUAUCUAAUUUAUAAAAAUUCUACCAAUUAAAUAUUAAAUAAUUAUAUUCAAAUUUUUUUAUAUAAAAAAUUCCAUCGAAUUAUACUGUAGAUCUUGUUGGCCAUAUUUUAAAUUUUUUAAAUGAAAAGAUUGCCCUCUAUAAAGGAGAGUAAUUUUAUUAUUUUAUAAAAAUUUAAAGUAAUAUCGAUAAAUCUAGAAUAUAAUUAAACAAUAAUAAAUGAAAUUAAUUUUUACUUUUUAUUUAUAAGCUAUAGAUAAAAUGAGUAAUUUACAUUUAAUUGCCAUGAUUCAUGUACGAUUAAAUAUUCAAAUAUGUUUUGAUUAUAGUUUCAGUAUUAAGCCUUUAUUUAUUUAUAAAAUAUAAUAUAUAUUUGAAAAAUAUUUUUCUAUGUUUUGAUUAUAGUUUCAUGUAUUAAGCCUUUAUUUAUUUAUAAAAUAUAAUAUAUAUUUGAAAAAUAUUUUUCAUGUGAAAUAAUAUUAUAUUAUGUAAAAUGAGAGUAAUUUUUUAUUUUAUGAAAAUUUAAAGUAAUAUUAAUAAAUCUAGACAUAAACAAUAAUAAAUGAAAUUAAUUUUAUUUUUUUUACACUCUAAUGUAGAAGUGAGUAGUUUUCGGUUCAAAUUGAAAAAAUUGAUCGAAUUAAAUUAAUUCAAAAAUUUAGUGUAGUUUUUUUAUUUUUUUCGAUUUUGUACGAUUUUUAUUUUUAAAAUUUUUUAUUAUUUCAAUUCAAUUUGAUUUUGAUAAAAAAAAAUUAAUAAAAUUAAACUAAACCGAUUAGUGAUAAUAGUAUAUUAAUUUUUUCUAAUAUAGAAAUAUUUUAAUUAAAUUUUAAAAUAUUAAAAAUAAAGUAUUAAAAAUAAAAAAUCUCAUUAAAAGGUCUAAUCAAUUAAGCUAAAUCAAAUCAAAUCGAAUUAUAUCAGUUUAUAUUUAAAUGGUUUCUAUUUAAAAUCGAUUCGAUUUAAUUUUUAUAAAUUCUAAAUUUUUAAUUUUUAACUUUUUCAAUUCGAUUUGAUUUUAAACCGAACUGACGAAAUGUUACCUUACAUGCUAUUGAUAAUAUGAGUAAUUUAAAUUUAAUUUUCAUGAUUCAUAUACAGUUUAAGUAUUAAGUCUAGGGAGCUUUUUGGCCAAGUUUCCCUCUGUGGUACCUCUGUGGAUCGAUGCUCUCGCCUUUUCCUCUUCUUAAAUCUAACUUCUUCUUUUUCUUUCCCCAUUGAAGAUGAUCUGCGUCAAUUGACUAUCGAAGCGGCUCAUCCCGUCAAAGGUCAGGAUAGCCCAAAGCAAUGAUCGUCCUGUGUUGGAACUGCCGAGGACUCGACAAUCCUCGGACAGUAAAUACAUUAAAGGAUUUGGUUACUAGUUACAAGCUGGACAUUUUAUUUUUGAUGGAAACAAAAGUUCUUAGUUCUCGUAUGGAAUUUUUUUGUAGUUUUUUACAUUUUGAUAGUUGCUUCUCAGUUAAUAGACAAGGAUUAGGAGGAGGCCUUUCGUUAAUGUGGAAGAGUCAUGUGUCUGUUUCUGUGAUUGGCUUUUCUUCCAAUUUUAUUGAUUCGAUUGUUUCGCAAGGUAAUAUCCAAUGGAGGUUUACUGGUUAUUAUGGAUUUUCGAAAUCACAACGAUGACGUCAUUCUUGGAACCUUAUUCGAGCUUUAUCUCGUAGAAACUCUCUUCCGUGGCUUUGUUCGGAAGACUUUAAUAAUUUAUGCUCGAGAGAUGAGAAAGAAGGAGCAACUUUACCAAAUUAUCUUAUGCAGGGGUUUAGACAGAUACUUGAGGACAGUAAUCUUAUUCAAAUACCUACUGUUGGCUCUUUCUUCACAUGGGAGAAGCUUGAUAGAGCCCUUGCUACUGAGGACUGGACUCGUAAAUUCACUAAUGUUGUCUGCUCGGUUGUUCAUGUUCCUAGAUCGGAUCACAAACCGUUGGUGAUUAAUACAGCUCAUAAGGAUAAUAGGGGAGAUAGAAGGAGAUUUCGAUUUGAUAAUGCAUGGUUAUGUGAUGAGAGUCUGGCUAAGGUUGUUAAAGGAGUUUGGGUUAAUUCUAUACCACACAACCUUUUGAUGAAACGUGAUGAUUUAGUUUUAGCUCUUUCGUUGUAGAGUAGGAGUAGAAAUAGAGAGUUUUGGCAAAAGAAGAAGACUAUACAGAGAUUAUUGGAUAAUGGGCCCAGUACUGUUUCUCACGCCUCUUUAAAGAAAGAUUGGAAUUGUCUCCUUGAGCAGGAAGAAACUAGACUUAAAUAGCAGACAAAGUGCUUUUGGCUUAAAAAUGGGAACCGAAAUACAAAAUUUUUUCAUGCACAAAUUAAUGAUAGACAGAAUGAACCUUAUUACUAAAUUAAAGGAGUCGUCGGGUACCUGGAUUGAGGAUGAGCAGGAAAUUAAAAAUCAUAUUCUGCAUUAUUUAAAGUCUAUUUUUUAUGGCAGUUCUGUGGAUUGUGAACGGGUUUUUGAGUUGGUGCCGCCAUUGAUUAGUGAUACCGAUAAUACUGAUCUUUGUGCUCCCUUUUCGAAUGAGAAAUUUAGAGCUGCUCUUUUUCAGAUGCAUUCAGAUAAGGCAUCUGGGCCGGAUGGGUUAAAUCCUACAUUUUACUAGAGAUUUUGGCACUUGAUUGGCAAUGAUGUUUUCGAUGGUUGUCGCCUUGGCUUCAACAAGGUACUUUUCCUUCUUCUCUUACUGAAACAUUGAUUGUUUUGAUCCCUAAAGUAGAUAGCCCUGAAACUAUUAAAGACUUUUGUCCAAUUGCGUUAUGGAAUGUGUUAUAUAAGAUUGUGGCUAAAGCUUUGGCGAACAAAUUUAAAAGGGUCCUUCCUAUGAUUAUCUCUGAGAAUCAGUCUGCCUUUAUCCCUCAUCGAUUGAUUACCGAUAAUGUUAUGGUUGCGUUUGAAAUGAUGCACAAUAUGAAAACUAAUAAGGGCAGAAAUGAUGGUAAUUGUGCACUUAAAAUUGAUAUUUCUAAGACUUAUGAUAUGAUAGAGUGGGAGUUUCUAAAAAGCAUGGUGGAACGAUUUGGUUUUUCUACUCAAUGGAUUAGGUGGUUGAUUAUGUGCUUUUCGGAAGUCUCUUACAAUAUCAAUUUUAAUGGUGAUUGGAUUGGUCCUAUUGUGCCUGGUAGAGGUAUUCGACAGGGGGAUCCUAUAUCUCCGUAUCUCUAUUUGGUGUGUGCGGAAGGCUUAUUGUUACUACUUAAAGAUGCUGAAUCUAGGAGCUAGUUGCAGGGCUGUAGGGCAGGUACUAGGGGUGAGCAGUAUUCGGUUCAAAUCGAAAAAAUCGAUCGAACCGAAUUAAUUUAAAAAUUCAGUUCGGUUUUUUAUUCAAUUUGGUUCAGUUCGAUUUUUAAUUUCAGAAAUUUCAGUUAUUUCGGUUCGGUUCGAUUUUGAUCAGAAAAAAAUCGAAAAAACCGAACCGAACAGAUUAGUGAUAAUAAUAUGUUGUUUUCAAUAAUAUAGUGAAAUUAAAUCAUAUUAAAAUUAAAAUAUUUUAAUUAAAUUUUAAAAUACUAAAAAUAAAGUGUAAAAAAUAAAAAAUUUAUUAAAAAUCGAAACCGAUCAAACCGAACUGAAUUGAACUGAAUCAGACCGGUUCGGUUCGAUUCAGUUUCUAACCAAAAUCGAUUCGGUUCAAUUUUCAUAAAUACUAAAAUUUUGGUUUUCGGUUUAUUCGGUUCGGUUUUGAACCGAACCGACCGAAUGCUCACCCUUAGCAGGUACUAGAUGCCCAAAGAUCUCACAUUUAUUUUUUACAGAUGAUUCUCUGCUAUUUUUUAAUGCUAGACUGGAGGAAGUAGAUAGUAUUAAAUCUAUUCUCAAUACCUAUGUGGCUGCUUCUGGACAAGUGAACUUCAACAAAUCUGACAUUUUCUUUAGUCCCAAUGUGGUCUCCUCUGUAAGGUCUAAUAUUAGUAAUAUCCUGGAUGUUCAUUCACCAUUGAGUCAUAGUGCCUAUCUGGGAUUACCUUCUCUUAUUAGGAGGAACAAAAAAGCAAUUUUUAGUUUUCUAAAAGAAAGAAUGUAGAAGAGGAUUAAUUCAUGGAGCAGCAGAUUUCUAUCUAGAGCAUGCAAGGAGAUUCUCAUAAAAUCUGUGUUGCAGGCUAUACCUGCAUAUUGCAUGAAUAUUUUUUGGAUUUCCAUUACUAUUUUGAAGGAAUUGCAUAGAAUGGUCAAUGACUUUUGGUGGGGGGUAAAAGAGAAGGGCGGAGGGGUAUUAAUUGGCUAGCGUGGGAGAAGAUGUGUAGUAGAAAGAAGGAGGGGAGUAUGGGGUUUCGGGACUUUAGAAGUUUUAAUUUGUCUUUACUUGGCAAACAAGUGUGGAAGUUCUUAACAAAUCCUAAUACUCUUUGUUGUAGAGUGUUUAAAGCAAAGUAUUUCCCAAAUGGUAAUUUAUUUUCCGCCAAUGUAAGUAAUGGUGCUAGCUUUGUUUGGAAAAGUGUGAUGACAUCAAGGAAGUUGAUUCGAAGGGGUACAAGGUGGAGUGUGGGUAAUUGAGAGAAGAUUUUAGUGGCUUCAGCUCCCUGGGUUCCUAAGAAGGAUAUCUUUUUUGCUGAUGAUGGCUCCGAUUUUAUUGAACCACAUUUGCGUGUUUGUGAUCUUUUUUAAGGUAAUGAGAGGGUUUGGAACAUUGCUCUUUUAAUAGAGCUUUUUUGUUCAAGAGAUAUCAGGGCUAUUAUUAGUAUUCCUAUUAGUAUUACCAAUAAGGAAGAUUCCUUCUUGUGACAUUUUGAUAAAAGAGGUAUGUAUACGGUAAAGUCUGCAUACUUUGUAUGUAUGGACUUGCUAGGAAGAUCAUCUUUUAAUGUGGGGGGUGAGUUGUAGACUAGUUUGUGGAAUGUUUCUGUCUCUCGAAAAGUGAAAGAUUUCUGUUGGAGAGCUUGUAGAAAUAUAUUGCCUACAAAGGAUAACUUAAGGCAAAAGGGUGUGGAUGUAGAUGCUAGAUGUCCUUCGUGUCAUGAAAAUGAAAGUGUCAAUCAUAUUUUGUUGCAUUGUCCUUUGUCCAAGAAAGUUUGGAGGUUAAGGGGAGUGGAAAAUUUGCAGUCUAAUGAUAAUUUUUUUAAUUUUUUACUGCAGAUCUUGAAAUCUCAAGAUAAGGUUCAAAAAACCUUUGUAAUGGUCUGUGCAUGGAGAUUAUGGUCAGCAAGGAACUCAUUAUUAUGGAACCAGGUGCAAAAUUCAGCAGCUCACCUUGUGGAAGACGUCAUGCAUCAUAUCUCGGAUUAGGAAGUUGCUCAACGUGCUGGUGCUUUACAUGGAAAUACCAUUGCUGCUUUAUAUCGGGGCAGAAACUUGUUUUAUUCUUCCAACCCUGCUCGUGAUCCUAAAGCCAUUCCUCUCUAAAUUCGUGCGUCAUCUCCAAGUUUGGACAAUUUCAGUUGGUUUUGUCAAGUUGAUGGGGUUUUGUUUCAAGUUUAAGAUUUUAUUAGCUACGGUUUUGUUGUGGAAAACUCUGAGGGUAUAUUUCAACGUGGUGUUUCUGGUUUUUCGAAAGGUAAUGGUAUGCCGGUAAUUGUUGAAGUUUUAGCUCUCCAUCAUUGUUUGCUCUUUGCGAUGAAAUUUUUGUCUUUUAAUGGCUGCAUUCUUAUAGACUGUUUGUAGGUGAUUUAAACUCUUCAGUCUCUACAUUUAGACAUUUCUGAAUUGAGUUUGAUUUUGAAUGAUUAUAAAUCUUUGUUAGACUUUAGAACUGAUAUUACUGUUAGAUGGGUUCGUCGUUAUGCCACUCUAACUGCUCAUACUUUGACUAGAGAAUCUAUUAGGUAUGAUCGUCUUUCUUUUGGAAUGAUAUCCCUCUUUGUUUGAUAAAAUUUUAUUAAUAUAAUCGGUAGUUUUUUUUAACAAAAAAAUAUUAAGCCUAGGGCUUUAUUUGUUAGUAAGAAAUAAUACAUAUUUAAAAAAUAUUUUAAUUUAACAUAUUUUAAAAAAAAUAUUUUUCAUAAAAAUAUAUUUAAUAAAAUAAUUUAUUUUUUAUUAUUUAAUUUGUAAUUUUAAAAAUAAAAGAUAAUAAUACAUUUAUGUACAGUAGUAUUAAUAUAAUUCUGAAAAAAAAAUUUUAUUUUUUUAAAAGAAAAUAUCAUUUUCUUUAAAAAUUAUAAAAUUUUUCAUUUGAAAAAAUAAAUUUCCCUUGAUUAAUUUUUCUAAAUAUUUCAAGUUUUAUAAAAUAUAGAAAAUAUUUUUUUAAAAAAAUAUUUUGCAUGAAAUAAAGUUUUAAUCCACUAAUUUUAAAUAAUAUAAAAAUAUAAAUAUAUAUUUAAAGUUAUUUUAGAUCUUAGAUAAAAUCAGUUAUUCCAACUCCAACCUUUGGUGGUGGCACUAAUCAAGUAUAUAAGAAAAAUAGUUUUAAAGGGCUGCUUUUAUUAUAAUCGAGUAAAAUUAUAUAGUUAAAUAUUUAACAGGUGAUAUUGGUCAAUUUUAUAUGAAUUUAUUAUAUUAAUAAUGAAAUUAUAUUUAUUAUGUAUGUAAAAGAGUUGUAUUAAAUAAUUAUUUUAAUAUGUAUGAUUAAAAAUAAAAUGAUCAUAAAAUUAAAAAUUUAUUUUGUAUUCUCACUUUUCAAUUUUUAAAGAAUUUUAAUAAAUUUAAAGUCCAUAUUGUUCAUUGAUAGAGUCUUAGCAUAAGUGUAUCCAUUCAUACGUCUAGGUGGAAAUCACGUUAACCUUAUGCUCUAAUUAGGGGUGUAAACGAAUCGAGCUGAGCCGAGUUUUGAAGAGCUCAAGCUUGGUUCGUUAAAAUUUUUUCGAGCUCGAGCCGAAUUCAAGCUUUACUCAUUUCGAACUCGAGCCGAGUAUUAAGAAGUUCAAGCUUGGCUCGUUUAGCAAACGAGCUUAGACGAGUCGAGUUUUUAUCGAGCUGAGUCGAGCUUUUAUCGAGUUUAGUCUCGAAUAGUUCACGAGUAGUUUAAUUUAUUUACAUGUAUAAUGAGUUUUAGUUUAAAACUAAUAAUUUUAAAACUAAAAUAAUUUUAAUUAAAUAAGUAUAUCUACAAAUUAGCACGUAAGCUUAUAAAGAUGAGUUUUUAAAUCUUAAUGAUCCAAAUAUAUGCAAGUUUAAAAGUGUAAUUAAAGUAUAUAGAGUUUAAUUUUAGAAAAUUUAGAUUUAGCUCAUGAAAGUAUAUGCAGGGUUUGAGUUUAUUUCUCUUAUGAUAGCAAUUUCAGUUUGCUUAAUGAGACUGUUCACGAGUCUAUUCGCGAGCUUGCUCAUGAACUCAGGAACGAGCCGAGUUCACGAGUUUUAACGAGCCGAAUACUAUGGAGCUCAAGUUUUGCUCGUUUACCAAACGAGCCUGAAAAUUAAGCUCGAGCUUGGCUCGUUUAGAAAUCAAGUCGAGCUCGGUCGAACUUUUAUCGAAUCGAACCUCGAAUAGCUCACGAACGAUUUGGUUCAUUUACAACCCUAGUCCUAAUAAACAAUAAACAACUUGUUAUCUUUAUAAGACUUUUAUAUUUUUAUUUUUAUAUAUUUCAUAAUUUUAUAUUGCCCACUACACGAAAUUGAUUGGUAGUUAAAAUCUCUCUCUCAAACAUUUGGAUUGGACCUCAGAUAUAAAUUAUUAAUGGCACCCAUGUGCCCAUUAAAAAAUAAAUUAGGUACAGAUAAACCUGAUUAGCUUUACUGUAAGUUUCAUUAAUUUAAUACUUCAAUAUCUAUUUCUUUAUUUAUUAUUAUUUUUAAAAACCUCAUUGAUGAGAUGAAUAGGACCUUCAAAAUUUAAAAAGCAUUGUUGAUAUUUGUCAGCCGGCUUAGAUUAUUAUUUUUAUAAACAAAUUUUAACAAAUAAAAAAAAACUCUUACUNNNNNNNNNNNNNNNNNNNNNNNNNNNNNNNNNNNNNNNNNNNNNNNNNNNNNNNNNNNNNNNNNNNNNNNNNNNNNNNNNNNNNNNNNNNNNNNNNNNNNNNNNNNNNNNNNNNNNNNNNNNNNNNNNNNNNNNNNNNNNNNNNNNNNNNNNNNNNNNNNNNNNNNNNNNNNNNNNNNNNNNNNNNNNNNNNNNNNNNNNNNNNNNNNNNNNNNNNNNNNNNNNNNNNNNNNNNNNNNNNNNNNNNNNNNNNNNNNNNNNNNNNNNNNNNNNNNNNNNNNNNNNNNNNNNNNNNNNNNNNNNNNNNNNNNNNNNNNNNNNNNNNNNNNNNNNNNNNNNNNNNNNNNNNNNNNNNNNNNNNNNNNNNNNNNNNNNNNNNNCAUGUGAUUUUUUUUUUCUGAACUAAUAAAAGACCACACUGAAAAGAUUUUUUUUUUUUUUUAAAAAAAACAACUCCUCGUUGAAACUUAGAAUAAAGAGAAACUCAUUAAUAAAUUUAUAAUAUGCAUUACACAAAAUGACAUUAACUGGAGGCCAAAAUGACAUUAACUGGAGGCCACAUGCUGCGAAUUCUACGCUCAACGUUAUUUUUUUUAUAAGAAAAAAAACAAAAAAAGGAAAACGACGGUCCUAACGCUAAAGUUACCUACUGUCUUCCUUCAUCCUUCCUAUAUCUAACUCUCUAUCUCUGACCAUUCACAUUCACACCCUAUAGAAACUCUAUUAUAUAUAUACUCGCAACAAACUUAUGGUCGUGGUUGCAUAAGUCUGCAACUUCAUCGCCUCUCGCUUGGGGAUGAAUGGGGCAGAUCGCCGGAUGGAAACUAGAGGUAUUAAUUGUUUUCAGCUGAAACUGUUGUACCAAAUAGUAAUAGUUUCAUGGAGAUUUCAUUUCAUCUAACUAAUUGAGGCAUGUUGUUAUUGAUUGUCACUAAGCACAGAUCAGAAUGAAUCUGGCUCAUCUCCUGAGAAGACUAUUGGGCCAAAGUCAUAUUCAUACGGUGAACUAGCAAGUGUAACUGGUCAUUUCUCGCUCAAUAAUCUAAUUGGUCGAGGUGGUUUUGGUCAUGUUUUCAAGGCAUUAUUAGAUGGUGAGAUUCGUGCUAUCAAGAGACUUGAUUUUCCAGAUGUACAGUCUGAAGGAGGUUUGGAGAGGGAGAUUAUGGUUGUCAAAAGCGUCAGUCACAAAAACCUUGUUGAACUAGUUGGUUACUGCAUUGAUGGAGCCAAUAGAUUGCUUAUUUUAAAGUAUUUUCCAAAUGGGUCCUUGAGAUCUAAAUUACACGGUGAGUCCCAUAUCCUUUCUUUUACUUUUAUGUUCAUAUAUCCAAUCAAUAUGACAUGAAUAAUCUUGCAAAUUAUAAAUGGUAUUGUAGGAAGUGGGGAUGUUUUGGACUGGAAAACAAGAAUGAAGAUCGCCACAGGUUCUGCAAAAGGAUUGGAAUAUUUACAUGAACACUGUGAGUAUAUACUACUACAUAUUUUUACUUGGCAGGAUUUUAACCUUUGAGUGUGAAUUUAUUUAUUUAUUUUUGUUUAUAUUGAUAAUUUCUUUUCUCUCAAACAUUUAUAUUUUAUAUUCUUUUCAGGUAAACCUAAAAUUAUUCAUUUAGAUAUCAAGCCGGAUAAUAUUCUUCUUGACGAAGAUUUUGAACCCAAAGUAAGAUAAUUUUAUAAUAAAUAAUCAUUUUAUUUAUAUCAUGGCAUAUGUAUAGUAGAACUUUCAUCUGAAAUUUUAUUUUUGAAUAAUAUUAAAAUAUUAUGUUAACUCUUUAAUGACAUAAUUUAAUUUUUGUAAUUAAUUAAUAAAUUUGGGUUCUAAUUCUUUUUUGGUUUGGCCAUAUAUUUUUGGUUUUUUUAAUAAAAUUUAUUGCUUAUAAAAAAAAAUUAAUAAAUCAACCUUAGUAGGUUUCUUGUCUUUUUUUUUUUUCAUGAUUUAAUAUUUUCUUAAUAAACUUGAUUGAAGUACGGAAAAUUGUGUAAUUUACCAAAUAACUUUAAUUUUAAAUUAAGAUAUAUAUAUAUAUAUAUAUAUAUAUAUAUAUAUAUGGCAUAAUAAAUUUAUUAAUCAACUUAAAUAAUUUGUUUAGAUAACAGAUUUUGGACUUGCUCAAUUUUUUACCGACGGUGCUACUCACAUAUCCAAAUCAUCAGUUAUGGGAACCCAUGUGUAAGAUAUAAUUUUCUUUCUAUCAUUUAAUUGCAUUGCUAUUAUUUUCUAUUUUUUCAAUGCCAUUAUUAUCUCCUCUUAAAAUAGUUUAAAAUAAAAUAAAUAUUAAAAUAGAUAAAAUAACACAUAAAAAAAUAUAAGUACUCCUUAAUUUGAUAGUAUUAGUAAUCUUAACAAAUUUUAUUACAGUUAUUAAUAAUCUUAACAAAUUUUAUUGCAGUUACGAAGAUCCAUUUACAACAAAAUUGGGAAAGUAUUCUGAUAAAUCUGAUAUUUAUUCUUUUGGAGUUACACUUUUAGAAUUGAUUACUGGAAGAAAACCUAUAGACAAUGGCACUGAUAUUGUUACUUGGGUAUGACUCUGUUUGCUUUAAUAAAACUAUGAUAUAAAAAUUCUAUUUACCAUUUAUAAAGUUUUGAAUUUAGAUCUCAAUUGGAGUUAUUUAGAUUUAAAUUCAAUGCAUUCAUGAUUCAUUAAUAAAUAAUUUUUUAAUCAAUAUCUUGUAGGCAAAUCCUCUAAUUAAAAAGGCUUUGAAGAGAAGGUAUACAAAUUUUAUAGAUUCCAAUUUACAAUCCUUUGACUAUGAACAAAUGUAUCAAAUGGUUUCUUGUGUUGAUUCUUGUCUAAAUCAACCUCCAAGCUCUCGUCCAACAAUGGAAAAGGUAAAAUUUUUCACAUAACUAAUCUCAAAACUAUAUAUAUAUUAUCUCAAAACUUGUAAUCAUUUUAUUAUUAUGUUAUGCAGAUACGUCUAGUUCUUGAAGGAAAAUCACUCUCGAAAGAAUUAUACGAUCAUAAAUUGCGAAGGAGUAUUAUACAUACAGGUUUAUAUUCUUUUAUGCUAAUUUAUUAAAAAUUAUAUGCAUAUUUGAUCUAAUUGAUGCCUAAAUUUUCAUUUAAUGUGUCAUAUCUUAAUAUUUGAACAAUGUUGAUUUUCAACUACAAAAAUAUUAGUUUUUUAAUUUGAAAUUUAGAAUAAAAUAGUUUUUAACCAAAAUUGAUAACUUAUUAAUUAAAUAUAAUUUUUUAUUUUAUAAUUAUUCAAAAAACUGUGAAAAGAAUGAAAAAUUACUUUGAAGUUUUUUUUUUUUUUGGAAAUAGGAAUUAGGGGAAUAAAAUAUGAGAACUCUCAUAUGCACUUUCCACCAGAAUAAGUCUAUGAGUGUAAUUACCUUAAAGUUUUAAAACAUAAAUCUAAAAGUUCAUACAUGUAUAUAUGUAGAGGUACUAACAGUUUUACAGAUCCGAAAGGAUCUAGGUCAUCGCCUGAGUUGAAUAGAAGUAUAAUUACUGGGCCGAGGCAAUAUUCAUUUGAACAACUAGUAAAGGCGACCAAUUAUUUUUCUAAUAACGAUCUCAUUGGCGAGGGUGGCUUUGGACAAGUUUAUAGGGGAUUACUAGAUGGUGAAACCCUUGCUAUUAAGAAACUCAAAAAUCAUCGAGAUUUACAGUCGCAAGAAUACCUGAAGAAUGAGAUUAUUGUUGUUAGCAGCAUCCGCCACAAAAAUCUUGUUGAACUGCUUGGUUACUGUAUUGAAGGGGCCAAUAAAUUCCUUGUUUUUAAGUAUUUUCCCAAUAAGUCCUUGAGCUCUCAAUUACACGGUGAGUUUCAUCCUUUCCCUUUAUAUAUAUAUAUAUAUAAUUUUUUGUUUCAUAAUCGUUAUGAAAAUUAAUAUAAAUAAAAAUUGAUUUUUGUAGAAAGCGAUCAGGAUUUGAACUGGGAGACAAGAAUAAAUAUCGCUAAAGGCUCUGCAAAAGGCCUAGAAUAUUUGCAUGAACACUGUGAGUAUAUAAUUAAAUAUAUUCAUAGCUAAUAAUUGCCAAGCUUUUUAGCUCUUGAGGUUCUAAUAUCUAUUGUUCUUUCUUUGAGUUAAUAUAUAAUUUAUUUUAUCUUAAAACUUUUUAUUUUUUUUGUAUGUUAGGUGAACCUCCUAUCAUACAUUUAAAUAUCAAGUCAGACAAUAUUCUUCUUGAUGAAGAUUUUAAACCAAAGGUAAAAUAUUUUGAUAAUUAUUGGAUCCAUAAUACAGUGGAACAUCAAAUAUUGUUGGAUGUCAAAAUUUUAUUUUUAAGAGAGCCACUGAGUUUGCCUCUCUUAAACUGUGAGUGAAAGAUAUAUCCACCAUCUUAUAAAUAGAGGGUUUUUAAACUCAUAGGAACUAAUAAUAUUGAUUUUACUAUACCACAAAAACUAAAAUGUAUUUUAUCUUUUUGAUGAAUAUUCUUAAAGUACACAUAACAGUGUAAUUUGUUAGAAUAAGAGUAUAAGAAGUAUAUUUAUGAAAUUUGGUGUAGAAAUAACUACACCUUUUUUUUGUAUAUAUAUAUAUAUAUAACAUAAUAAAUUUAUUUAUCUACUCUUUUUUGAAAAUAAAUUUAUUAAUCUAUUUAAAUAAUUUUGUUUAAUUAGGUGGCUGAUUUUGGACUUGCACGCUUUUUUUCGGAGACUAUUAUUCACAUAUUCAAAUCAGCGACUAUGGAAACCAAAGCGUAAGAUAAUUUAUACAUGUUUAAAUUUUUUAGUGUCAUUAUUAUGUUCUACUUCUAGAAUAAUUAAAAUAAAAUAAAAUACAUAUGAAAACAGAAGGAAACUAGUGUUUCUUUAGAUUUUAAUUUCUUGAAUCUUGACAUGAAUUUUGAUUGAGCUUACUAAAUUGCAGCUAUAUAGAUCCAUAUGCAAUAAAAACUGGAGAGUACACUGUAAAAUCAGAUGUUUACUCAUUUGGUAUUAUGCUUCUAGAAUUAAUUACCGGAAGAAGACUCAUAGAAGAAGACGGCUCUGAUGUUGUUGAAUGGGUAAGGCGUAUGCAACUAGUAUACUUUAAAAAUUUAUGAUAUGUAAUUGUAUAAUUAAAAUAUAAUAAAAGAUAUUUAAGAUCCAAAACUCACCAUUCACAUGCAAUCACUGAUAUUAAUGCAUUUGAAAUUCCCAAUUGAUGUAAGUCUGAGUUAAUAAAUAGACAUAAUUAUAUUUUUAUUGAUAUUCUACAGGCAAAAUCUGAAAUUAAGAAGGCUUUGCGGGAUAAAAAAUUUGAAAGAUUUGUAGAUUCUAGAUUGCAAAUGUUUGACGAUGAAGAAGCGUAUCGAAUGUUGUUCUGCAUUGAUAUUUGUAUAAAUAACAUUCCAAAAUUUCGCCCAUCAAUGAAGAAGGUAAAUUUUUUUUUCUUUUCCAUAUAUUAUGUUAUAAUUGAUAAUAUAUACAAUAAUUUCAUUAUUAUUGUGCCAUAUAGAUACUUCUAACUCUCGACGGAAUUUUGCCUCAACAAAUUAUGCAAUGAGAAGGGUGAUAACAAAUUGACACUGUACCCCACUUUAUAUAUAAUUUCAUCUCCGAUUAAUAGAAGUACAAGUAUUGGGCUGAGGCAAUAUUCAUAUUAACAACUAGCAAAGGCCACCAAUCAUUUCUCCGGUAACAAUCUUCUUGGCGAGGGUGGCUUCGAACAAGUUUACAUGGGAUCAGUAGAUGGUCAAUUCUUGUAACACCCCUAUCCAAUUAUUUAAUUAACCAAGUUAGAGACAUUAUAUUUUGUAACUGUUCUCUUUUUUUUUUAUUUUUUUUAUAUCAUAUAAUUCAUUACCUUUUUUUUAUCGAAAAUCCGACAGAGUUUCCCCUGAAAUAUGAACUUAAUUCCACCUGUGAAUAGAAAUAUCACACUUCUAUAAACUUCAAUCUUAACCCUCAAACUUCUUUUAACAUCAACACAAUUUCAAUUCAGAUCAAACACUUCAUAAUCAUCUCAUUAAUCUCAACACAAAAACUUAUACUAAUAACCCAUAUUUACACCAAAAUUAAAAUCUUUAAAUAUAUCUAAUUCCAACCAUAUAUAACUUCAUCUCUAAAACUUUGCCAUAUUUCCAAAAUUAACUUUAUAUAAAGUUUAUAAAAUAUACUCCAAGAUAGUUAAUGAUGUAACUCUGGUCGGGUUGAUCAGAUCUUGAUCUACUGCUCCUUGGACCUACAACCUGCGCGAGGAAAAAUACAUUCCUACGCGCUAAGCAAAUUGCUUAGUGGUGCUCAACUUCUUUUUAUAUUUAAAAAUAAAUCAUUUAAAUCAAAAUUCAUUUAUCAACAAUAAAUCAAACAAAUAACAAUAAACUAUAUAGCAAAUAAUUUGAAACAAUUCUAAAUCAUAUUAUUAUUUCACAUAUAUACAAAUUUUAAUUUCAGUAUUUUCUUUUUCUUUUUCUUCAUGUAAAAAAAGGUUCUAUUUUCUCUUAAUACUUUUAUUUAUUUAUUAUUUUUCUUUUGGCCCCUAUAAAUUUAAAUGGGACUGUUAAGUCAGAUAAGGAACUGUAUCUAUAGGGCACAAAGUGCCAAAUAGGGAGUGAGGUUUUAAAAAUUUUAAUAAUUAAAAAAAAGGAAUAAUUAAGAUAGAUAAAUGAAGGGAAAAGAAAAAUUGAUAAACUACUUUUACCUCUAACUUUUCAUCUAUUUAUAUUAUUUUUCCUCUUUUACUAUUUUUUAAAUUGAAUUUUCUAUUUUAUUUUCCAGUGAAAUAAAAAUAAUUAUAAAGUAUAUACCAAAACCCCAAUCACAAUAAAGUAAAUAAAUUUUAUUAAAAUUAUUUAUUUAUAAGAGAUAAAAGGGCGGAAAGGAUAAGAAUAACAUUAUUUAUAAAGUCGAUUAAUAAAAUGUCACUAUUAAUUAUUUUUUGGUUUAAAUAAUGGAUACUUUCUGAUUGUUGCAUUAAGUCAUUGAUGGGACCCAUGAGCCCACGUCUAUUUAUCACUAAAAAAAUAUUUACCACAUGCUGCGCAUUAAUAAAAAGAAACUCAUUAAUAAAUUUAUAUGCAUUGCACAAAAUGACAUUGACUCGCCGCUGGAGGCCACAUGCUGCCCAUUCUACGCCAACUUCAACAUUAUAUAUAUAUAUAUUUUUUUUAAAGGAAAACGAAGGUCUGAAUGCUAAAGUUACCUACCGUCUUCCAUCACCCUUUCCACAUCUUCCUCUCUAUCUCUGACCAUUCAUUCACACUGAAUAUACUUGCAAGAAAGCUGUGGUCGUGGUUGCAUAAGUCUGCAACUUCUGACGACCUCUAGCUUGGGGCUGAACCGGGCAGAUUCGCCUUAUGGAUACUAGAGGUAUUACUUGUUGUAGCUGAAUGUGUGGAACCAAAUAGUAGUAGUUUCAUAGAGCUUUCAUUUCAUUUCAUCAACUAAUUGAGGCAUGUUGUUUAUUCUAUGGUCACUAAGCACAGAUCCGAAUGAAUCUGGUUCAUCUUCAUCUGCAUCUGAGAAUUAUGACGGUAUUGGGCCAAAGUCAUAUUCAUACGAUGAACUAGCAAAGGUAACUGGUCAUUUCUCGCACAAUAACCUAAUUGGUCGAGGUGGUUUUGGUCAUGUUUUUAGAGCAUCCUUAGAUGGCGAGACUCGUGCUAUCAAAAGACUUGAUUAUCCGGGUGUAGAGUCUGAAGGAGAUUUGGAAAGGGAGAUUAUGGUCGUAAAAAGCAUCAGUCACAAAAACCUCGUUGAACUGAUUGGUUACUGCAUUGAUGGAGCCAAUAGAUUGCUUAUUUUAAAGUAUUUUCCAAAUGGAUCUUUGAGAUCUAAAUUAGAUGGUGAGUCCCAUAUCCUUUAUUUUACGUUUCAUGUAACUAAUGCGACAUAAUUAAUCUUGCAAAUUACAAAUGGUUUUAAUUUUGUAGGGAAGGAGAAUGUUUUAGACUGGAAAAAAAGAAUGAAUAUUGCUAUAGGUUCUGCAAGAGGACUGGAAUAUUUACAUGAACACUGUAAGUAUGUAGUACAACAUAUUCCUAAUUGGCAGGAUUUUAGCUUUAGAGAGUGAAUUUAUUUUUUUAUUUUUUGUGAUAAUUUAUUUUCUCUUAAAAUUUUAUACUUUUCCCAUAUUUUUUCAGGUAAACCUAAAAUUAUACAUUUAGAUAUCAAGCCGGACAAUAUUCUUCUUGAUGAACAUUUUGAACCUAAGGUAAAAUAAUUUUAUAGUAAAUAAAUAUUUUAUUUAUAUCUAUCACAUAACCUUAUCACUACCUUAUCACUCAAUACUGAAAUUUUAUAUUUUGAAUUGAAGUCAUCGUUUGUUUAAUAUGAUUGUUGUAAUUAAUUAAUAAAUCUGGGUUCUUCUUUUUUGGUUUGGCCAUAUAUUUUUGGCUUUUUUAAUAAAAAUUAUUGCUUAUUGGCGAAGGCAAAAAUUAUAGGAAAGUUUGAUUUUCUUGUAUAUCUUGGAUCGGUAGCAGUACAUGUAUAUAUAUACAGUGGAUACAAUAGACUUAAAAUAGGUUUACAAAAAAUGUAAUACACAUGAAAUAACUGAAAACAGUUUUUCUAACCAACUUUGGCGCCAUUAUUUUCCACGUGGCUUAACAUCCCCUGCAAGUUGGGGAGUAUAUAUCAAUCAUCCUCAGCUUGGAUAAUAUUUCUCGAAAAGGAGCAAUAGGUAAGGGCUUUGUGCAAAUAUCAGCGAGUUGGGCAGCAGAUGGUAUUGGAAGGAGUUUAAUCAACUCAGAGAGCAGUUUUUCACGAACAAUAUGGCGGUCUAUCUUGAUAUGUUCAUGAAAGAUUGGAAUUUGCAGCAAUUUGUAUAGCAGAUUUGUUAUCACAAUAAAUAAUGGCAGGUUGAGGGUGACAGACAAAUAGGUCAUGAAGAAGAUACAAUAGCUACUGUACUUCUCACAGGUGAUAGUUGCAAGAGCUCAAUAUUCAGCUUCAGAGGAGCACCGAGAAAUGGUAAGACUGCUCCUUUGCCUACCAAGAAAUUAGAGCGGAUCCUAGAAGGAGACAAAAUCCUGUAACAAAUUUUUGGAUGUCAGCACAACCUGUCCAGUCUGAAUCACGGAAACCUUUCAGUUGUAAGUCUGAACCAGUAGAGAAGAAAAGACAUGCAUCCGGAGAGCUCUUGAUAUAACGAAAUAUACAAUGGGCUGCUUGUAAAUGAAUAGAGGUAGGUGGGGCGAUCCAGGAGCGGACUAAGUUGUUGAAGGAACGGACUAAGUUGUUGAACUGCCAGGUCUUGUGGAUGUUAAAUAGAGUAAUCCCGCUAUCAGUCUUCUAUAGAAAAGGAUAUCAUCCAAGGGUGUGCCAGAAUUGAUACUACGCUUAGUUUUGGAGUCCAUACACUACAAAAAAUUUCCAGAUUACGGAAGGAUUUACUAACGAUUUGAAUCUGUUAGUAAUUUUAAUCGAUUUAUUAACGAUUUUAAAAAUUUAUUAGUAAAUUUUAAUAUAAAAUAUUUUAUAUAAAAAUUUAUUAACGAAUUUAAAAUACGUUGGUAAUAUAUUGGUAUUACUAACGGAUUUUAAAAUUUAUUGAUAAUUUAUAAAUAUAUAAAAUAAUUUAUGUUGAAAUUUAUUAACAGAUUUAAAGUCCGUUAAUAAAUCUGUCGAUAAUUUAUUAACGAAUUUUAAUAUGUUAGUAAAUUUUAAAACGUGUUUAAAGUACUAGCGGACUUUUAACGUGUUUAAAAAAUUAUUAAUGAAUUUGAAAAUUUAUUACUAAAUUUUAUCAUUAAAUUAGUAAGUAAAAAAAGUGUUGAAUUUAUCACCUUAUGCUAUCUAUUAUUUUUUUUUUUGAAAUAGGGGUUGGGGGAGUCGAACCUUAGACCUUUUAAGGCUACAGGAUGCACUUUUCACCAGGCUAAGCCUUGGAGUGCUUAUGCUAUCUAUUAUUAAAUUUAAUAUGACAUUUCGCAUAAAAUUUUUGCCUUUUUUUUUUUAAAUCCACAUUUUUCAAUUAUCAACGAAUUUAUUAAUGGAUUUAAAAUCCGUUGGUAAUUUUUAAAGGAAAAAAAUCUAUUUUUUAUUUUUUUAAAAAUUUAGUAAUGGAUUUCAUUAAUAAACUGUUAAUAAUCCACAUUUAUAAAUAUAACACUAUCUCUUCUUCUUUUAUCAUUCAUUCGUUUUAUCAUUUUCUUUUCCUUUCCAUUAUUUUCUUUCUUUUUCUAUUACUUUCUUUUAUUUCACUUUCUCAUUUCAUAUUUUUUUCUUCUCAUUUUUUUGUAUUAUUUUCCUUUCAUUUCUUAUCCUUUUUUAUCACAUUCUCUUCCAUCUUAUAUUAUUUUCUUUAUUUUUCUCCAUAAUUUUUCUUUUCCAUUAUUUUUUUUCUUUUUUUUCUUAUUCUUUAUUUUUUCUAUAAUUAUUAUUCAUAUUAUUUUCUUCUAUCAUUUUCUUUCUAUCUAUAUCUUUUCUUCAUUUAUUUUAUUCUCUAAUUAUUUUCUCUUUUUUUUCUCAUUUUUCUAAUCAUCUUUUUACCAUACUCUCAUUCUUCCUUCUUUUUCAUAAUUUUUAUUUUUCUAUCAUUUUUUUCUUUUUCUCUUUUUUUUUUUUCUUUUCUUAUCAUUUUCUCUCAUUUGCUUUUCUCUUAUCCCCCCUUCUAUGUAUUUCUAAUAAAUAUUAGACAUAAAUUAAAAAUUUAGUAACAAUAAUAAUAUAAUUUUAAAUCUUAUUGAAUUAAUAAAAAAUAAUAUUAAUAACAAAAUUUAUUAUUUAAUCAAAAUAAUAAUUAUUUUAAACUUAUUUAAAUUUCCAAUGGAUCUAUUAACGAAUUUCAAUCAGUUGAUAAUUUACUAAUAGAUUUAUCAACGAAUUUCAAAUCUGUUAGUAAAUUAUUUUUCUCUCAAUUUACUAAUGGAUUUAAAAUCCGUUAGAAAUAAUAACGGAAACUCCGUUAGUAAAUCUGUCAGUAUUACUAACGGUUUACCAACGAGCUUUUUAACAACGGAUUAUAAUCCGUUGAUAAUUCAUUUACCAAUGUAUUUUUAUAGGAUUACCAACAGAAAAAUUCAUUAGUAAUCCGAAAGUUUUUUGUAGCGAUAAGAGUGGGAGCUGGUUUACAAUCUGAAAAGCCAAAGUCAUUAAGGAUCUCAAGGGCUAUUUCCGCUAACAAAGAGAGAUGCCAGCUUUAGUUCUUGCUACUUUCAACCUCAGAAAAAAACUCAAAUCACCAAAGUCUUUUAUUUUGAACUUAUUAUUAAGAAAAGAUUUAACAGUGUUAAUUUUUUGUAAAUUUGUGCCAACCAAGAUAACAUCAUCGACAUAAACCAAUAUCACAAUAAUAUGAACAUCAUAUUUCUUAACAAAGAGAGAAUAGUCCGAGAUAGACUGUUUAUAACCUAGGGAGAUAAGAGUAUUACACAAUUUUGAAUACCAUUGACAAGUGGCUUACUUUAAACCAUAAAGUGACUUGUUUAAGUGACAAACUUUGUUAGACUGAGAGGUAAAGCCUGGAGGAAGUGUCAUGUAUACUUUUUCAUGAAGAUCUCUACGAAGGAAUGCAUUAUUGAUGUCCAACUAUUAUAAAAACCAUCCAUUAGCAGCUGCAAGAGCUAAGAGAAAUCGAACAGUGGUUAUCUUAGCAACAGGUGAAAACAUAUCAAAAUAAUCAACACCUUCAAUGAAACGGUCCGACUCAAACUGACCCAAAUAACUUUUGGAUCCACUUUCCACUUAACCCAAAAUAGUUAACCCAAAUUAUUUAGUAGUUUCGUGCUAGCUAUUAUAGACAAUUUGGAUUUUCUGUAAUUCUACCGAUGUGAGGCGCCUUCCCACAUUAAGCAAGCAAUUGUCUAUCACACUGCCUUUCCAAAUUAAGCAAGCAAUUGUGUAUCAUACUCUCCCCCGCUAAAUUUGCAACGUCCUUGUCUCACACGGGUAGCUCUUUUCAUGCAGGCUCUACAUACUUUUUCCGACUCAGGGUGGCUCUGAUACUACGGGUGGCCCUUUCCUCGCAGGCUCACUAACUCUGCAUAAUUUUUCUGACCCAGGGUAGCUCUAAUACCAAUUGAAACAGUCCGAUCCAAAUAACUUUUGGAUCCACUUUCCACUUGGAUCUCCUGCUAAAUUUGCGACGUUCUCGUCGCAACUAAAUCGAAUACAAUUGCUAAAUCAGGACCGGACCCUCGAAUAUUGUGGUUCGCUAGUACCUCGGGCGGCUGCACCUCAUCUCGCACGGUAUUUGGAAUUCAAUGCGGGAUUCUCAAAAUAGGAUAUUUAGUGAAUGACUCCUUUAGAAGCAUAAAAGGCUGGUAUUUGGAAUUCAACUCCAUUGUCACUUCUGAUUUUUUGGAUCUUAGUAGAAAAUUGAGUUUCUACAAGAUUAAAAAAGGAUUGAAGGCAAGACCUGGCAUCACAUUUAGAGUGCAAUAAGAAAAUCCAAGUGAACUUAGUGAAAUCAUCCCCAACAGUUAAAGAAGAAUUUGUGACCAGUUAUUGAACAUACUGAAAAUGGCCCCAAAUAUCUACAUGUAUUAGUUCAAAAGCUCUAUUUGUAGUAGAUAUGCUAUCAGAAAACAAAAGCCUUUUUUGUUUUGCAAAGUGGCAAAUAUCACAGACAACUUUAUUAUGAGAGGCAAAGAUAUCUGGAAUAUGAGCUUGAAGUGUUUGAAGUCUGGAAGGUGAAGGAUGACCCAACCUGAAGUGUCAUUUACCAAAAUUACUAUCAACAAUACAUACUCUAGAAAGAUUGAAAGGCACUAGCAUGUAGAGACCAUUGUUCACUUUAGUUGUACCAACUAUCUUCCAGUGAGUCAAUUCCUGUAUGAAACAAGCAUAUUGCUGAAAAACCAGGCAACAAUUACCAGAAAGAGUAAGCUUAGACACAGAUAAGAGAUUGAAGGCAAAUUCUGGAAUGAAAAGAGCACCAUUCAGUAUCAAUUUGUCUGUCAAUUGAACUGUGCCUGCAACUUUUGCAAGAAGCUUGGAUCCAUUUGGAAGAGUAACAACAAUGGGUGGAAUGUUGUGAUAAGUACUGAAAAGAUGCAGUGAAUGUGCAAUAUGGUCUGUUUCACCAUGUCCACUAUCCAAACAUCAGAACUGGCAGAAACAGAUAAUGCCAAAUGUGUACCUGGUUAAGGAUCAAAGGCAGAUACCAAGUUUGUAACAGGAGUAGAGAUUGCCUGAGAGUUGUUAGAUGUUAACUGUGGAUAGGAUUUAGCUUCAAGAUGAGAAUCAUUGAGGAGUGCUAGUAAGCCAUGAUAUUAUUCUUGCGUUAAUGAGAAUCUUGAUUUCUCAAUAUUUGUCUGAGGUCCAAUUGAACUGAUGGCUUGAACGUUAUCAACAGCGGUAACAUUGUUGACAGUCACAUUUGAUCCUCUUGGUUUAUAACCAGGGGGAUAUCCAUGUUUCUUAUAGUAAGUUUCUAUUGUGUGCCUGUACCUUCCUCAAAAUGUGUAGUAUCUAUUGUCUCCAGAGGAGUUAACAACAGAUUUUCCAGCUGAAUGAGACUUGUAAUUGUAUGAAGGGACAUAUCUAAAUCUGGAUAGAUUAGAUUUUGCAAUCUAACUAAUUAAAUUAUAAAAGAUUAAUUAAAUUCUGUCAAGAGUUUUAACCAAUAUUAUUUGGCUAAAACGAUAUAAGAGAAAAGAUAGGCCGAAAGACGAUAGCCUUAUUAAAAUUUUUCAAAAAUUGAAAAGUAAGUUUAUAAUAGUCAAGUGAGUUCAUCUAAUAGCCAAGUGAGUUUAUCUAAUCAACCUUAAUAGAUUUUUUAUUUUUUUUUCAUGAUUUAAAAAAAGGAAUAUAUUCAUGAAAUUAAGUGCCAAAAUAACUUAUUCACCUUUAAAUUAAUAUAUACAUUAUAUAUAAAUGGCAUAAUAAAUUUAUUAACCAACUUAAAUCAUUUGUCUAGAUAACAGAUUUUGGACUUGCUCAUUUUUUUACGGAUGCUGCUACUCACAUAUCCAAAUCAUCAGUUAUGGGAACCCAAGUGUACGUAGGAUAUAACUUUCUUUCUAUAUUUAAUUGUUUUUUUAUAUAUAAAAGAAUUGCAUUACUAUUAUUGUCUUUUUCAUUUUCACUGUCAUUAUUAUCUACACUAAAAUAAAAAUUAAAACAAAAAAAGCACAUAAAAAUAAAUUAAAACUCCUUAAUUUGAAGAUAUUAUUUUCUUAAAGAAAAUCUAUAUGAAUUUUAAUUGUGAUAAUUCUAUUGCAGUUACGAAGAUCCACUGACGACAAAAUUAGGAAAGUAUUCUGAUAAAUCUGAUAUUUAUUCUUUUGGUGUUACACUUUUAGAGCUGAUUACCGGAAGAAAACCUUUAGAUAAUGGCAUUGAUAUUGUUACUUGGGUACGACUAUUUGCAUUAAUAAAAACUAUGAUAUAAAGAAAAUUUUUUUUCUCAUUGAUAUAUAGUCGUUUAAAAAAGUAAAAUUUUGAAUUUAGAUUUCAAUAGGAUCUAUUUAGAUUUUAAUCCAGUGCAUUUAAGAUCCAUUAAUAAAUAUAUAUAUAUUUUUUUAUCUUGUAGGCAAAUCUUCACAUUAGAGAGGCUUUAGAUGGAAAAUAUGCAAAUUUUGUAGAUUCCAAAAUACAAUCUUUUGAUGAUGAAGAAAUGCAUAGAAUGGUUUCUUGUAUUAAUUCUUGCUUAAAUCGACUUCCAAAAUUUCGUCCAACAAUGGAAAAGGUAAAAAUUGUUUCCAUAAUUAAUUUAAUUGUAGUAUCUUUCAAUAUAAUUAUGUGAAAGCCUAUUACAUAAUUGAUUUAUAAUUAUUUUAUUGCUAUAUAUGUCAUAUAGAUACGUCUAGUUCUUGAAGGAAAAUCGCUUCCAGAAGUAUUAUACGAUCACAAUUUGCAAUGCGGUAUGAUAUAUAAAGGUCCAUAUUAUUUUAUGUUAAUUUAUUAUAAAUUAUAUGCAUAUUUAUAGAUCUAAUUGAUGCCUAAAUUAUCAUUUAAUUUUCAACUGUAAAAAAUAAGUUUUUUAAUUUGAAAUUUAGAAUAAAUUAGGUUUUAACCAAAAUUGAUACAUAUUAAUUAAAUAUAUUUUUUAAUCUUAUAAUUAUUCAAACAAACUGUAAAAACAAUGAUGAAAACUUUAUCUUAAAGUUUUAAAACAUAAAUCUAAAAGUUCAUACAUGAUUUCUUAAUCGUUAAAUUUGUUAAUCAUUGAAUUAAAACGUAUAGUUAAUAUAUAUAAUAGUGAAUAGUUUCAGGAUUAAAAAUAUAAUUUUAUUUGAAUAUAAUUAUUUAUAGAGUUAUGAUUUAUCUUAUUAGUUAUUUUUAAUAAUUAUAGGAGACAAGAACAAAAAAAUCAUUUAUCAACCGAAAACCUCCUUUGUUCCCUUAUAUAUAUGAAAAGUGCAAAAUUAAGAAUUACCAUAUUUUAUUUAUUAUUUCUUAAAAAUGAAUAUGUAAUUACAUUUACAUUUAAAUCGGUUAGAGUUUUUUAGAAUUAAAAAAAUAAAUUAUAAAUAUUUAAUUUAUUAAUUAGGAAUCAAUAUAUAAAUUGGAAUUUUGUAUUAAAUAGUUAACAUUUUAGUCAAUUUACAAGUUCAUUGACUUAUUUAUUAAUUUUACAUAUUAUUCUUUUAUUAUUUAAGGAAAAGUAAAUAAAUAGGAAUAAUUCUUCAUAAGAAAAAAAUAUAUAUUAUCAAUGGCCAUGAAACCAUUUGCUAUUUUGAAGUUGUUAAAUUUUAUUUUAAAAGAUUGUUAAACAUAAUGAUUGUUUAUUGAUUGUCACUAAACACAGAUGAGAAUACUAUUGGGCCAAAGUCAUAUUCAUACGGUGAACUAGCAAGGGUAACUGAUCAUUUCUCGCUCAAUAACCAAAUUGGUCGAGGUAGUUUUGGUCAUGUUUUUAAGGCAUCCUUAGAUGGUGAGAUCCGUGCUAUUAAGAGACUUGAUUUUCCGGAUGUACAAUUCGAAGAAGGUUUGGAGAGGGAGAUUAUGGUCUUCAAAAGCGUCAGACACAAAAACCUCGUUGAACUGGUUGGUUACUGUAUUCAUGGAUCCAAUAGAUUGCUUAUUUCAAAGUAUUUUCCAAAUGGGUCCUUGAGAUCUAAAUUACAUGGUGAGUCCCAUAUAUCCCUUCUUUUACUUUUAUGUUCGUAUAACUAAUCAAUAUGACAUGAUAAAUCCUAAAAAUUACAAAUCGUAUUGUAGGAAGUGGGGAUGUUUUGGACUGGAAAAAAAGAAUGAAGAUCGCCAUAGGUUCUGCAAAAGGAUUGGAAUAUUUACAUGAACACUGUGAGUAUAUACUACUACACAUUCUUACUUGCAGGAUUUUAACUUUUGAGUGUGAAUUUAUUUAUUUAUUUAUUUUUAUUUAUAUUACCUCAAAUAUUUAUAUUUUAUAUUUUUUGUAGGUAAUCCUAAAAUUAUUCAUUUAAUUAUGAAACCGGAUAAUAUUUUUCUUGACGAAGAUUUUGAACCUAAGGUAAGGUAAUGUUAUAAUAAAUAAACAUUCACUAUACACCAAAUUUUAAUCAUUGAAUACCGAAAUUUUAUUUUUAACAAUAUUGAAAAAUUAUGUAAACUCCUUAAUUACAUAAUUUGAUUUUUGUAAUUAAUUAAUAAAUCUGAAUUCUAAUUCUUUUUUAGUUUGGCCAUAUAUUUUUGGCUUUUUUUAAUAAAAUUGAUUGCUUAUAAAAAACAUUAGUAAAUCAACCUUAGUAGGUUUUUUGUCUUUUUUUCAUGAUUUAAUAUUUUCUUAAUAAACUUGAUUGAAGUACGGAAAAUUGUGUAAUUUACCAAAUAAAAAAAGUAAAAGUAUAUUUAUAGAACUAAGUGUGAAAAAUAACUUUAAUUUUAAAUUAAGAUAUAUAUAUACAAAUGGAAUAACAAAUUUAUUAAUUAACUUAAAUAGUUUGUUUAGAUAACAGAUUUUGGACUUGCUCAAUUUUUUACCGACGGUGCUACUCACAUAUCCAAAUCAUCAGUUAUGGGAACCCAUGUGUAAGAUAUAAUUUUCUUUCUAUCAUUUAAUUGUAUUGCUAUUAUUUUUUAUUUUUUUAAUGUCAUUAUUAUCUUCUCUUAGAAUAGUUUAAAAUAAAAUAAAUAUUAAAAUAGAUAAAAUAAUACAUAAAAAAUAUAAGUAAUCCAUUAAGAUAGUAUUAAUAAUUUUAACAAAUUCUUUUGCAGUUAUGAAGAUCCACUAACAACAAAACUGGGGAAGUAUUCUGAUAAAUCUGAUAUUUAUUCUUUUGGAGUUACACUUUUAGAAUUGAUUACGGGAAGAAAACCUAUAGACAACGGCAUUGACAUUGUUACUUGGGUAUGGCUCUAUUUAUUUUAAUAAAACUAUGAUAUAAAAAUUUUGAAUUUAGAUUUCAAUUGGAAUUAUUUAGAUUUUAAUCCAAUGCAUUUAUGAUUUAUUAAUAAAUAAUUUUUUUAAUUAAUAUUUUGUAGGCAAAUCGUCUAAUUAAAAAUGAUUUGGUGGGAAGAUAUACCAAGUUUGUAGAUUUCAAUUUACAAUCUUUUGACCGUGAACAAAUGUAUCGAAUGAUUUCUUGUGUUAAUUCUUGUCUAAAUCAACCUCCAAAUUCUCGUCCAACAAUGGAAAAGGUAAAAUUUUUCACAUAACUAAUCUCAAAAUUAUAUAUACUAUCUUCAAGUUUGUAAUUAUUUUAUUGGCAUGCCAUGUAGAUACGUCUAGUUCUCGAAGAAAAAUUGCCUUCAGAGGAAUUAUACGAUCAUGAAUUGCAAUGGAGUAUUAUUCUAUACUCUUUUAUGUUAAUUUAUUAGAAAUUAUAUGCAUAUUUAUACUAAAGCUUGAUCUAAUUGAUGCCUAAAUUAAUUUUCAUUUAAUUUCUGUUAUAUCUUAACAUUAGAAACAAAUGUUGAUUUUUAACUGCAUAAAUAUUAAUUGUUUUAAUUUGAAAUGUAGAAUAAAUUAGUUUUUUUAGUCAAAAUUGAUAACAUAUUAAUGAAAUAUAAUUUUUAUCUUAUAAUUAUUCAAACAAAUGUAAAAACAAUGAUGAAUAUUUUACCUUAAAGCUUUAAAGCAUAAAUCUAAAAGUUCAUACAUAAUUUCUUAAUCGUUAAUUUUGUCAAAUAUUGAAUUAAAUCAUAUAGUUAAUAUUUAUAGGAUUGAAUAGUUUCAAGAUUAAACAUAUAAUUUUAUUUGAAUUAGAAGAAUAUAAUUACUUAUAGGGUUACGAUUUAUCUUAUUAAUUAUGAGGAAGGGGUGAUGUGAAGUAUCCAUCUAAGUUCAUCUACUCGGUGAUUUUGCUUUNNNNNNNNNNNNNNNNNNNNNNNNNNNNNNNNNNNNNNNNNNNNNNNNNNNNNNNNNNNNNNNNNNNNNNNNNNNNNNNNNNNNNNNNNNNNNNNNNNNNNNNNNNNNNNNNNNNNNNNNNNNNNNNNNNNNNNNNNNNNNNNNNNNNNNNNNNNNNNNNNNNNNNNNNNNNNNNNNNNNNNNNNNNNNNNNNNNNNNNNNNNNNNNNNNNNNNNNNNNNNNNNNNNNNNNNNNNNNNNNNNNNNNNNNNNNNNNNNNNNNNNNNNNNNNNNNNNNNNNNNNNNNNNNNNNNNNNNNNNNNNNNNNNNNNNNNNNNNNNNNNNNNNNNNNNNNNNNNNNNNNNNNNNNNNNNNNNNNNNNNNNNNNNNNNNNNNNNNNNNNNNNNNNNNNNNNNNNNNNNNNNNNNNNNNNNNNNNNNNNNNNNNNNNNNNNNNNNNNNNNNNNNNNNNNNNNNNNNNNNNNNNNNNNNNNNNNNNNNNNNNNNNNNNNNNNNNNNNNNNNNNNNNNNNNNNNNNNNNNNNNNNNNNNNNNNNNNNNNNNNNNNNNNNNNNNNNNNNNNNNNNNNNNNNNNNNNNNNNNNNNNNNNNNNNNNNNNNNNNNNNNNNNNNNNNNNNNNNNNNNNNNNNNNNNNNNNNNNNNNNNNNNNNNNNNNNNNNNNNNNNNNNNNNNNNNNNNNNNNNNNNNNNNNNNNNNNNNNNNNNNNNNNNNNNNNNNNNNNNNNNNNNNNNNNNNNNNNNNNNNNNNNNNNNNNNNNNNNNNNNNNNNNNNNNNNNNNNNNNNNNNNNNNNNNNNNNNNNNNNNNNNNNNNNNNNNNNNNNNNNNNNNNNNNNNNNNNNNNNNNNNNNNNNNNNNNNNNNNNNNNNNNNNNNNNNNNNNNNNNNNNNNNNNNNNNNNNNNNNNNNNNNNNNNNNNNNNNNNNNNNNNNNNNNNNNNNNNNNNNNNNNNNNNNNNNNNNNNNNNNNNNNNNNNNNNNNNNNNNNNNNNNNNNNNNNNNNNNNNNNNNNNNNNNNNNNNNNNNNNNNNNNNNNNNNNNNNNNNNNNNNNNNNNNNNNNNNNNNNNNNNNNNNNNNNNNNNNNNNNNNNNNNNNNNNNNNNNNNNNNNNNNNNNNNNNNNNNNNNNNNNNNNNNNNNNNNNNNNNNNNNNNNNNNNNNNNNNNNNNNNNNNNNNNNNNNNNNNNNNNNNNNNNNNNNNNNNNNNNNNNNNNNNNNNNNNNNNNNNNNNNNNNNNNNNNNNNNNNNNNNNNNNNNNNNNNNNNNNNNNNNNNNNNNNNNNNNNNNNNNNNNNNNNNNNNNNNNNNNNNNNNNNNNNNNNNNNNNNNNNNNNNNNNNNNNNNNNNNNNNNNNNNNNNNNNNNNNNNNNNNNNNNNNNNNNNNNNNNNNNNNNNNNNNNNNNNNNNNNNNNNNNNNNNNNNNNNNNNNNNNNNNNNNNNNNNNNNNNNNNNNNNNNNNNNNNNNNNNNNNNNNNNNNNNNNNNNNNNNNNNNNNNNNNNNNNNNNNNNNNNNNNNNNUUAUGGUUAAGUGGUAUCGAAGUUGCAAUACGGAUAAAAAGAUCUCAAUUUUUCUUAUAAAAUUCCAAAUCAAAAUUUUUAGUCAAAGUAUCCCACCAAGUUAUUAAAUUGUUUAAUUACUCUUUUGCAUUUAUUUUGAAUAACAAUACAAAUAAAUUUCAUUAUUAAUUAAAUCAUCAAAAUCCAUAUUAUGUUUUUAAUUUUUAACAUUAUGCUAAUUUAUAAAGAUGGGAUCUAUUCAUUAAAGAUAUGUGUAAUAUAAUUAUUUUCAUAACUAUAGGUGGAGAUUACACUAGAACAAGCAAUUUAUUGAGACACCCAUAUAUCCAAAACGUAUAGACCAUCAGAUACAUGGCAUUUACCAAUAAUCUUUUUUAUCAUAAAACUUUGAAAAAAACGAUGAUCAAAGAAAAAAGAGACACAAUAGUUUAAGUAUUUAAUAAGUUUACUCACAAAAUUUAAAUUUAAAGUAAGAUUAGAUAAAUUUAACACGGAUGAUAAAAUGAUAAAAGGAGUAAACUUAACCGUCUUAGAACACUCAACAUUAUAUUGCGAUUUACAUAGUCUGUUAACCAAGUUGAUUUCCUAGUAGAAUGAGGCUGACCUCUUUCAAUAGGUUGGAUUUCCGGUGACCAGCAAUUUGAUGUUGCAAGUCAGAUUCUGAUUUGUACAAGUUGGUCAUUUUGGUUCUCUAUUUCUUUAAAGAAGACUGAUAUAGGUUGCUGUUAUGACUCAUUUUUAGCCUAAUUCCAUGUGUUUUCUUCAUAAAAACUCACAUCUCUACUGAUCACAAUUUUUUUAGUGUCUGAAUUUAAUAACUUAUAAGUUUUAGAGACUUCACUUAAGCUAAGAAAGACAUAUUUUUCACCCUUAUCAUCUAACUUUUUCCUUUUCUCAUUAGAUAUAUAUGCAUAUUUGAUGCAACUGAAAAUUCAACAAUGAUCAACAGCUGGUUUUCUUCCACUCCAUAUUUCCUCCGGAGUCAUUUUCUGUAUUGAAAAUAUUAGACUUCUAUUCAGUACAUGGAUACUCCAAUUAAUUGCCUUAGGGCAAAAGUUCUUCGGAACAUUGCCUUUAGCCAGCAAUCUUCUCACCAUAUUAAGGAUUGUUCUAUUUUUCCUUUCCAAUACGCCAUUUUAUUAUGGUAAAUAGGCCUGUGAGUUCCCUUUGAAUGCUUUAUUCAUCACAAAACUGUUUAAAUUCCUUUAAAUAAUAUUUUCCACCAUGAUUGGUACGAAAAGUUUUAACUGCCUUCCCUUACUCAUUUUCAACAUGCACUUUGAAGCUUUUAAAUGCACGCAUUUAAAAAGCUUCUGAUUUAGCCUGCAAAAAGUCAAUCCAAGUCUUCCAAGAAAAAUCAUCAAUGAAAGUGAUUAAAUAUUUGUUACCCCCAUUGAAAGUUGAAUUGAUUGGACUGCAUAUAUUGGAAUGGACCAGCUCUAAAAAAUCUUUCGCUCUCUAUUAUUUUCCUUGUGGAAAUUGAGAGCAAUAUUGUUUACAAACACACACUCUUCAUAAACUCGAGAUAGAAUAGUAAUUUGAGGAAGAUCAUUCGCCAUAUGCUUCUAUUGGAGAGUUCUUAAUCCACCGAAAUUCAAGUGGCCGUAACAGAAAUGCCAAAGCCGAGAUGGAUUCUUCAUUUCAGCCAUCAAACGGGUUUGGGCAACUUGAAUUUGCAAUGGAAACAACCUGUUUGAGCUCAUUUAAAUAAUUACAAUAGCUUCUCUUGAAGGAUCAUAAAUUUCACAAGCUCUCUUUUGAAUGAUUAUCAGAUAGCCCUUCUCUUACAAUUGACCAGCACUAAGUAAAUUACUUUUCAAAUCAGGAACAUAAAACACACUAGAAAUGGUCUCCAUAAAACCAUUCUUAGUUUUAAUAUCAAUAUCACCUUUUCCCAUCACAUUUACUUUAGAACUAUCAUCAAAGCUCACAGUUGAAUGAAAAGUUUUAUCUAAAUGGGAAAAGAGAGACUUACUACCACACAUAUGAUUGCUACAUCCUGUAUCAACAUAUCAAACUCCAGAGUUAAUUGUCUCAUUGGUUUGAACAGUCAUUAAGAGAGUUUCAGCUUCAUGAUUUUGUAUAAAGUUUGACUUCUCCCUAUUUUCUCUGUCAUUUGACAUUUUGGUACGACAUUUUGAACAAUAUUGAUCAAAUUUAUGGCAUCUGUAGCAUUCAAUUUUGGAUUUGUCAAAGUGCUAAAACUAUCCUUUCCCUUUGUGUGAUUGAUCAUCGUCAAUUUUGAAAUUUGUGUUUCCAUUUCUGUUGCCACGAUCUCUCCUUUCUCUUCCUCUUCCUCUUUCUCUUCCUCUACCUCUUCAUCGUCAGUUUUAUAGCUUAUCUCCAUAGUUCUCGCAAAAUAGCUUGUGAUAGAUUUACCAUCCUUCAUCUGUAGAGUCUCAAAAUCUCAUCUCAAGAUGUGCAUGCUUUACACUUGCGGAGCCUUGAUAUUUCUUUUUCAUGGAGUCCCAAAGUUGUUUGGAAGUAUCUUUACAUAAAAUGGUCUCUAAAAUUGAAUGAUUGGUUGCCUAAAAUAAAUGAUUUUUCGCCUUAAGAUCCUUCAACUUUAGUCCUUCAAUUUCUGCUUUUUGCCCUUCAGUCACUGCUGCUCCACUUGCUGGUGCCAAUACUCCAUCCGAAACAACUUGCCAGUACUCUUUCGAUCUAAGAAUAUUUUCCAUCAACAUGCUCUAGUGAUCAUAGUGACCAUCGAAGCGAAAUAUUGUAGGUUGCACAAGACUAUCAAAUACUAUUGACAAUAUUUGAAAAAUGCACAAGAAAGCUACAGCUUAAACUUGGCUUUGAUACCACUGUCAGUAGCGUUUUUCAAAAAUACAGCAAAAAUAAAAUUACAGUAUAAUAAAAGACCAAAUAAAAGUGAAAUCUCAUCCAUAAAAUUAAAAAUAAAUAGCCCAUAAAUAGGCUUUACUAAUCAACUAAGAAACAACUACUAACAUAAAAGCACUAAACCACUAAUAUAAAAACACUAAAACAGGAAGCGUUAAACUGAUAACAUAAAAGCACUAAAUCACUAAUAUAAAAGCAAUAAAAUAGGAAGUUAAUUAGUUACUGCUACCAAAAAUUUAUAUAUUUGGUAGUAAGUCUUCAUCAAGUUGACUUCAUAUUUAUAUAUUUGGACAACAUAAUAUUUGGAGAAUACAAAAUUAUAUAUAAUGUUCUGAAUAUUUAAAAUUAUUUAUACACACCUCUCCGUUUUAUCAUUUUUAUUCAUUUUAUAUUUUUAUAUAUAUUAAAAAAUAUAAUUUUUUAAUUAUAUCCAUAUUAAAUAUAUUAAAUUUUAUUAAAUAUUAAAAAAUAUUUUAAAAAUAUUUUAAAAAUAAAAUAAAAUUAAAUACGAUUUAUAUAUUAUUAUAAUUUUAAAAAAUAAAUAAUAAUUUUAAAACAAUAAAAAUAAAUAAAUAAAAAUUUAUGGAGCUUAUUUUAUUGUGAUAUUUUAAAAGCAAAUCUAGGUCUUUUUUAAUUUAGUUUUAUCGUAUGGGUCUUGGUCUAUAUAUAUAUAUUAUAAAACGUUAAUUUUAGAAGGUUUAAUAAUCAAUAAUUCAACAUGCAUUUAUCUCAUUGGAUAGAUAUUAUUAAUUAAUUAGAUGGUCAUCACCGAAUUAGCUCAUCUCCACAACACGGCUUCAACCUCAAUAUCUUUCACACUUGUAAGCUUUCUCUAUAUAUAUUGUAGGAAACAUCUGUCCGAGGUAUUUUAGCUACCCGACUUUCAUUGUAGUGAUCGUGAUUGCAUAAGUCUAGCUCUAGCGACUGUGCAACUUGUGAUGCUUCUCGCUGGAAAUCUAGGUCAUCGCCUGAACUGAAUCGUAGAAAAAGUAUUAGGCCGAGACAAUAUUCAUAUCAACAACUAGCAAGGGCAACUAAUCAUUUCUCUAAUAAUCAUCUUCUCGGCGAGGGUGGUUUUGGACAAGUUUAUAAAGGAUCGCUAAAUGGUAAAUCCUUUGCUAUUAAAAAACUCAAAAAUUUUUCAGAUUUACAGUCGGAAGGAGAUCUAGAGAAUGAGAUUAGGAUUGUUAGCAGCGUCCGCCAUAAAAAUCUUAUUGAACUGCUUGGUUACUGCAUUGAAGGGAGGGGCGAAUAGAUUAUUUAUUUUCAAAUAUUUUCGCAACAAGUCCUUGAGCUCUCAAUUACAUGGUGAGUCUCAUCCUUCCUAUAUAUUUUCAUAACUGGUAUGAAAAUUAAUAUUAAAAAAUGGUUUUGUAGAAAGUGAUAAAGAUUUGGACUGGCAAAAGAGAAUGGAUAUCGCCAAAGGGGCUGCAAGUGCACUGGAAUAUUUACAUGAACUCUGUGAGUAUAUUAUAUCUAAUUUGCUAACCUUUAAGUUUAAUUAUGAUCUCUCAAUAUGUCUGUUUAUUUUACAUCUUUCUUUAAAUUAAUAUUUUAUUUUCUUUCAAAUCUUUUUAUUUUUUUUAUAUCAAUUAAUCAUUCAAUUAUAUAUUUAAAUAUUAAAUUAGAUAAUAUUUUUCUCGAUAAUAAAUUCGAAUUAAAAAUAUAAUAAUUUAAUCAUAAAUAUAUUUUUUAUAUUUAUUUAUGAUUAGACCUAUUUAAUAAUAAUACUUUUUAUAAUUUAAGAUUGAAUUGUUAUAAUUAUAAUUUAGUAAACUUUACUUAUUAAUUACUUUUGUCUUUUUUAAAAAUAAUCUAUUUAAUUUUUAUAAUUUUAAAAAAUUAAUAAUGUAGUCCAGUUAAAUCUUCAUUUAUGUGUUAGUAUUAUUUAUUUAAAAAUUAACUUAUGGUCUGUAUUUAAACCAUAAAAAUUAAACUAUUUUACAUAUAUGAUAUUAUAAAUGCUUUACUUUGUUCUUUCAAAUGUAUAAUAAAUUAUAAUUUAUUACGAUUAAUUUAACCAAUAUCUAAUUAAUUCUAAAAAAAGACUAUAAAGAAUUAUAAUCCUUUAUUUAAUAAAUAUCAUAAUUAGUCAGUUCAUAUUCUGAAUUUUUACAAAUUACCAUAUAUAAUAAAUGAUCUUACAUGGAUCAAAUGAGCUUAUAUAUAUGAUAAACCUAAUCAGUCACAUUUACACUAUUAAUAUUAAUAUCUAUAAAAAUUGGUACAAUUAUAUGUAUACAAUUAAAAAUUAAAUUUUUUAUGGAUGCUAAACUUGAAAUCGAUCUUACCUUUUGUUUGACAUAACUCAUUUUAGAAUAAAAGAAUUUAAAUAAAUUUUAGUAAAAUAUGAUUUUAUUUUCUUUAAAAAUAAAAAUUAAAUUGAAUCAUUAUAAAAUCUUUGAUUCCAAACAAGAUCUUAAAAGCUUGAACUAUGAAAAACCUUAUAAUUAAUUAAUAAUUUAUAGAUAAUUUGUAAUUUAUAAGUACAUCCAUAAUUUAAUUAUUUAUUCAUAAUUUAAUUAUUCUUAUUAUUUUUUUAUGAAAUUUAACUUUUUAAUACAUUUCUGUGUAUAUCCAAUUUUUAUGAUAAUUAAAUAUAUUUUCUAAUAUAUUAAAAGGAUAUAAAAUUCAAUUUGUAAAAUAAUAAAUAUAUUAUAUUAUGUAACAAAUUUUAAAUUAUUUUGUAUCUUUUUAUUAAUUAUAUUUUCUAUUUCAUAAUAGUAUGAAAAUUUCAUUAAAAAAAAUGGAUAAAAAGUUAGAUAUACUCUUUAUAUCUUUGAUAAAAAUAGAAUAUAAUAAAUUUAAUCACAAAAGUUAAUCAGAUAUAAAUACAUAAUUUAAAAGAUAAUAACUAAGCAAAUAAAAUUAUUUAUGAAGAAUAUAAAAAGGGUUUUUACUCUCCCUUUGAAAUCAAGAAUUUUAUAAAAAUUUAAUUCAAUUAAUUUUUUUAAAAAGAAAACUCUUAUUGAAAAUUAAAAAAUUUAAAAUUUUUUAGCAUAUGAAUGAUUUUACAAGAAUUUAUUUAAAUUUUUUUUCUUAUAACUACAUUGCAACACACUACGGAAAAUCAUGCUUUGGCAUAAUAAAUUUAUUAGGGAGAUUUAUAAUUUAAUCCCUGAGUAUUGCCAUUAUUAACAAGUCAGUCUCUAUAUUUUUAGAAACCUAUUAAAACGUCCUUAUUUUUUCUCUCCGUCAACAAAAUAGUCCUUCUGUCUAUUUUUGCCGUUAAAAAUAUAGUAAAAAACUAAAUUACCCUCAUUUUUUUUUCUUCCUCUUCCUCCUCCUCCUCCUCCUUCCUUUUCUUCUUCUUGCUUCUUCUGCUUCUGCUUUUUCUUCUUCUUCUUUUUCUUCUGCUUUUUCUGCUUCUUCUUCUCCUUCUUCUCCUUCUUCUUNNNNNNNNNNNNNNNNNNNNNNNNNNNNNNNNNNNNNNNNNNNNNNNNNNNNNNNNNNNNNNNNNNNNNNNNNNNNNNNNNNNNNNNNNNNNNNNNNNNNNNNNNNNNNNNNNNNNNNNNNNNNNNNNNNNNNNNNNNNNNNNNNNNNNNNNNNNNNNNNNNNNNNNNNNNNNNNNNNNNNNNNNNNNNNNNNNNNNNNNNNNNNNNNNNNNNNNNNNNNNNNNNNNNNNNNNNNNNNNNNNNNNNNNNNNNNNNNNNNNNNNNNNNNNNNNNNNNNNNNNNNNNNNNNNNNNNNNNNNNNNNNNNNNNNNNNNNNNNNNNNNNNNNNNNNNNNNNNNNNNNNNNNNNNNNNNNNNNNNNNNNNNNNNNNNNNNNNNNNNNNNNNNNNNNNNNNNNNNNNNNNNNNNNNNNNNNNNNNNNNNNNNNNNNNNNNNNNNNNNNNNNNNNNNNNNNNNNNNNNNNNNNNNNNNNNNNNNNNNNNNNNNNNNNNNNNNNNNNNNNNNNNNNNNNNNNNNNNNNNNNNNNNNNNNNNNNNNNNNNNNNNNNNNNNNNNNNNNNNNNNNNNNNNNNNNNNNNNNNNNNNNNNNNNNNNNNNNNNNNNNNNNNNNNNNNNNNNNNNNNNNNNNNNNNNNNNNNNNNNNNNNNNNNNNNNNNNNNNNNNNNNNNNNNNNNNNNNNNNNNNNNNNNNNNNNNNNNNNNNNNNNNNNNNNNNNNNNNNNNNNNNNNNNNNNNNNNNNNNNNNNNNNNNNNNNNNNNNNNNNNNNNNNNNNNNNNNNNNNNNNNNNNNNNNNNNNNNNNNNNNNNNNNNNNNNNNNNNNNNNNNNNNNNNNNNNNNNNNNNNNNNNNNNNNNNNNNNNNNNNNNNNNNNNNNNNNNNNNNNNNNNNNNNNNNNNNNNNNNNNNNNNNNNNNNNNNNNNNNNNNNNNNNNNNNNNNNNNNNNNNNNNNNNNNNNNNNNNNNNNNNNNNNNNNNNNNNNNNNNNNNNNNNNNNNNNNNNNNNNNNNNNNNNNNNNNNNNNNNNNNNNNNNNNNNNNNNNNNNNNNNNNNNNNNNNNNNNNNNNNNNNNNNNNNNNNNNNNNNNNNNNNNNNNNNNNNNNNNNNNNNNNNNNNNNNNNNNNNNNNNNNNNNNNNNNNNNNNNNNNNNNNNNNNNNNNNNNNNNNNNNNNNNNNNNNNNNNNNNNNNNNNNNNNNNNNNNNNNNNNNNNNNNNNNNNNNNNNNNNNNNNNNNNNNNNNNNNNNNNNNNNNNNNNNNNNNNNNNNNNNNNNNNNNNNNNNNNNNNNNNNNNNNNNNNNNNNNNNNNNNNNNNNNNNNNNNNNNNNNNNNNNNNNNNNNNNNNNNNNNNNNNNNNNNNNNNNNNNNNNNNNNNNNNNNNNNNNNNNNNNNNNNNNNNNNNNNNNNNNNNNNNNNNNNNNNNNNNNNNNNNNNNNNNNNNNNNNNNNNNNNNNNNNNNNNNNNNNNNNNNNNNNNNNNNNNNNNNNNNNNNNNNNNNNNNNNNNNNNNNNNNNNNNNNNNNNNNNNNNNNNNNNNNNNNNNNNNNNNNNNNNNNNNNNNNNNNNNNNNNNNNNNNNNNNNNNNNNNNNNNNNNNNNNNNNNNNNNNNNNNNNNNNNNNNNNNNNNNNNNNNNNNNNNNNNNNNNNNNNNNNNNNNNNNNNNNNNNNNNNNNNNNNNNNNNNNNNNNNNNNNNNNNNNNNNNNNNNNNNNNNNNNNNNNNNNNNNNNNNNNNNNNNNNNNNNNNNNNNNNNNNNNNNNNNNNNNNNNNNNNNNNNNNNNNNNNNNNNNNNNNNNNNNNNNNNNNNNNNNNNNNNNNNNNNNNNNNNNNNNNNNNNNNNNNNNNNNNNNNNNNNNNNNNNNNNNNNNNNNNNNNNNNNNNNNNNNNNNNNNNNNNNNNNNNNNNNNNNNNNNNNNNNNNNNNNNNNNNNNNNNNNNNNNNNNNNNNNNNNNNNNNNNNNNNNNNNNNNNNNNNNNNNNNNNNNNNNNNNNNNNNNNNNNNNNNNNNNNNNNNNNNNNNNNNNNNNNNNNNNNNNNNNNNNNNNNNNNNNNNNNNNNNNNNNNNNNNNNNNNNNNNNNNNNNNNNNNNNNNNNNNNNNNNNNNNNNNNNNNNNNNNNNNNNNNNNNNNNNNNNNNNNNNNNNNNNNNNNNNNNNNNNNNNNNNNNNNNNNNNNNNNNNNNNNNNNNNNNNNNNNNNNNNNNNNNNNNNNNNNNNNNNNNNNNNNNNNNNNNNNNNNNNNNNNNNNNNNNNNNNNNNNNNNNNNNNNNNNNNNNNNNNNNNGAAUGAGUUUAAAACCAUUAGCCGCACUCGUCACCCGAAUAUUGUGGAGGUCGUCGGAUACUGCAGCGAAGAAGCUGAUCGAUUGAUUGUUUACGAGUUCGUUUCCAACAAGAGCUUGAAAUCUCAUCUCUAUGGUGAGUAUUCUUAAAUUUUCUCAUUGGAUUUAUAAUUUAUUUAUCAUGAGAGCUAAAUGAUUAAGCCAUCUUGUUCGGUUACACAAGUGGGAAGAAGACAGCAGACAAUGGUGACCGCCCCGAUCGAUUGGCCAACCAGAAUGAAGAUUGCUUUGGGUAUAGCAGAAGGAUUGGCAUAUUUGCAUGAAGACUGUGAGAUUUUAACUUUAUUUAGUUUUUUUUUUUUUUCAAGUUUUUCUAUAUUGCAAUUUAUACUUUUUAAUUUUAUGCAUUUUUAGGUAAACCAGGAAUUAUCCACGGAGAUAUUAAAAGUGACAAUAUUCUUCUCGAUGAUGAAUUUAAUCCUAAGGUAUGAUGAUAGAAUCACAUAAGAGAUUUAUAAAAAAUAAUUCAACAGCUAAACAUUUUAUAGUUAAUAUUAAAAAUGUAAAUAAAAUUUACAUUUAUAACUAUUUAACUGUUUUAAUUAAUUACAAGUAAUUUUAAUUAUAAAUAAGAGUCGUUUCAAAAUCUUGAUUUAAAAUAUUAACUUGGAAUUUAAAUUUAACUUAUUAGUUAUAAAUUAAUUUGAAUGACACAAUAAAUUACUUCUAUCAACUUUUUUCCCUUUAGAUUAGAGAUUUUGGAAUUUCCAAAGAAUUUGCGGAUUCAGAAACUCACGUUUCCACUAUCUCAAUGGGAACUCCAGAGUAUGAUUCGUUCUCAUUUGCUUGCGAAAUUUUCUUCUUUCUCAAAGAAAAUUGGUUGAAUUGGUAGUUCUCAUCUGAUGAACGCUUUCUUUAAGUGCAGUUAUCUCGCCCCCGAGCAUUGCACCGAAGAUGGCUAAAAUAAGAGGCUCACUGAUAAGUCUGAUGUAUUUUCUUUCGGUGUUGUGCUUUUAGAGCUGAUUACGGGAAAAUUAGCCGUUUUUGAGAGGGAACGCAGGGAAUAUAUUUUCUUAACUAUUUGGGUACUUGAAAAUAAAGAAUUUGAUAUUUUGUAUUUUCGAUAUUCAAAGGUUUUUUGUUUUUUAUUUUUUUUUCCCUGAUGGAAUGCUUAACUGACCUCUGUACAUCUAUUUUGAUCAUUCCCAGGCCGUGCCUCUACUGAAACAAAUUUUGGAUGCUGAGUAUCAAGAUUUGCAUGCUGAAAAUUGUAAAGAAUUUUUUGAUUCCAAAUUACCGAAUAAUUUUGAGGAAAAUGAUAUGAAACGACUCAUUUAUUGUGCUGCUGCUUGUGUAUAUAAACCUGCCAAGUUACGCCCACAUAUGUGCAAGGUAAAUUCACAAAACCAAACCAGUUAUUUUUGGAUUAUGCUUUGCAUGUGAUUAUCAGUAAAAAUAUAUGAAAUAUAAUUUAAAAAGUACGUAAAAAUUAUUUGAUAAUUUUGCAUAUGUUGAUUAAAAAUUGGGAGAGUGACUGCAUGUGAUUUUGUGAUGCAGAUAGUUAAAGUACUAAAUGGAGAUAUGGAACCCAAAACUAUAUGGGUGAGAAGUGAUUGCAAGUACCUAUACAAUGGGUCACCUUACGCUCCAUUUCCUCAAGCUCAGGGAACCUCCAGCUCUUGAGCUCUAUCCAAUACAUGAAUUAUCCUCGCCUUGUAACAAAAAAGUGUGUUCUUGCUAAAUGCACGUGCUUUUCUAAGGGAUCAAUUAAAUAAUAAGAAUGUGUUCCUUGCUGAAUUUUUUUAAAAUAUUAAUAAUGAUUGAUAUUGAAUAAUUUUUCAUAUAUAUAUAUAUAUUGGCAGAAUACAUAAUAUCCAUUACGUAUUAUUUUAAAACAAAGAGAUAAUAUGCAACAUAUAUAUAUACACAUAGGUAUGGUUGGUAAUAAUUUAAUAAAUAAUUUUAGUUAAAAAUUUAUAUGAAUUAAAUUUAAUAAUAAAUAAUAAUUUUAUUAGAUAGAUAAUUCAAAAUUUUUUAAAAAUUUCAAAUUAAUGAAAUUUAAAUUUUAUUAAUUAAAUUAAUUGUAGAAUUCAUAUAAAUUUAAAAUUCUUAAUUUUUCUGUUUAAAUUCUUAGAAUUAUUUUUAUUAUAAUUCUUUUUUUUUAAAAAAAAUGUGAUUCUACGGAUUAAAAUUAUAACGGUUUCAUAAAAAAAUAUUUUUUCUUUUUAAUUAAGCAAAAUUUAUAAAAAAAAGUAUUAAAAUAUUUAUAAUAAUAUGAAUAAAAAGUAAUGUACUAAAAAAAAGUAAAAUUUUAUAAUAUAUUACAUUUAGAAAUAAAAUAAAAAUUAUUCAAUCAAAUAUUAAUUUUAUUGAAUUAUUAUCUAUAAUAAAUUUAUAUUGAAUUUUAUUAUUUUUUAGUUUAUACUACAUAUGAGUGAAAGGGGUGACAAGUAAUUAAUAAAAUUAUUUAAAAUACUCAUAUUAUAUUUAUUAUAAAUUUAUUAUUAGUUAAAAUUUUAAUUUAUAAAUAAUUAUAAAAUAUGAUAAAAUUUAUUACUAUUCGUAAUAUUUAUAAUAUGUAGAUUAGAUCAUAUAUAUCAAUGCCAUUUUAAUAUUAAAUAACUUUGUUAUUAUUUUUAUAUUAAUUUUUUUUUAUAUAUAAAACCAGUGAUAAAUAGUUAUUCAAAAUAAGUGGAUACUUUCAUUGGAUAAUUUCAAAAAAAAAAAAAAAAAAUUCAUUGGAACUUAGAAUAAAGAGAAACUCAUUAAUAAACUUAUAAUAUGCAUUACACAAAAUGAUGUUAACCGAAGGCCACAUGCUGCGAAUUCUACGCUCAACGUCAACGUUAAUUUUUUUUUUUAUUUUUUUAUUAAAAAAAAAAAAUGAAAACGAAGGUCCUAACUGUCUUCCUUCAUCCUUCUUACAUCUCCCUCUUUAUCUCUGACCAUUCGCAUUCACACUCCAUAAGAACUCUAUUAUAUAUACUUGCAAAAAACCUCUGGCCGUGGUUGCACAAGUCUGCAACUUCUGAUGGCCAAUCGCUUGGGGAUGAACGGGGAAGAUCACCGGAUUGAAACUAGAGGUAUUAAUUGUUUUUAGCUGAAACUGUUGUGCCAAAUAGUAAUAGUUUCAUGGAGAUUUCAUUUCAUCUAACUAAUUGAGGCAUGUUGUUUAUUGAUUGCUCACUAAGCACAGAUCAGAAUGAAUCUGGCUCAUCUCCAGAGAAGACUAUUGGGCCAAAGUCAUAUUCAUACGGUGAACUAGCAAGGGUAACCGGUCAUUUCUCGCUCAAUAAUCUAAUUGGUCGAGGUGGUUUUGGUCAUGUUUUCAAGGCAUUCUUAGAUGGUGAGAUUCGUGCUAUCAAAAGACUUGAUUUUCCAGAUGUACAGUCUGAAGGAGGUUUGGAGAGGGAGAUUAUGGUCGUCAAAAGCAUCAGUCACAAAAAUCUCGUUGAACUAGUUGGUUACUGCAUUGAUGGAGCCAAUAGGUUGCUUAUUUUAAACUAUUUUCCAAAUGGAUCCUUAAGAUCUAAAUUACACGGUGAGUCCCAUAUCCUUUCUUUUACUUUUAUGACAUGAAUAAUCUUGCAAAUUACAAAUGCUAUUGUAGGAAGUGGGGAUGUUUUGGAUUGGAAAAAAAGAAUGAAGAUCGCUAUAGCUUCUGCAAAAUGAUUGGAAUAUUUACAUGAACACUGUGAGUAUAUACUACUACAUAUUCUUACUUGCAGGAUUUUAACCUUUGAGUGUGAAUUUAUUUAUUUUUGUUUAUAUUGAUAAUUUCUUUUCUCUCAAAUAUUUAUAUUUUAUAUUAUUUUCAGGUAAACCUAAAAUUAUUCAUUUAGAUAUCAAGCCGGAUAAUAUUUUUCUUGACGAAGAUUUUGAACCUAAAGUAAGAUAAUUUUAUAACAAAUAAACAUUUUAUUUAUAUCAUCUAUAAAAUAAAUAUUUUAUUUAUAUCAUCACAUUUGUAUAGUAGAACUUUCAUCAUUCAAUAUCGAAAUUUUAUUUUUAAAUAAUAUUAAAAAAUUAUGUCAACUCCUUAAUUAUAUAAUUUAAUUUUUGUAAUUAAUUAAUAAAUCUAGAUUCUAAUUUUUUUUGGUUUGGCCAUUUUGGCUUGUUUUAAUAAAAUUUAUUGCUUAUAAAAAAAAUAAUAAAUCAACCUUAGUAGGUUUCUUGUCUUUUGUUUUUUCAUGAUUUAAUAUUUUCUUAAUAAACUUGAUUGAAGUACGGAAAAUUGUGUAAUUUACCAAAUAAAAAGUGUAAAAGUAUAUUCAUAGAGAAAAAUAACUUUAAUUUUAAAUUAAGAUAUGUAUAUAAAUGGCAUAAUAAAUUUAUUAAUUAACUUAAAUAAUUUGUUUAGAUAACAGAUUUUGGACUUGCUCAAUUUUUUACCGACGGUGCUACUCACAUAUCCAAAUCAUCAGUUAUGGGAACCCAUGUGUAAGAUAUAAUUUUCUUUCUAUCAUUUAAUUGCAUUGCUAUUAUUUUCUAUUUUUUCAAUACCAUUAUUAUCUUCUCUUAGAAUAGUUUAAAAUAAAAUAAAUAUUAAAAUAGAUAAAAUAAUACAUAAAAAAUAUAAGUAGUCCUUAAUUUGAUAGUAUUAAUAAUUUUAGUAAAUUCUUUUGCAGUUAUGAAGAUCCACUAACAAUAAAAUUGGAGAAAUAUUCUGAUAAAUCUGAUAUUUAUUCUUUUGGAGUUACACUUUUAGAAUUGAUUACGGGAAGAAAACCUAUAGACAACGGCAUUGACAUUGUUACUUGGGUAUGACUCUAUUUGUUUUAAUAAAACUAUGAUAUAAAAAUUUUGAAUUUAGAUUUCAAUUGGAAUUAUUUAGAUUUUAAUUCAAUGCAUUUAUGAUUUAUUAAUAAAUAAUUUUUUUAAUUAAUAUUUUGUAGGCAAAUUAUCUAAUUAAAAAGGCUUUGGAGGGAAGAUAUACCAAUUUUAUAGAUUUCAAUUUACAAUCUUUUGACCAUUAACAAAUGUAUCGAAUGAUUUCUUGUGUUAAUUCUUGUCUAAAUCAACCUCCAAAUUCUCGUCCAACAAUGGAAAAGGUAAAAUUUUUCACAUAACUAAUCUCAAAACUAUAUAUAUUAUUUUUAAGUUUGUAAUUAUUUUAUUGGCAUGCUAUGUAGAUAUAUCUAGUUCUCGAAGAAAAAUCGCCUUCAGAAGAAUUAUACGAUCAUGAAUUGGAAUGGAGUAUUAUUCUAUGCUCUUUUAUGUUAAUUUAUUAGAAAUUAUAUGCAUAUUUAUACUAAAGCUUGAUUUAAUUGAUGCCUAAAUUAUUUUUCAUUUAAUUUCUGUCAUAUCUUAACAUUAGAAAUAAAUGUUAAUUUUCAACUGCAUAAAUAUUAAUUUUUUUAAUUUGAAAUGUAGAAUAAAUUAGUUUUUUUAGUCAAAAUUUAUAAAUAUUAAUGAAAUAUAAUUUGUAUCUUAUAAUUAUUCAAACAAAUGUAAAAACAAUGAUGAAUAUUUUUACCUUAAAGCUUUAAAGCAUAAAUCUAAAAGUUCAUACAUAAUUUCUUAAUCGUUAAUUUUGUCAAAUAUUGAAUUAAAUCAUAUAGUUAAUAUUUAUAGGAUUGAAUAGUUUCAAGAUUAAACAUAUAAUUUUAUUUGAAUUAGAAGAAUAUAAUUACUUAUAGGGUUAUGAUUUAUCUUAUUAAUUAAUUUUAAUCAUCAUAUGAAACAAUAAAGAAAAUCAUUUAUCAACCGAAAACCUCCUUUGUUCCCUAGUAUGAAGGAUGCAAAAUUAAAAACUAACAUUUCUUAAAAAUGAAUAUGUAAUUACAUUUACAUUUAAAUUUGUUAAGAGUUUUUUAGAAUUAAAAAUAUAUUUUAAAUUUUAAAUAUUUAAUUUAUUAAUUAGGAAUCAAUAUGUAAGUUAAUUAUUAUAAUUUAAAAUUAGAUAAAUAAAAAAUAAUCUUUAUUAAGAUUUUGCAUAAAGUAUUUAGCUAGGAUACAAUAUAUAUUACUAGCUUAAAUGAUUCAAGAUCGAUUUGAUGUUUUUCCCUCAAUUUUCUUUCAGAGUUAUAAAUUAUAUUAAGAAAACAAAAAUCUAGUUCCACAAAUAAUAUUUCUCCUUAUAGAGCUGCACUAAUUUUUUUUUUGUUUUUUUGGGAAGCAGACGAGCCUAAGCCAAAUCCCAAACCUUUUAUCUUUCAAGAAACUAAUAAUUAUGGCACACGAGAUCGUGGACAUGCCAGUCGACGAGCAACAAAAGCAACAAGUUAUGGUUCCUCCAACAUCAUUCCAGAAACUUCAUUUGAUGAGAUGGAUCGUUUUCCCAAACCCAUCGUCAUUAGGAGAAGAUGAAUAUGUUACAUUCAAUAAAAACCUUAAACCUUUCCCUUCUUAUUUUUCAUAGACCAGAGUUCUCCUUAUCAUUUUAAGCUUUUCUCUUUUUAUUAUUUUCUUUAAUGGAUAACUUAUUAUUUUAUUUUCUAUAUUGAAUAUGACCGAUCUUAAAAAUAAUUCUCUUUUUAUUCAUAUAUUUUUUUCGUUGAUAAUUUAAUAAAAAUUCAUCGGUGAAUAAUAUGAUCUAUUUUUAAAAGUCUUACUGAUAAAUUUGUACCUGGAAUCUAUUAUGGAAUCCACUAGUAAAUUUUUACCCUGAACUUUUUUUCAAGCUCACGAGAUCAGUUGGAAAAUUGUUGUCUUUAUUUGUCCUCUAUGAAUAUACAAUGGUUCCACAAAAUAGAUAUAUACACUAACUGCAUGUCAUGGUUUGCUUAGAUGAUGAAUCUAGCUCAUACUUUGAAAAAAGGUUGAUUAAAUUGAAGAAUCUGGCUCAUUGCAUGAGAAGAAUUAUAAGGGUUUUGGGCUGAAGCAACUAGCGGUGGCAAGAAGUGCAUCUGACAUUUAUAGGCGUAUAAUGAAUUAGCAAAUGCAACAGGUUAUUUCUCGCUCAAUAACCAAUUUCGUCAAAUUUCAAGGGACUCUUAGAGGGCAAGAUUUGUGCUAUUAAUUAAAUAAAAUUUUAGGAACUAUGUUAUAAUUUACUGUUAAUUUUUUUAAAAUUAAUUUAAUUCUCCUAAUUAUAAUAGUGAUAAAUUGAAAAAAUGUUUAAUUUUAUUAUUUAAAAUUUAAAAUUUUAGAUAUAAAUAUGAAUUAAUAUAAAUAUUUAAAUUUUUUAUUCAAUAAAUCUUUCAAAAAAUAUGUGACAUGAUAUAUAGAUUAAAAUUUUUUUUAUCAAAAUUGAUUGAGAUUAAUAGUUAAAAUUAAGAUAAAUGUGAAAAUAUUAAUUUUAUUUUGAUUGAGAUUAAUAGUUAAAAUUAAGAUAAAUGUGAAAAUAUUAAUUUUAUUUUGAUUGAGAUUAAUAGUUAAAAUUAAAAUAAAUAUGAAAAGAUUAAUUUUAUUGUACAAAAUUUUAAAAUUAGAAUAUAAAUAUGAAAAAUCAUAAAUUUUUCCAUUUUUUAUCUAAUAGACUUUUUCUUAUUAGAUAAAUUAGUCGACACCAGCAUGUUGCCUAAAUUUUAAUGGGUAAUUUAUGAUUUAGUCCCUGGGUAUUACCAUUAUUAACAAAUCAGUCCCUGUAUUUUUAGAAACCUAUUAAAACGUCCUUAUGUUUUCUCUCCGUCAACGAAAUAGUCCUUCUGUCUAUUUUUGCCGUUAAAAAUAUAGUAAAAGACUAUAUUACCCCCAUUAUUUUUCUCCUUCUCCUCCUCCUUCCUUUUCUUCUUCAUCAAUUCUUCUUCUUCUACUUCUUCUCCUUCUUCUUCUGCUUCUUCUCCUUCUUCUCCUUCUUCUUCUGCUUCUUCUCCUUCUUCUUCUUUUGCUUCUUUUUCUUCUUUCUCUUCUUCUUCUUCUUCUUCUUCUCAUUCUUCUUCUUCUUUUUCUUCUUUCUCUUCUUCUUCUUCUUCUUCUUCUUCUUCUUCUUCUUCUUCUUCUUCUUCUUCUUCUUCUUUUUCGGAGGAGGAGGAGGAGGAGGAGGACGAAAGAAAAGACAGGGACUAUUUCGUUAACAAAAAGAAACGAUAAGGACAUUUUAAUAGAUCUGAGAAAAGAUAGGGACUAUUUAGUUGACAAAAAGAAACAAUACGGACGUUUUAAUAGAUUUCUAAAAAUAUAGGGAGGGAUGAUUUCGUUGAUAGAAAAAAACGAUGAGGAGGGACUAUUUCGUUGACAUAAAAAAAGAUAAGAAUGUUUUAAUAGAUAUGAGAAAAGAUAGGGACUAUUUCAUUGAUGGAAAAAAACGAUAAGGACGUUUUAAUAGAUAUGAAAAAAGAUAAAAAUAUUUUAAUAGAUUUUUGAAAAUGUAAGGACUAACUUGUUAAUAAUUGUAAUAUACAAGGACUAAAUAAAUGGUUUUAUUUGAGGGUAAAAUUGGAUUUUAAAAAUUUUCUCUCUCCUCCUUUAUCUAAUUUUAACGGAAAAUAGGACGGAAGGACUAUUUCGUUGAUGGAAAUAAAACAUAAGGACGUUUUAAUAAGUUUUUAAAAAUACAGGGACUGACUUGUUAAUAAUGGUAAUACCCAGGGACUAAAUUGUAAAUCACCCAAUUUUAAUUAUACAGUUGUUAAUUUUAUUGAUAAAGAAUAAAAAACAAAAUUUUUUAUGGUUAAGUGGUAUCGAAGUUGCAAUAGGAAUAAAAAGAUCUCAAUUUUUCUUAUAAAAUUUCAAAUCAAAAUUUUUAGUCAAAGUAUCCUACCAAGUUAUUAAAUUGUUUAAUUAAUCUUUUGCAUUUAUUUUGAAUAACAAUACAAAUAAAUUUCAUUAUUAAUUAAAUCAUCAAAAUCCAUAUUAUAUUUUUAGUUUUUAACAUUAUGCUAAUUUGUAAAGAUAUGGGAUCUAUUCAUUAAAGAUAUGUGUAAUAUAAUUAUUUUCAUGACUAUACGUAGAGAUUACAUUAGAACAAGCAAUAUAUUGGGCACCCGGAUAAAAAAGAAACACAACAGUUUAGAUUUUUAGUAAGUUUAUUUACAAUAAUUAAAUUAAAUGUAAGAUUAAAUAAAUUUAACAUGGAUGAUAAAAUAAUAAAAUGAGUAAACUUAACCGCCUCAGAACACUCAACAUUAUAUUGCGACUCAUCAGCUAUGGUUACACUACAAGAAAUUAAAUUGCUAUGAUGGAAAUCGUCACAAAAAAUUUUAUUUUUGUCAUUAAAAAUUUAUUGUGAUAAAAUAUUAUAGUCACCGUAACCGUAACCAUGUAAUAAAAUGUAUACUAUGAUAAUAAUAAUAUUUAUCAUCAUAAAAAAGUUUUUUUAUAACGAAACUAUUUAAUUAUUAUGAAAUUGUAUAUUUAUAGUGAUAUAUAGUUUUUCACAAUUUAUAUCUAUUUUUCGUUAUUUAUUAUUUUUAUUUGUCAUUAAAAAUAUACUAUUUUAAUUAUGAAUGGUUCGUUUUGUCACUAAAUUAUUGACCAUGGACAUGUAAAAGGAAAGAAAAGAAAGCAAACAAGCCCACAGACAUCAAGAAAAGGAAAGAAAAGAAAGCAAACAAGCCCACAGACAUCAAGUAAAGAGAGCACAACAAGCCAAUCUCGAAAAACCAACGAAAAAUGUCUAGAUAGAACAAACCCAAACAGUUUCGAAACACUACACUCACAAAAACAACGCGGCAGAACUCUCAACAAAAGUGGUGAUCGUAGUGGUGAGACCCAGUUCAUGAAUAUAGUCACUUAGCAUUAGCAUAAGUGUAUACAUUCAUAUGUGUAGGUGGAAAUCAUUCUAACCUUCUCAUUUGCGAUAAUAAACAAUAAACAACUUGCUAUCUUUACGAGACUUUUAUAUUUAAUUUUUUAUUUUCAUAAUUUUCUAUUGCCCUCAACACCAAAUUAAUAUGUCAAUUAUUGAAUUUGACUCUCUUUCUCUCUAACCCUUGAGUUGGAUCUUAGUAUAAAGUAUAAAGUAUAAAGAAACUGUUGAACGAUGAAAUCUGUGAAUAAUUCAGUUGUUGUAUAUUUUUCUCCGGAAAGGAGGUUAUAUAUAGAUACAUUUACAACACAAAAUCAGAAAAGAAAAAAUGAAGCAAUCAUAUUCUAAGAAAACAAGAUAAGUCUGUACAGAAAACAAUAUAUAUCAGAUCUGUUAAUUGUGCAAAUCUCUAUAAUUACGUAAUCUACUCCUAAUUAGGCAGAUUAUUCCAACACUCCCCUCGAGUUGGAGUAUGGAUAUCUAUCAUGCCCAACUUGUCAACCAUAUCAUAGAAUAUAUUCUCAAACACUGCUUUUGUGAGUAUAUCAGCUAACUGGUCUUCUGACUUGACAAACGUGAACUGUAUAAUCUUCUAGUCUAGCUUUUCCUUGAUGAAAUGCCAAUUAACUUCAACAUGUUUGGUGCGAUCAUGUUGUACGGGAUUCUGUACAAUCUCAAUUGCAGCCUUGUUAUCGCAGAAAAAGUUUCAUUGAGCUUGCAUUGUCUAUUCCCAAUUCUUUUAGAACGCUUUUAAUUCACAAUAGCUCGUAUAAACCAUAUGACAUACCUUUGAAUUCGGCCUCUGUACUUGACUGCGUCACAACCUUUUGUUUUUUACUUCUCCAUAUAACUAGAUUCCCUUCCACGAAGGUAAAAUAACUCGAAGUAGAUCGCUUACCCAAUCAACAUCCGUGUAUCCUUCAAUGUCUGAUGUACCAUUUUUUGAGAAUAAUAGUCCCUUGCCUAGAGCCCUCUUCAGGUAUUUCAAGAUCCGGCAUACUGCAUUCAUAUGUUCUUCACUUGAUUCAUGCAUGAAUUGACUUAUAACACUUACAGUAUAUGCUAUAUCUGGCCUCGUGUGAGUCAAAUAGAUCAAUCUCCCAACCAAUCGUUCAUAGCGUCCCACAUCUGUUGGAUUUUGUUCUAUAAACAAACCGAUUUUAUGCUUCACCUCCGUCGGAGUUUCUGCUGAUUUGCAGGCAAGUACUCCAGUUUCAAUCAACAAAUCCAGAAUGUACUUCCGCUGUGAAAGGAAAAUUUCUCGUUCUGAUCUUGCUAUUUCAAUACCUAAGAAAUAUUUAAGUUGCCCAAGAUCCUUCAUUUUAAAUUCAGCAGCCAAAUAGUCCUACAAUAACUUCAUUUCACAAUGAUCAUCUCCUGUUAAGACCAUAUCAUCGACAUACACAAUUAAAGCUGAUACCUUUUCUUCUUUGUGUUUGAUAAAUAAAGUAUGGUCUGAAUUACUCUGUUUAUAACCAAAUGCCUUCAUCAUUGAAGUGAACCUCCCAAACCAAGCUCUAGGUGAUUGUUUAAGCCCAUACAAUGAUUUCUUCACCUUACAAACUUCAUUUCUGUUUGAAGUACUCCGUUUAACUUCCAGUGGGACCUCAAUAAAGACUUCCUCCUCCAAAUCUCAACUAAGAAAAGUAUUUUUAACAUCAAAUUGAUUCAUAGGCCAACCUCGAUUUGCUGCUAUAGAAAUAAGGAUACGAAUUGUGUUGAGCUUAGCCACCGUUGCAAAAGUCUCCUGAUAGUCUACUCCAUACUUUUGUGUAUAUCCUUUUGCAACCAACCUCGCCUUAUAUCUAUCAAUACUUCCAUCUGCUCUAAGUUUCACAGUGUAUACCCAUCUACAUCCAACUGUCUUCUUUCCUUCAGGUAGAGGAACAAGUUUCCAUGUAGAAUUCUUUUGUAGGGCCUCCAUCUCUUCGUUCAUCGCCUUUGUCCAUUUUGGAUAUGCUAAGGCAUCCUGCACACUACUAGGAAUAGAUACUUUGGAUAAUUGAUUAAUAGUAAAUGCAUAUGACUUGGACAAUCUAUGAGUAGAAAGAUAAUUACUAAUUGGAUACUUGACAUUGUCUCUAAGGUCAGGUUCAUACUGUUUCCUUGGUAUACCUUUAUUUGAUCUUUGUGGAUAUCUAGGAGGCAAAUUGUCACAAGAGUUACUUAUUUCAUUACACUCAUCAAGUAUAGGACUCGGGUUUACCUGAGUAGAAAUGUUGGUGUCUAGGUCUGAGUUGAUUCUUUGGUUGAUGGUGUUAUCAUGGGCAACUUUUCAGAUGUUGGUGAUUCUUCAGCAGACGUUGGUAUUUUAAUUUUUUAGAAGGAACUAAUAAAUCUUCAUCACAUCUUUUAGGGAGACCUUGCUGACUGUUACGUUGAAAACUUUCACUUACUUCCUCUAGUUCUAAGAAAUCUGUCAUUAUUUCUUGUGGCACAUCCUCUUCACUAAAGCUCUCCCCCUAAAGAGAAGGAGGUGUGACUCCCCCUGAAUAGUAUGGUUCUGAUUCACGAAAGGACACGUCCAAGGUCACAUGUAAUCUUUUUGUGUGUGGAUCAUAGCAUCGGUAUCCCUUUUGGAAAUCAGAGUAGCCAACAAAUACACAUCGUUUAGCACAAGGAUCAAGUUUAUUCCACAAAGUUUUUGGAAUAUGGACAUAUACUGUACAACUAAAAACCCUUGAUUCAAGAUUUGGGGCAUGUGGCAGUGAGAAGAAAGCUUGCAUCUUUUAUUGAGGAGUUCGGAAAUCAAGUACGCGAGAGGGGACCUGAUUAAUUAGAUAAAUAGCAGACUUCACUGCUUCUCUCCAGUAGAACCAAGGCAUAUUCAUGCCAAAGAGAGAAGUAAGAACAACUUCCAUGAUUUGCCUAUUUUUCCUUUCUGCCAAGCCAUUUUGUUGUGGAGUAUAGGUGUUAGAAGUAUGAUGUCGAAUCCCUCUUUUGUUUAGAAACUUCCCACAGAUUGUAUCCAAGAACUUCAGUGCAUUGUCAGUUUGCCAAACACGAAUCUGCCUUUGAUAUUGAGUGCCCACCAUAUUGUAGAAUUCCUGAAAUGCUGUAAGAACAUCACUUUUUUUGUGAAGUAGAGACACCCAAGUCAUUCGCUUGCACUUAUCAAUGAAUAUAACAAAAUAUUGUGCUUUAGAAAUAGAAGGAAUCUGUGCAUGGCCCCAAACAUUAGAAUGUAUAAUCAUAAAUGGUUCAGAACAUUUAUUUAAGUAUGAUAAAUAAGAAAUACGGUGACUUUUGGCCAAUUCGCAAAUAUCACAAUGAAACUCUGAAAUAUUCAAAUUUGAAAAAAGAUGUGAUUGCAAUUUCUUAAGAUAUCCAAAUGAAAUAUGUUCUAAUCGUCGAUGCCAUAACCAAAUAGUUGCUUGAGGUUUGUCUUUACUAUUCGUUUGACAUGCAAUGUUAUUUUUCUGUUGUCCAUUAUCUGUCAGAUCCAAGUAAUAGAGUUUGCCCCUUUUAACACCAUAACCAAGAAUCUUCCGGGUUAGAAUAUCCUAAAAGACACAGAAUGAGGGCCAAAAAGUUAUAGUACAUGCAAGAGAAGAGGUUAUUUGGCUAACCGAUAAAAAGUUAUAUUCAAGAGAUGAAACAAUCAAGACAAUAUCUAGAGUAAGGGUACUAGACAAGAUGACUGGUCCUUUUCUAGUAAUUGGAGAAGUACCACCAUUAGCGGUAGAUAUAACAGAUUGUGAAGAAGUACAAAUAGAUUAUAACUGUCCUGAAUCUCUAGUCAUAUGAUCAGAUGUACCUGUAUCAAUAAUCCAAGUAUUAUUCUUAGAAGUUGUAGAGAGUACCUUUGCCUUACCAACAAUACCUGGGUGGGUAACGUUAGCUGUAGGUUGUAAUUUGUCCUCCGUAUUUUAUUGGAUUUCUGUUGUGGCUGAAUAAUAAUGGUGUUGGGGAAUACAAAAUACGAUGUUGCAGAUGGUAAACUAUGGUGGUGGUUUCAAGAUAUGAAAUUCGAUUGGAGAAUACAAAAUACGAUGUUGCAGAUGGUAAGAUAUGGUAAUGGUUUCAAUAUAUGAAAUUCGAGAAACAAUUCUUCCAGGAUCAGAAUUGCUCUGAUGCCAUGUUGAACGAUUGAAUCUGUGAAUAAUUCAGUUGUUGUGUAUUUUUCUCCAGAAAGGAAAUUAUAUAUAGAUACAUUUACAACACAAAAUCAGAAGAGAAAAAAGAAAGCAAUCAUAUUUUAAGAAAACAAGAUAAAUUUAUACAGAAAACAAUAUAUAUCAGAUUUGUUAAUUGUGCAAAUUCCGAUUACAUAACCUACUCUUAAUUAGGCAGUUUAUUCCAAUAGAAACCUUAAUCAUUGGGGUUUUUUUUUUUCUUAAAAGAAAGUAAGUUAAAAGGUAAAAUGCACUUUAGAAGUCAUGCAUAAUACACAUAAAAAUAUAUCAACAGGGAGUGAGGUUUUAAAAAUUUUAAUAAUUAAAAAAAAAAGAAUAAUUAAGAUAGAUAAAUGAAGGGAAAAGAAAAAUUGAUAAACUACUUUUUUUUUUUGAAUCAAAUUGAUAAACUACUUUUCAUCUAUUUAUAUUAUUUUUCCUCUUUUACUAUUUUUUAAAUUGAAUUUUCUAUUUUAUUUUUCACUGAAAUAAAAGGAAUUAUAAAUGUAUUUUAUUAAAAUUAUUUAUUUAUAAGAAAAAUAAAAAGCAAAAAAGAAUAAAAAUAAUAUUUUUUCAAAUACAAAUUAAAAAUUAAUUAAAUAAAAUUUCAAAUUUUUUAAAAUUACUUAAAUAUAUUUAUUACUAAAUUAAACUUUUCUGGGUGUAAGAAAAACAUUAUUUAUAAAGUCAAUUCAUAAAAUGUCACUAUUAAUUUUUUUUUGGUUUAAAUAAUGGAUACUUUCUGAUUGUCGCAUUAAGUCAUUGAUGGGACCCAUGAGCCCAUGUCUAUUUAUCACUAAAAAAAUAUUUACCACAUGCUGCGCAUUAAUAAAAAGAAACUCAUUAAUAAAUUUAUAUGCAUUUCACAAAAUGACAUUGACUCGCCUCUGGAGGCCACAUGCUGCCCAUUCUACGCCAACUUCAACAUUUUAUAUAUAUGUAUAUAUCUUUUUAAAGGAAAACGAAGGUCUGAAUGCUAAAGUUACCUACCGUCUUCCAUCACCCUUUCCACAUCUCCCUCUCUAUCUCUGACCAUUCAUUCACACUGAAUAUACUUGCAAGAAAGCUCUGGUCGCGGUUGCAUAAGUCUGCACCUUCUGACGACCUCUAGCUUGGGGAUGUGUGCAGUUUUUUUUAUUAAUUUUUAUAAUAUUUUUAUAUAUUAAAAAUAAUAAAAUAUAUAAAAUAUAAUAAUUAUGUAUUAGUAAAUUUAUAAUUGAUAAAUAAAUUUAUAAUUAGUAUUAUUAAUUAUAAUAUUAUUAUAAUAAUAUAUUAAAAUUAAUAAAACAUAUUAUAAAAAAAUUAUUGUAAUAAAAAAUAUAAUAUAAAUUAAAUUAAUAUAAUAUAAAAAUAAUAUAUUAAUUAAUUAAUAUAAUUAUAAUAUUUUAAUAAUUAAAAAAAUUAAAUCAUGGGAGCUAGGCCAUGAUUACUACGAAAUUACUAAUAAAUUAUAUUAAUUUUAUAAAUGAUAUAUUAUUCUAUUUUAAAUUAAUAUGGAAUUGAAUAAAAUUGUAUUUAAUUAAAAUGUUAAAUAUAAUUAAAAAUUUAAUUUGUUUGAAAUUAACUUUUGCACUAAAAUAUGAAUUCAUUGGAUUAACUUUUGCAAUAAAAAUAAUCAUUUUUGUCAUAUAAGUUGUUGGGUUGACAAUUAAUAUCACCAGCCAGUUUCAAUUAAAACAUAUUACUAAUCCCAUUUAGGAAGGACAAAAAUCGUACCAGAAUUAAAAUUAUAUUAACUAUUAACUAAAAUUAACUUUUAAAAAUUAAAUUUCAAUGGCACUCACAGAUUUAAUCUAGUAAUAAGUGCAUCUAAGUAAAUUUAAGAAAUCUUAGAUUUUAUUUCUCAAUUUUCAAUUUUCAUUUAAAAAAAAUUAAAUUUCAAAUAAAACAAAACUUUUUUUACAUAAAAUAAAAAAAAUUACUAAAUUUUGAAAAAAAUUAAAAUUAACUAAAAUUCGAUACUAAAGGGAUUUUAUAAUGUAAUUUUGACUAUUAGAAUCGUUAAAUAUAUAUUUAUAUUCCUGCAUUAUAUAUUUAAAAUAAAUUCAUUGAACACUUAAGUUAAGACUGUAACUCAUUGCAUAUCUAAUUUAUAAAAUUCUACCAAUUAAAUAUUAAAUAAUUAUAUUAAAAUUUAUUUAUAUAAAACAUUCCAUCGAAUUAUACUGUAGAUCUUGUUCGCCAUAUUUUAAAUUUUUUAAAUGAAAAGAUUUCCCUUUAUAAAGGAGAGUAAUUUUAUUAUUUUAUAAAAAUUUAAAGUAAUAUCGAUAAAUCUAGAAUAUAAUUAAACAAUAAUAAAUGAAAUUAAUUUUUACUUUUUAUUUAUAAGCUAUAGAUAAAAUGAGUAAUUUACAUAUUCAUGUACGAUUAAAUAUUCAAAUAUGUUUUGAUUAUAGUUUUAGUAUUAAGCCUUUAUUUAUUUAUAAAAUAUAAUAUAUAUUUGAAAAAUAUUUUUCAUGUGAAAUAAUAUUAUAUUAUGUAAAAUGAGAGUAAUUUUUUAUUUUAUGAAAAUUUAAAGUAAUAUUAAUAAAUCUAGACAUAAACAACAAUAAAUGAAAUUAAUUUUAUUUUUUUUACACUCUAAUUUAGAGAUAAGUAGUUUUCUGUUGAAAUUAAAAAAAUCGAUCGAACUAAAUUAAUUUAAAAAUUUAGUGUAGUUUUUUAUUUUUUUUCUGUUUGGUUCGAUUUUUAUUUUUAAAAUUUUUUAUUAUUUCAAUUCAAUUUAAUUUUGAUAAAAAAAAUUGAUAAAAUUAAAUCAAACCGAUUAGUGAUAAUAGUAUAUUAAUUUUUUCCAAUAUAGAAAUAUUAGAUUAUAUUUAAAGUUGAAAUAUUUCAAUUAAAUUUUAAAAUAUUAAAACAAAAGUGUUAAAAAUAAAAAAUCUCAUUAAAACGUCUAAUCAAUUAAGCUAAAUCAAAUCAAAUCAAAUUAUAUCAGUUUAUAUUUAAAUGGUUUCUAUUUAAAAUCGAUUUGAUUUAAUUUUUAUAAACUCUAAAUUUUUAAUUUUUAAUUUUUUCAAUUCGAUUUGAGUUUAAACCGAACUGACGAAAUGUUACCUUAUAUGCUAUUGAUAAUAUGAGUAAUUUAAAUUUAAUUUUCAUGAUUCAUAUACAGUUUAAGUAUUAAGCCUAGGGAGCUUUUUGGCCAAGUUUCCCUCUGCGGUCCCUUUUUCUCUUCUUAAAUCUAACUUCUUCUUUCAUUUCCCCCAUGGAAGACGAUUUGCGUUAAUUGACUAUCAAAGUGGUUCAUCCCGUCAAAGGUGAGGAUAACCCAAAGCAAUGAUCAUCCUGUGUUGGAAUUGCCGAGGACUCGACAAUCCUCGGACAGUUAAUGCAUUGAAGGAUUUGGUUACUAGUUACAAGCCGGACAUUUUAUUUUUUAUGGAAACAAAAGCUCUUAGCUCUCGUAUGAAAUUUUUUCGUAGUUUUUUACAUUUUAAUGGUUGCUUCUCAGUCAAUAGACAAUGAUUGAGAGGAGGCCUUUCGUUAAUGUGGAAGAAUCAUGUGUCUGUUUCUGUGAUUGGCUUUUCUUCAAAUUUUAUUGAUUCGGUUGUUUCGCAAGGUAAUGUCCAAUGGAGGUUUACUGGUUAUUAUGGGUUUCCGAAAUCGCAAUGACGACGUCAAUCUUGGAACCUUAUUCGAGUUUUAUCUCGUAGAAGCUCUCUUCCGUGGCUUUGCUCGGGAGACUUUAAUGAUUUAUGCUCUAGAGAUGAGAAAGAAGGAGGAGCAACUUUACCAAAUUAUCUUAUACAGGGGUUUAAACAGACACUUGAGGACAUUAAUAUUGUUCAAAUACCCACUGUUGGCUCUUUCUUCACAUGGGAGAAGGGCAGAGAGUCGAAUAAUCUGGUUAGAGAGAAGCUUGAUAAAGCCCUUGCUACUGAGGAUUAGACUCGUAAAUUCACUAAUGUUAUCUGCUCGGUUGUUCAUGUUCCUAGAUCAUAUCACAAUCCGUUGGUGAUUAAUACAACUCAUAAGGAUAAUAGGAGAGAUAGAAGGAGAUUUCGAUUUGAUAAUGCAUGGUUAUGUAAUGAGGGUCUGACUGAGGUUGUUAAAGGAGCUUGGAUUAAUUUUAUACCACGCAAUCUUUUGAUGAAACAUGAUGAUUUAGUUUCUGCUCUUUCGUUGUGGGGUAGGAGAAGAAAUAUAGAGUUUUAGCAAAAGAAGAAGACUAUAUGGAAAUUAUUGGAUAAUGGGUCCAGUACUGUUUCUCACGCCUCUUUAAAAGAAGAUUGGAAUCGUCUCCUUGAGCAUGAAGAAGCUAGACUUAAACAGCAGGCAAAGUGCUUUUGGCUUAAAAAUGGGGACCAAAAUAUAAAAUUUUUUCAUGCACAAAUUAAUGGUAGACAAAGAAUGAACCAUAUUACUAAAUUAAAGGAGUCAUCGGGUACCUGGAUUGAGGAUGAGUAGGAAAUUAAAAAUCAUGUUCUGCAUUAUUUAAAGUCUAUUUUUUAUGGCAGUUCUAUGGAUUGUGAACGGAUUUUUAAGUUGGUGUCAUCCUUGAUUAGUGAUGCCGAUAAUGCUGAUCUUUGUGCUCCCUUUUCGAAUGAGGAAUUUAGAGCUACUCUUUUUCAGAUGCAUCCAAACAAGGCACCCGGGCCGGAUGGGUUAAAUCCUGCAUUUUACUAGAGAUUUUGGAACUUGAUUGGCAAUGAUGUUUCUGAUGGUUGUCGCCUAUGGCUUCAACAAGGUACUUUCCUUCUUCUCUUACUGAAACAUUGAGUGUUUUGAUCCCUAAAGUGGAUAGUCCUGAAACUGUUAAGAACUUUUAUCCAAUUGUGUUAUGUAAUGUGUUAUAUAAGAUUAUGGCUAAAGCUUUGGCGAACAGAUUUAAAAGAGUACUUCCUAUGAUUAUCUCUGAGAAUCAGUUUGCCUUUAUCCCUCAUCGGUUAAUUACCGAUAAUGUUAUGAUUAUGUUUGAAAUGAUACACAAUAUGAAAACUAAUAAGGGAAGAAAUGAUGGUAAUUGAGCACUUAAAAUUGAUAUUUCUAAGGCUUAUGAUAUGGUAGAGUGGGAGUUUCUAAAAGGCAUGCUGGAACGAUUUGGUUUUUCUACUCAAUUGAUUAAGUGGUUGACUAUGUACUUUUCGAAAGUCUCUUACAAUAUCAAUUUUGAUGGUGAUUGGAUUGGUCCUAUUGUGCCUGGUAGAGGUAUUCGAUAGGGGAUCCUAUUUCUCCAUAUCUCUAUUUGGUGUGUGCGGAAGGCUUAUCGUUACUAUUUAAAGAUGUUGAAUCUAGAGGCUGGUUGUAGAGCUAUAGAGCAGGUACUAGAUGCCUAAAGAUCUCACAUUUAUUUUUUACAGAUGAUUCUCUGCUAUUUUUUAAUGUUAGACUGGAGGAAGCGUAUAAUAUUAAAUCUAUUCUCAAUACCUAUGCGGCUGCUUCUGGAUAAGUGGUGAGCUUCAACAAAUCUGGCAUUUUCUUUAGUCCCAAUGUGGUCUCCUCUGUAAGGUCUAAUAUCAGUAAUAUCCUGGAUGUUCAUUCACCAUUGAGUCAUAGUGCCUAUAUGGGAUUACCUUCUCUUAUUGGAAGGAACAAAAAUAUAAUUUUUAGUUUUCUGAAAGAAAGAAUGUGGAAGAACACUAAUUCAUGGAGCAACAGAUUCCUAUCUAGAGCAGGCAUGGAGGCUCUCAUAAAAUCUGUGUUGUAGGCUACACCUGUAUAUUGUAUGAAUAUUUUUUUGAUUCCCAUUACUAUUUUGAAAGAAUUGCAUAGAAUGGUCAAUGGCUUUUGGUGGGGGGGGGUAAAAGAGAAAGGCGGAGGGGUAUUAAUUGGCUAGCGUGGGAGAAGAUGUGUAAUAGAAAGAAGGAGGGGAGUAUGGGGUUUCGGGACUUUAGGAGUUUUAAUUUGUCUUUACUUGGCAAACAACUGUGGAGGUUCUUAACAAAUCCUAAUACUCUUUGUUAUAGAGUGUUUAAAGCAAAGUACUUCCCAAAUGGUGAUUUAUUUUCCGCCAAUGUAAGUAAUGGUGCUAACUUUGUUUGGAAAAGUGUGAUGGCAUCAAGGGAGUAGAUUCGAAGGGGUACAAGGUGGAGGGUGGGUAAUGGAGAGAAAUUUUAGUGGCUUCAACUCCCUGGAUUCCUAAGGAGGAUACAUUUUUUGCAGAUGAUGGCACUAAUUUUAUUGAACCAUAUUUGCGUGUUUGUGAUCUUUUUGAAGUUAAUGGGAGGAUUUGGAACAUUGCUCUUUUAAUGGAGUUUUUUUCUUCAAGAAAUAUCAGGGUUAUUAUUUGUAUUCCUAUUAGUAUUACCAAUAAGGAAGAUUCCUUCUUGUGGCACUUUGAUAAAAGAGGUAUGUAUACGGUGAAAUCCGCAUACUUUGUGUGUAUGGACUUGCUAGGAAGAUCACUUUUUAAUAUGGGGGGUGAGUUGUGGACUAGUUUGUGGAAUGUUUCGGUCCCUCCAAAAGUGAAGGAUUUUUAUUGGAGAGCUUGUAGAAAUAUAUUGCCUACAAAGGAUAACUUAAGGCAAAAGGGUGUGGAUGUGAAUGCUAGAUGUCCUUGGUGCUAUGAAGAUGAAAGUGUCAAUCAUAUUUUGUUACAUUGUCCUAUGUCCAAGGAAGUUUGGAGGUUAGGGGCAGUGGGAAAUUUGCAGCCUAAUGAUAAUUUUUUUUUUUUAAUUUUUUACUAUAAAUCUUGAAGUUCUAAGAUAAGGUUCAAAAAACCUUUGUAAUGGUCUGUGCAUGGAGAUUAUGGUCAGUAAGAAACUUAUUAUUAUGGAACCAAGUACAAAAUUCAGCAGCUCACCCUGUGAAAAGAUGUCAUGCAUUAUAUCUCGGAUUGGGAAGCUGCUCAACGUGCUGAUGCUUUGCAUGGAAAUACCACUGCUACUUUAUAUCAGGGCAGAAAUUUAUUUUAUUCUUCCAACCUUGCUUGUGAUCCUGAAGCCAUUCCUCUCCAAAUUCGUGUGUCAUCUCCAAAUUUGGACAAUUUCAGUUGGUUUUGUCAAGUUGAUGGAACUUUAUUUCAUGCUCAAGAUUUUAUUGGAUACAGUUUUGUUGUGAAAAACUCUGAGGGUAUAUUUCAAUGUGGUGUUUCUGGUUUCUCGGAAGGUAAUGGUACGUCAGUAAUUAUUGAAACUUUAGCUCUCCAUCACUGUUUGCUCUUUGCGACGGAAUUUUUGCCUUUUAAUGGCUGCAUUCUUAUGGACCGUUUGUAGGUGGUUCAAACUUUUCAGUCUCCACAUUUAAAUAUCUCUGAACUGGGUUUGAUUUUAAAUGAUUGUAAAUCUUUGUUAGACUUUAGAACUGAUAUUUCUAUUAAAUGAGUUCGUCCUUAUGUCACUCUACCUACUCAUAUUUUGACUAGAGAAUCUAUUAGAUAUGAUCGUCUCUCUAUUUGGGAUUAUAUAUCUCUUUGUUUAAUUCAUGAAAUUUUAUUAAUACCAUAAGUAGUUUUGUUUUAAAAAAAAAGUAUUAAGCCUAGGCCUUUAUUUGUUAGUAAAAAAUAAUACAUAUUUGAAAAAUAUUUUAAUCUAACAUAUUUUUUAAAAAAUAUUUUUCAUAAAAAUAUAUUUAAGAAAAUAAUUUAUUUUUUAUUAUUUAAUUUUUAAUUUUAAAAAUAAAAGAUAAUAAUAAAUUUAUAUACAGUAGUAUUAAUAUAAUUCUGAAAAAAAAAUAAUUUAUUUUUUUAAAAGAAAAUAUCAUGUUCUUUAAAAAUUAUAAAAUUUUUCAUUUGAAAAAAUAAAUUUCCCUUGAUUAAUUUUUCUAAAUAUUUCAAAUUUUAUAAAAUAUGCAUGAAAUAAAGUUUUAAUCCACUAAUUUUAAAUAAUAUAAAAAUGUAAAUAUAUAUUUAAAGUUAUUUUAGAUCUUAGAUAAAAUCAGUUAUUCCAACUCCAACCUUUGGUGGUGGCACUAAUCAAGUAUAUAAGAAAAAUAGUUUUAAAGGGCUGCUUUUAUUAUAAUCGAGUAAAAUUAUAUAGUUAAAUUUUUUUUUUGAAAUGAUAUAGUUAAAUGUUUAACAGGUGAUAUUGGUCAAUUUUAUAUGAAUUUAUUAUAUUAAUAAUGAAAUUAUAUUUAUUAUGUAUGUAAAAGAGUUGUAUUAAAUAAUUAUUUUAAUAUGUACAUAUAUAUAUAUAUAUAAUAAUUUUAUUUGAUAAAAAAUAAAAUGAUCAUAAAAUUGAAAUUUUAUUUUAUAUUCUCAUUUUUCAAUUUUUAAAGAAUUUCAAUAAAUUUAAAAGCCAUGAUUGUUGAUUGAUAGAGUCUUAGCAUAAGUGUAUCCAUUCAUACGUCUAGGUGGAAAUGACGUUAACCUUAUGCCCUAAUAAACAAUAAACAACUUGUUAUCUUUAUAAGACUUUUAUAUUUUUAUUUUUAUAUAUUUCAUAAUUUUAUAUUGCCCACUACACCAAAUUGAUUGGUAGUUAAAAUAUCUCUCUCAAACAUUUGGAUUGGACCUCAGAUAUAAAUCAUCAAUGGCACCCGUGAGCCCAUUAAAAACAUAAAUUAGGUACAAAUUAAUAAACCUGAUUAGUCUUACUGUAAUGCAUUAAUUUAAUACUUCAAUAUCUAUUUCUUUAUUUAUUAUUAUUUUUCAAAAACCUCAUUGACGAGAUGAAUAGGACCUUCAAAAUUAAAAAAGCAUUGUUGAUAUUUGUCAGCCGGCUUAGAUUAUUAUUUUUAUAAACAAAUUUUAACAAAUAAUAAAAAAAAACUCUUACUAUUUCANNNNNNNNNNNNNNNNNNNNNNNNNNNNNNNNNNNNNNNNNNNNNNNNNNNNNNNNNNNNNNNNNNNNNNNNNNNNNNNNNNNNNNNNNNNNNNNNNNNNNNNNNNNNNNNNNNNNNNNNNNNNNNNNNNNNNNNNNNNNNNNNNNNNNNNNNNNNNNNNNNNNNNNNNNNNNNNNNNNNNNNNNNNNNNNNNNNNNNNNNNNNNNNNNNNNNNNNNNNNNNNNNNNNNNNNNNNNNNNNNNNNNNNNNNNNNNNNNNNNNNNNNNNNNNNNNNNNNNNNNNNNNNNNNNNNNNNNNNNNNNNNNNNNNNNNNNNNNNNNNNNNNNNNNNNNNNNNNNNNNNNNNNNNNNNNNNNNNNNNNNNNNNNNNNNNNNNNNNNNNNNNNNNNNNNNNNNNNNNNNNNNNNNNNNNNNNNNNNNNNNNNNNNNNNNNNNNNNNNNNNNNNNNNNNNNNNNNNNNNNNNNNNNNNNNNNNNNNNNNNNNNNNNNNNNNNNNNNNNNNNNNNNNNNNNNAAAAAAAAAAAAAAAAAAAAAAAGGAAAACGACGGUCCUAACGCUAAAGUUACCUACUGUCUUCCUGCAUCCUUCCUAUAUCUAACUCUCUAUCUCUGACCAUUCACAUUCACACUCUAUAGAAACUCUAUUUUAUAUAUACUCGCAACAAACUUAUGGUCGUGGUUGCAUAAGUCUGCAACUUCAUCGCCUCUCGCUUGGGGAUGAACGGGGCAGAUCGCCGGAUGGAAACUAGAGGUAUUAAUUGUUUUCAGCUGAAACUGUUGUACCAAAUAGUAAUUGUUUCAUGGAGAUUUCAUUUCAUCUAACUAAUUGAGGCAUGUUGUUAUUGAUUGUCACUAAGCACAGAUCAGAAUGAAUCUGGCUUAUCUCCUGAGAAGAGUAUUGGGCCAAAGUCAUAUUCAUACGGUGAACUAGCAAGUGUAACUGGUCAUUUCUCGCUCAAUUAUCUAAUUGGUCGAGGUGGUUUUGGUCAUGUUUUUAAGGCAUCCUUGGAUGGUGAGAUCCGUGCUAUUAAGAGACUUGAUUUUCCGGAUGUACAAUCCGAAGGAGGUUUGGAGAGGGAGAUUAUGGUCGUCAAAAGUGUCAGUCACAAAAACCUCGUUGAAUUGGUUGGUUACUGUAUUGAUGGAGCCAAUAGAUUGCUUAUUUUAAAGUAUUUUCCAAAUGGGUCCUUGAGAUCUAAAUUACAUGGUGAGUUCCAUAUAUCCUUUCUUUUACUUUUAUGUUCGGAUAACUAAUCAAUAUAACAUGAUUAAUCUUAAAAAUUACAAAUGGUAUUGUAGGAAGUGGGGAUGUUUUGGACUGGGAAAAAAGAAUGAAGAUCGCUACAGGUUCUGCAAAAGGAUUGGAAUAUUUACAUGAACACUGUGAGUGUAUACUACUAUAUAACUUUAUCCGGCAGGAUUUUAGCUUUUUGAGUGUGAAUUUAUUUAUUUAUUUUUAUUUAUAUUGAUAAUUUAUUUUCUCUAAAGAUUUAUAUUCUAUAUCUUUUUCAGGUAAACCUAAAAUUAUUCAUUUAGAUAUUAAACCAGAUAAUAUUCUGCUUGAUCAAGAUUUUGAACCUAAGGUGAGAUAAUUUUAUUAUAUCAUAGCAUAUGUAUAGUAGAACUUUCAUCCGAAAUUUUGUUUUUGAAUAAUAUUAGAAAAUUAUGUGAACUCCUUAAUUAAAUUCUUGUGAUUAAUUAAUAAAUCUGAGUUCUAAUUCUUUUGGUUUGGCCAUAUAUUUUUGGCUUUUUUUAAUAAAAUUUAUUGCGUAUAAAAAAAAUUUAAUAAAUCAACCUUAGUAGAUUUCUUGUCUUUUUUUUUUUUCAUGAUUUAAUGUUUUCUUAAUAAACUUGAUUGAAGUACGGAAAAUUGUGUAAUUUACCAAAUAAAAAGUGUAAAAGUAUAUUCAUAGAACUAAGUGUGAAAAAUAACUUUAAUUUUAAAUUAAGAUAUAUAUAUGGCAUAAUAAAUUUAUUAAUUAACUUAAAUAAUUUGUUUAGAUAACAGAUUUUGGACUUGCUCAAUUUUUUACCGACGGUGCUACUCACAUAUCCAAAUCAUCAGUUAUGGGAACCCAUGUGUAAGAUAUAAUUUUCUUUCUAUCAUUUAAUUGCAUUGCUAUUAUUUUCUAUUUUUUCAAUGCCAUUAUUAUCUCCUCUUAAAAUAGUUUAAAAUAAAAUAAAUGUUAAAAUAAAUAAAAUAACACAUAAAAAAAAUAUAAGUACUCCUUAAUUAGAUAGUAUUAGUAAUCUUAACAAAUUUUAUUGCAGUUAUGAAGAUCCAUUUACGAUAAAAUUGGGAAAGUAUUCUGAUAAAUCCGAUAUUUAUUCUUUUGGAGUUACACUUUUAUAAUUGAUUACCGGAAGAAAACCUAUAGACAAUGGCACUGAUAUUGUUACUUGGGUAUGACUCUGUUUGCUUUGAUAAAAUUAUGAUAUAAAAAUUCUAUUUACCAUUUAUAAAGUUUUGAAUUUAGAUCUCAAUUGGAGUUAUUUAGAUUUAAAUUCAAUGCAUUCAUGAUUCAUUAAUAAAUAAUUUUUUAAUCAAUAUCUUGUAGGCAAAUCCUCUAAUUAAAAAGGCUUUGGAGGGAAUGUAUACAAAUUUUAUAGAUUCCAAUUUACAAUCCUUUGACUAUGAACAAAUGUAUCGAAUGGUUUUUUGUAUUAAUUCUUGUCUAAAUCAACCUCCAAGCUCUCGUCCAACAAUGGAAAAGGUAAAAUUUUUCACAUAACUAAUCUCAAACUAUAUAUAGUAUCUCAAAAUUUGUAAUCAUUUUAUUGUUAUGUCAUGCAGAUACGUCUAGUUCUUGAAGGAAAAUCACUCUCGAAAGAAUUAUACGAUAAUAAAUUGCGAAGGAGUAUUAUGCAUAGAGGUCUAUAUUCUUUUAUGUUAAUUUAUUAAAAAUUAUAUGCAUGUUUGAUCUAAUUGAUGCCUAAAUUUUCAUUUAAUUUGUCAUAUCUUAAUAUUUGAAACAAUGUUGAUUUUCAACUGCAAAAAUAUUAGUUUUUUAAUUUGAAAUUUAGAAUAAAGUAGUUUUUAACCAAAAUUGAUAACGUAUUAAUUAAAUAUAAUUUUUUAUCUUAUAAUUAUUCAAAAAACUGUGAAAAGAAUGAAAAUUUACUUUAAAGUUUUCUUUUUUUUUUUUUUUGAAAUUGAAAUCAGAAAUUGAGAGAAUAAAACAUGAGAACUCUCAAAUACACUUACCAUCAGACUAAGUCUAUGAGUGUAAUUAUCUUAAAGUUUUAAAACAUAAAUCUAAAAGUUCAUACAUAAUUAGCUGAAAAAAUUGGGUUGGAACAAAUAUAUGUGGUUUUUUCCUCUAUUUUAUUCUAUAGUUGCAGAUUAUUUAAAAAAAAAAAUAUCUGACCUUUACGUCAAGCUCACAAAAUCUGUUGUAUAAUGGUUCCUUAAAGAAAGGAUGAUAAUUUCAUUUCUUAGCUCAAGUGAAAAAAAUAAGGACAUGUACAUAUAUAGAGGUACUAAUAGUUUUACAGAUCUGAAAGGAUUUAUAUCAUCGCCUGAGUUGAAUAGAAGUAUAAUUGGCGGGCCGAGGCAAUAUUCAUAUGAACAACUAGCAAAGGCGACGAAUCAUUUUUCUAGAAACGAUCUCAUUGGCGAGGGUGGCUUUGGACAAGUUUAUAGGGGAUUACUAGAUGGUGAAUCCCUUGCUAUUAAGAUACUCAAAAAUCAUCCAGAUUUACGGUCGCAAGAAAACUUGGAGAAUGAGAUUAUGGUUGUUAGCAUCAUCUGCCACAGAAAUCUUGUUGAAUUGCUUGGUUACUGCAUUGAAGGGGCCAAUAGAUUUCUUGUUUUUAAGUAUUUUCCCAAUAAGUCCUUGAGCUCUCAAUUAUAUAGUGAGUUUCAUCCUUUCCCUUUAUAUAUAUAUAUAUAUAUUUUUUCAUAACAGUUAUGAAAAUUAAUAUAAAUAAAAAUUGGUUUUUGUAGAAAGCAAUCGGGAUUUGGACUGGGAGACGAGGAUAAAUAUUGCCAAAGGCUCUGCAAAAGGCCUAGAAUAUUUACAUGAAUACUGUGAGUAUAUAAUUAACUAUAUUCAUAUCUAAUAAUUGCCAAACUUUUUAGCUCUUGAGGUUCUAUAUAUCUAUUGUUCUUUCUUUGAGUUAAUAUAUAAUUUAUUUUAUCUUAAAAUUUUUAAUUUUUUUAUAUUAGGUGAGCCUCCUAUCGUACAUUUAAAUGUCAAGUCCAACAAUAUUUUUCUUGAUAGUGAUUUUAAACCAAAGGUAAGAUAUUUUGAUAAUUAUUGAACCCUUUAUACAGUGCAACAUCAAAUAUUGUUGAAUGUCAAAAUUUUAUUUUUAAAAAAUAUUGAAAUAUUAUGUGAAACUCCAAUAAUUUGACAAUGGUAUUUAAAUAAUAAGUGAACAUUAAUAGGUUUGAUCGUCUUCCUUUGUGCUUUAGUGUUUUUAAUCGUAAACUAAUAAUUAAUUAGUUCUUAUGAUUGCAUAAAUUUUUAAAAGACAAUCUAUUUUAUUUCAUAUAAUUUUAGAAAAUUAAUAACUAGAAUUCGAAUCAGAAUUUCAUUGAAGUCUUUGUUAUAAUUUUGAAAAAUAUAUUAAAAUAUUUUUAAAAUUUUAAAAAGUUUAUUGAUUAAUUUUUUUGUUAAUUUUAACUAUUAAAGAUUAUAAAAAAAAUCUAAAAUAACAUCAAUAUAGAUAAACAAAUUAGAAAAUAACUUUUAAAAAUUGAGAAAUUAAUUAAUAAAUUUUUACAUAUUAUAAAAAUUUAAUUAUAAAAUAUUUAAUAGUUAAAACUAACAGAAUGAUUUUAUAUAACAGAUUCUUAUACAAAAAGGAACUAGUCAAAGAACAUUUGUGAUCAACCACUAAGGAAGAGAAGGUGGAGCACUUUGCACACGGCAAACCAUCUCUUUGGCCAUUUCACACUAUCCAAUCCAUAAAUGGUUAACCGAUUCUUCAAGAGACAAGACCACCAACACCAUCCAACUUUGCUGAACCUUUAGCAUAUGCCCGUUAAUGAUCCACACAACCAACUUCACUAUACAUCAAUUAAAUACUAUCAAAGAUACUCCAUCCGCAAAAGUCAAUGCACACCAACAAUGAUAAAAAAAAAAAAAACCCUAGAUGNNNNNNNNNNNNNNNNNNNNNNNNNNNNNNNNNNNNNNNNNNNNNNNNNNNNNNNNNNNNNNNNNNNNNNNNNNNNNNNNNNNNNNNNNNNNNNNNNNNNNNNNNNNNNNNNNNNNNNNNNNNNNNNNNNNNNNNNNNNNNNNNNNNNNNNNNNNNNNNNNNNNNNNNNNNNNNNNNNNNNNNNNNNNNNNNGUUUUUUUUUUUUUUGAAAAUAUAAAUAGAGGGUUUUUAAACUCACAAGAGCUAAUAAUAUUGAUUUUACUAUACCACAAAAACUAAACUGUAUUUUAUCUUUUUGAUGAAUAUUCUUAAAGUACACAACAGUCUAAUUUGUUAGAAUAAGAGUAAAAGAAGUAUAUUUAUGAAAUUUGGUGUGGAAAUAACUACACCUUUUUUUGUGUAUAUAUAUUUAUACAGCAUAAUAGAUUUAUUUAUCUACUCUUUUUUGAAAAUAAAUUUAUUAAUCUAUUUAAAUAAUUUUGUUUAAUUAGGUGGCUGAUUUUGGACUUGCACGCUUUUUUUCGGAGGCUGCUACUCACAUCUCUGAAUCAGCAAUUAUGGAAACCAGAGCGUAAGAUAAUUUGUACAUGUCUGAUUGUUUAGUGUCAUUAUUAUGUUCUACUUCUAGAAUAAUUAAAAUAAAAUAAAAUACAUAUGAAAACAAAAGGAAACUAGUGCUUCUUUAUAUUUUAAUUUCUUGAAUCUUGACAUGAAUUUUGAUUGAACUUACUAAAUUGCAGCUAUAUAGAUCCAUAUGCAAUAAAAACUGGAGAAUACUCUGUAAAAUCAGAUGUUUACUCAUUUGGUGUUAUGCUUCUGGAAUUAAUUACCGGAAGAAGGCCCAUAGAAGAAGACGGCUUUGAUGUUGUUGAAUGGGUAAGGCGUAUGAAAUAGUAUACUUUAAAAAUUUAUGAUAUGUAAUUGUAUAACUAAAAUAUAAUAAAAGCUAUUUAAGAUCCAAAACUCACCAUUCACAUGCAAUCACUGAUAUUAAUGCAUUUGAAAUUUCAUUGAUGUAAGUCCGAGUUAAUAAAUAGACAUAAUUAUAUUUUUAUCGAUAUUCUACAGGUAAAAUCUGAAAUUAAGAACGCUUUGCGGGAUAGAAAAUUUGAAAAAUUUGUAGAUUCUACAUUGCAAAUGUUUGACGAUGAAGAAAUGUAUCGAAUGUUGUUCUGCAUUGAUGUUUGUAUAAAUUUCCAAAGUUUCGCCCAUCAAUGAAGAAGGUAAAAAAAAAUUUUCUUUUUCAUAUAUUAUAAUUGAUAAUAUAUACAAUAAUUUCAUUAUUAUUGUGCCAUAUAGAUACUUCUAGCUCUCGACGGAAUUUUGCCUUUAGACGAAUUAUGCAAUGAGAAGGGUGAUAACAAAUUGCCAGGAUACCCUACUUUAUAUCAAAUUCCAUCUCCUAUGAAUAGAAGUACAAGUAUUGGGCUGAGGCAAUAUUCAUAUCAACAACUAGCAAAGGCCACCAAUUAUUUCUCCUUUAACAAUCUUCUUGGCGAGGGUGGCUUCGGACAAGUUUACAUGGGAUCAGUAGAUGGUCAAUCCCAUGCUAUUAAAAAACUUCAAAAUCAUCGAGAUUUACGGUCUCAAGGAAAACUGCAAGAUGAGAUUAUAGUUGUUAGCCGCGUCCGUCACAAAAAUCUUGUUGAACUGCUUGGUUACUGCGUUGAAGGGGCCGAUAAAUUUCUUGUUUUAAAGUAUUUUCCUAAUAAGUCCUUGGGUUUUCAAUUACAUGGUGAGUCUCCUUCUUCCUCUUUGUAUUUUCAUAACUAUUAUGAAUAUUAAUAUAAAUAAAAAUUGGUUUUGUAGAAAGCGGUAAGGAUUUGGACUGGGAGACGAGGAUGAAUAUCGCUAAAGGCUCUGCAAGUGGACUAGAAUAUUUACAUGAACACUGUAAGUAUAAAAUUAACUAUAUUCAUAGCUAAUAAUUGCCAACCUCUUUAGCUCUUGAGGUUCUAUCUAUUGUUGUUUGUUUGAGUUAAUAAUUUAUUUCAUCCUAAAUUUUUUUAUUUUUUUAUAUUAGGUGACUCUCCUAUUGUACAUUUAGAUAUCAAGUCAGAUAAUAUUCUUCUUGAUGAUGAAUUUAAACCAAAGGUAAGAUAUUUUGAUAAUAAUUUUUUAUAUUGAAGCCAUCAUACAGUGGAACCUCUCAAAAAAUAUUGUUGGAUGUGAAAGUUUUAUUUUCAAAAAAUACUGAAAUAUUAUGUGAAACUCCAAUAAUGUCUACGUUGUAUUUAAAUAAUAAUUGCACCUUAAUAGGUUAAUUAGUUCUUAUGAUUCAAUAAACUUCACAUAUUAGCAUAUUAAUCUACUUAAAUCAUUUCGUUAAUCAGGUGGCUGACUUUGGACUUGCACGCUUUUUUUCGGAGGCUGCUACUCACAUUUCCGAAUCAGCAAUUAUGGGAACCAAUGCGUAAGAUAAUUUAUAUAUGUCUGAGUUAUUUGAGUUUUUUAGUGUCAUUAUUAUGUUCUACUUCUAGAAUUAUUAAAAUAAAAUAAAAUACAUAUGAAAACAUAAGGAAACUAGUGCUUCUUUAGAUUUUAAUUUCUUGAAUCUUGACAUGAAUUUUGAUUGAGCUUACUAAAUUGUAGCUAUAUAGACCCAUAUGCAAUAAAAACUGGACAGUACUCUGUAAAAUCAGAUGUUUACUCAUUUGGUGUUAUGCUUCUGGAAUUAAUUACUGGAAGAAGACCCAUAGAAGAAGACGGCUUUGAUGUUGUUGAAUGGGUAAGACCUAUGCAAAUAGUGUACUUUAAAAAUUUAUGAUAUGUAAUUGUAUAACUAAAAUAUAAUAAAAGCUAUUUAAGAUCCAAAACUCACUGCAGGCUUAACAUGGUGGUAAGUACAUCUACUCCCCCAAUUCCCAAUUCAUAUUUCAAAAAAAAAAAAAAAUCCAAAACUCAUCAUUAUUAUAUUUUUAUUGAUAUUUUACAGGCAAAAUCUAAAAUUAAGAGUGCUUUGCGGGAUGAAGAAUUUGAAGAUUUUGUAGAUUCUACAUUGGAAAUAUUUGACCAUAGAGAAAUGUAUCGAAUGUUGUUCUGCAUUGAUGUUUGUAUAAAUAACCAUCCAAAGUUUCGUCCAUCAAUGAAGAAGGUAAAAAAAAAAAAAAAAAAAUUCAUAUAUUAUGUUAAUAAUUAAUAAUAUAUUCAAUAAUUUCAUUAUUGCUAUGCCAUAUAGAUACUUCUAGCUCUUAAAGGAAUUUUGCCUCUAGACGAAUUAUGCAAUGAGAAGGGUGAUAACAAAUUGCCACGGUACGCUACUUUAUAUAAAGAAAAGUCCUAUAUGGAAGUUUUGAACGAGAAUCAAGGAGAGCAUCACGAAGCAAGCCUUGGUCAGUCUCACUGUAGGCAAGGCUUACAUCAAAUGACUUACAUUGAGAAGUGAAUGGAGCCGUGGUGCAAACUUCAAGUAAGGCUUAUUCAAACUUUGGGCAGGGCUUAUGUAGAGUUAAAAGACUUCUAUAUCCGAUUCUCAAAAUUUUGUGGAUAACUAUUUAGGAAGCUUCCUUUCAUAUAUAAUUUAAAAAAAAAAAAAAAGAAUAUUUUGGGAUCCUUACUUCUAUUUUGGGAUGAGACUUUUUUUAUUCCUCUUAGACUACGAAGUAACCAUUUAAAAAGGAGAGGCUCUUUUAGAUUGGGGAUCUUCUGACACUUUUGAAUAUGUCUUUAUGUUAGUUGCUAUACAAUGUGCUUCACUAGCUAAUUUCAUUUAUAUAGCUAAGGAAUUUUCAAGAUGCGAUUCAUAAGGAUUGUAAAAUCGAAUUAAUAUUAAUACUCUAUCUUUAUUUCUGGUUUCUAAUAUUUUAUAUGCUUGAAAUUGAAUUGAGGAUCAAUUUUAUGUCUUGAGAAACACGCUUUAAAUAUGAAAUUUAUUGAAGUGAACUUUGGUGAAAUUAAACUAUUUCUACUAUCAUCCUAUUGCAUGAAAAUUUGGUUCUUUGUUUUGGACAAAUUAAAUUUGAGAUUGGUUGAGGACAGGACUGUGUUUUAUUGUUUCAUUUUAAUUUUUGUGCUUGAAGAUAAGCAAAGGUGCAAGUGUGGGGGAAUCUGAUGGGUUGUAAAACUCACAAUUUUUUUCUCAUUUAAUUUCAUGAUUUUACUAUAAUUUUGAUAUAAAUAUUUAAUUUUAAUUUGAAUUUAAUUUUGGACAGGUUUGUGGGCAGAAAUUGAGAAAAUGAACGAAAAGACUGAAUUAAAUGAUUUUUGUAAGGUUACAACCUUGAUCAAACUUGUAGUGCUGCCCCAACUUUCUUCUUCUUUUGCUUAGUUGUUAUAAUUUUAUUAUGGUCAUGAGUGACUAAAUAAUUAUUUUCAGUUGAAGGUUAAAUUAAAUUGAGAUUUGUUCAAAUUGGAGGUUAUGCACUUCAAUUCUCUUCAUUUUAUUUAUAUUUUCUGUCAAUGAAUUCAGGAGACCUAUUGAAUCUCUUAGGAAAACAACCUAUAACUAAUUAAUCUAAUUAAAUCCAUAAUCGUUUCAUUGGGUUAAUAAUAAGUAGCAAUUAACAUAUUAGUUUAUGUUAAGAAAUUGAUAGAUUUGGUUUAAAUAAAUUGUGUUUUUAUUGGUCAAAUUUGGAUUUUUCUCUCUUAAUAUAGUUGACUAAUUAAAUCUACACGCGUGUUGGAAUUUUAAUUGACUAGGAAUUAAUUUAAGCACGAAGCGGAUUAAUUUAUUCAUAAGAAAUCAUUGGUGAGAUUCGCGUGCUUGACCACUAUAACCAAACAAUAGAUAAGAUGAAUUAUGAUCAUCUGCAAAAUAUCUCAAUUUAAUUAUCUUCAUCUGAAAAUUCUAACUAUUUAUUUGUUUCUCAAAUUUCAAUUACAUUGUUUAUUAUUAUUUUUACAGGCACAACCACUUUCAUAAAAAAAAAUUCUUUUAUUCUCACUUUUUAAUAUUAAAUUAUUUCUCUAUUUUAAAUUGGUCAUUUAAAUUAAACAGAAUUAAAAUAUUUGUGGAAUCGAUAUUCACUCACCCUAUUUAUAAAAUUUUACCAAUUAAAAAAAAUGAAUUUUAAAUUUACGAAUUCAAUACUCAUCAAAGUUGUUUCAAUUCCCCGUUAGUUCUCUUUAUCAAUUUAUCUAAAUUAAAGAAUGAAUAAUUAAAAAACCAUAAUCAUAUGAAUUAGAUAUUAGACCAUCUAGAUCGUUGACUUUGAAAAAAAAAUGUUAAUAAUAAUUAAAUUCAAAGGCCAUGAUUGUUCAUUGAUAGAGUUAGUAACAUAAGUACAUCCAUUCAUAGGUCUAGGUGGAAAUCACGUUAACCUUAUGUCUUAAUAAACAAUAAAUAACUUGUUAUUUUUAUAAGACUUUUAUAUUUUUAUUUUUAUUCUCAUAAUUUUUUGUUGCCCACUACACGAAAUUAAUUUGUCAAUUGAGUUCAAAUCUCUCUCAGAUAUAAAUCAUUAAUGGCACUUAUGAGCCCACGUCUAUUUAUCACUAAUUAAAAAACUAUUUAGGUACAGAUAAACCUGAUUAGCCUAACUGUAAAUUGAAUUAAGUGGAUUUUAUGUGAUUUUUUUUCUGAGCUAAUAAAAGACCACACUCAAAAGAAUUUGAAAAAAAAAAAAAAAAACCUCAUUGAAACUUAGAAUAAAGAGAAACUCAUUAAUAAAUUUAUAAUAUGCAUUACACAAAAUGACAUUAACUGGAGGCCACAUGCUGCGAAUUCUACGCUCAACGUUAUAUAUAUAUAUAUAUAUAUAUAUAAAAGAAAACGACAGUCCUAACGCUAAAGUUACCUACUGUCUUCCUUCAUCCUUCCUACAUCUCCCUCUCUAUCGCUGACCAUUCACAUUCACACUCUAUAGAAACUCUAUUAUAUAUAUAUAUACGCAACAAACUCAUGGUCGUGGUUGCAUAAGUCUGCAACUUCUGAUGGCCUCUCGCUUGGGGAUGAACGGGGCAGAUCGCCGGAUGGAAACUAGAGGUAUUAAUUGUUUUUAGCUGAAACUGUUGUACCAAAUAGUAAUAGUUUCAUGGAGAUUUCAUUUCAUCUAACUAAUUGAGGCAUGUUGUUUAUUGAUUGUCACUAAGCACAGAUCAGAAUGAAUCUGGCUCAUUUCAUGAGAAGAUUAUUGGGCCAAAGUCAUAUUCAUACGCUGAACUAGCAAAGGUAACUGGUCAUUUCUCGCUCAAUAACUUAAUUGGUCGAGGUGGUUUUGGUCAUGUUUUUAAGGCAUCCUUAGAUGGUGAGAUCCGUGCUAUUAAGAGACUUGAUUUUCCGGAUGUACAAUCCGAAGGAGGUUUGGAGAGGGAGAUUAUGGUCGUCAAAAGUGUCAGUCACAAAAACCUCGUUGAAUUGGUUGGUUACUGUAUUGAUGGAGCCAAUAGAUUGCUUAUUUUAAAGUAUUUUCCAAAUGGGUCCUUGAGAUCUAAAUUACAUGGUGAGUUCCAUAUAUCCUUUCUUUUACUUUUAUGUUCGGAUAACUAAUCAAUAUAACAUGAUUAAUCUUAAAAAUUACAAAUGGUAUUAUAGGAAGUGGGGAUGUUUUGGACUGGGAAAAAAGAAUGAAGAUCGCUACAGGUUCUGCAAAAGGAUUGGAAUAUUUACAUGAACAUUGUGAGUAUAUACUAUUAUAUAUUCUUACCUGGCAGGAUCUUAGCUUUAGAGUGUGAAUUUAUUUAUUUAUUUUUAUUUAUAUUAAUAAUUUAUUUUUUUUUUAAAAUUUAUAUUUUAUAUUUUUUUCAGGUAAACCUAAAAUUAUCCAUUUAGAUGUCAAACCAGAUAAUAUUCUGCUUGAUGAAGAUUUUGAACCUAAGGUGAGAUAAUUUUAUAACAAAUAAAUAUUUUAUUUAUAUUAUCACAUAUGUAUAGUAAAACCUUGAUAAUUGAAUACUGAAAUUUUAUUUUUCAAAAAUAUUGAAAAAUUAUAUGUACUCCUUAAUUACAUAAUUUUAUUUUUGUAUUAAUUAAUAAAUCUGGGUUCUAAUUUUUUUUUUGUUUGGCCAUAUAUUUUUGGCUUUUUUAAUAAAAUUUAUUGCUUAUAAAAAAUUAAUAAAUCCACCUUAGUAGGUUUCUUGUUUUUUUUUUUAUGAUCUAAUAUUUUCUUAAUAAACCUUUUUGAAGUACGGAAAUUGGUGUACUUUAUCAAAUAAAAAGGUAAAAGGAGUAUAUUGGUGGAAUUAAGUGUGAAGUUUCAACUUUAAAUUAAUGUACACAUUAUAUAUAAAUCGCAUAAAUAAAUUUAUUAAUCAACAUAAAUCAUUUGUUUAGAUAACAGAUUUUGGACUUGCUCAAUUUUUUACCGACGGUGGUACUCACAUAUCCAAAUCAUCAGUUAUGGGAACCCAUGUGUAAGAUAUAACCUCCUCUUCUAUCAUUUAAUUGCAUCGCUAUUAUUGUCUUUCUUUUUUCAGUACCAUUAUUAUCUAUUCUUAGAAUAGUUUAAAAAUAAAAUUAAAAUAGAUAAAAUAACACAUAAAAAGAUAUUAGUACUCCUUAACUUGAUGGUAUUAGUUUCUUAAGAAAUCUUAACAUAAAUUUUAAUUCUGUUAAUUUUAUUGCAGUUAUGAAGAUCCAUUGACAACAAAACUGGGAAAGUAUUCUGAUAAAUCUGAUAUUUAUUCUUUUGGAGUUACACUUUUAGAACUGAUUACCGGAAGAAAACCAAUAAACAAUAGCACUGAUAUUGUUACUUGGGUAUGACUCUGUUUGUCUUAAUAAAAUUGUGAUAUAUAAAUUCUAUUUUCAACUUAUAAAGUUUUGAAAUUAAAUCUCAGUCGGAGAUAUUUAGAUUUCAAUUCAAUAUAUUUAUGAUCUAUUAAUAACUAAUUUUUUUAAUCAAUAUUUUAUAGGCAAAUCAUCUAAUUAAAAAGGCUUUGGAGGGAAGAUACACAAAUUUUGUAGAUUCUAAUUUACAAUCCUUUGAUCAUGAACAAAUGUAUCGAAUGGUUUCUUGUGUUAAUUCUUGCAUAAAUCAACCUCCAAACUCUCGUCCAACAAUGGAAAAGGUAAAAUUUUUUACGUAAUUAAUUUAAUUUUAGCUAUAUAUAUUAUAUAUUAUAUAUUUUCAAUUAAUUUUAUGAACUCGAAAGAUUAUAUAAUUGACUUGUAAUCAUUUUAUUUCUAUGUCAUGUAGAUACGUCUAGUUCUUGAAGGAAAAUCGCCUCCAGAGGAAUUAUACGAUCAUAAAUUGCAAUGGAGUAUUAUACAUAGAGGUCUAUAUUCUUUUAUGUUAAUUUAUUAGAAAUUAUGCAUAUUUAUACUAAAACUUGAUCAAAUUGAUGCCUAAAUUAAUUUUCAUUUAACUUGUGUCAUAUCUUAAAAUUAGAAACAAAUGUUGAUUUUCAACUGCAUAAAUAUUAAUUUUUUAAUUUGAAAUGUAGAAUAAAUUUGUUUUUUAGUCAAAAUUGAUAACAUAUUAAUGAAAUAUAAUUUUUAUCUUAUAAUUACUCAAACAAACAGUAAAAACAAUGAUGAAAGUAACCUUAAAGUCAUACAUAAUUUCCUAAUCGUUAAUUUUGUCAAUUAUUGAAUUAAAUCAUAUAGUUGAUAUUUAUAGGAAUGAAUAGUUUCAAGAUUAAACAUAUAAUUUUAUUUAAAUUAGAAGAAUAUAAUUACUUAUAGUUUUAUGAUUUAUCUUAUUAAUUAAUUUUAAUCAUUAUAUGAAACAAUAAAGAAAAUCAUUUAUCAACCGAAACCUCCUUUGUUCACUUAUAUGAAGGGUGUAAAAUUAAAAUUUUAACGUAUUUUAUUUACUAUUUCUUAAAAUUAAAUGAAUAUGUAAUUACAUUUACAUUUAAAUCUGUAAGAGUAUUUAUAAUUAAAAAUAUAUUAUAAAUUUUAAAUAUUUAAUUUACUAAUAUAUAAAUUGGAUAUUUGUAUUAAAUAGUUAUUAUUUGAGUCAAUUUACAAGUCCAUUAACUCAUUUAUAAUUUUACAUAUUACUUUUUUCUUCACAUAAUUUUUAUUUAUUUUAUUUUUUACAUGUAUUAAGAAAUAUAAACUUUUUUAUUAAUUUUUUAAUUAUAUUUAAAUUUUAUUAAAUAUUAAAAAAUAUUUUAAGAAAUUCCUUAAAAAUAAAAAAAAUUAAAUAGAAUUAUAAUAAUUGAUUUAUAUGUUACUAUAUUUUAAAAAAAGAAAAUGAAUAAUAAUUUUAAGAUAAUAAAAUAAAAUAAAUAAAAAUUAUGAAACGGAAAAAAUGUUAUUUAAUUAUUUAAGUAAAGGUAAAUAAAUAGAAAUAAUGAAGCCGUGAAUAGUUUUUUGAUACGAAAAAAAAAUUAAUGUCCAUGAAACCAUUUUCUAUUUUGAGAUAGUUUAAUUUAUUUAAAAAGAUCUUAUAACAUAAUUAUUUUGAGAUAGUUUAAUUUAUUUAAAAAGAUCUUAUAACAUAAUUAUUUGUUUAUAUUAUAUACAUAUUGUUUUUUUUUUUUUAAUACUUAUAUACAUAUUGUUUGACAAAUUCUUAAUAAGAAGAUUUAGAUUGUUUACAUAAUAAACUUUUUUUUUUAUAGUUAGUCUUUGUAGGUAAAUUUCAAUCAUAUAGGUUAUUCGAAUUUGUCUAAAACACUAAUAAUUCACUAUAUGAAAUUAAGAGAAGGAAAAAUAAAAGUAUGAAAAUUAAUUAGUAAGCAUGGUUAUUUGCCUUAAUUAAUAGAGAUAAUUUACUCAUAAAGCUUGCUUUAUGUUCACAUAUGGAACAACUUUAUUUAAAAAAAAAUUAUUGUGAAAACUUACUUAAUUAGUGUCUAAAUAUAUAAUAAGAGUUUUUUAAACAUAGUUAGGAGUUACAAAUUAAUUAGUUGAAAAAAAUUUUGAGUUUGGAACAAAUAUAUAUAGCUUUUUGCUCUAUUUUAUUUCAGAGUUACAAAUUAUAUUAAGAAAAUAAAAAAUCUGAACUUUUCGUCAAGCUCACGAGAUCAGUUGGAAAAUUCUUAUCUUAAUUUCUUUGCCCUCUAUAUAUGUAUAUACAAUGGUUCCACAAAUUAGAUAUAUACACUAACUAAAUAUGGCAUGUUAUGGUUUGCGUAGAUGACGAAUCUAGCUCAUACUUUGAAGAGAUUGAUCAAAUUGAAGAAUCUGGCUCAUUGCAUGACAAGAAUUAUAAGGGUGGGCUAAAGCCAUAUUCAUACAGUGAACUAGCAAAGGCAACUGAUCAAUUCUCGCUCGAACGCCAAUUUGGUCAAGGUGGUUUUGGUCAAGCUUUUAUCGCAUCCUUAGAUGGUAAGAUCCGUGUUGUCAAGAAACUUAAAAAUUUUCCGGAUGUACAGUCGGAAAGAGAUUUCGAGAGGGAGAUUAUGGUUCUCAAUGGAGUCCGUCACAAAAAUCUUGUUAAGUUAGUUGGUUACUGCAUUGAGGGAGCAAAUAGAUUGCUUAUUUCAAAGUUCUUUCCCAACAUGUCAUUGAGAUAUCAAUUAGACAGUGAGUCCCAUAUCCUUUCUUUUGCCUAUGUUCAUAUAACUAAUUAAUAUGACGUAAUUAAUCUUACAAAUUACAAAUGAUUUUGUAGGAAAGGAGAAUGUUUUAGACUGGAAAAAAAGAAUGAAUAUUGCUAUAGGCUCUGCAAGAGGAUUGGAAUGUUUACAUGAAGACCGUGAGUAUAUAAUAGAGAACAUAUUUCUGAUUUCUGCUUGUUAGGCUUUUAGCGUUUGGGAGUAAGUUUUUAUUAAAUUUUAUUUUCAUUUGCAUUAAUAAUUUAUUUCCUCUAAAAGUUUUAUACUCUUCUUGUAUUAUUUUCAGGUAGACUCAAAAUCAUACAUUUACAUAUCAAGUCAGAUAAUAUUCUUCUUGAUAAUUACUUUAAUCCUAAGGUAAGAUAAUUUAAUAAUAAAUAUAAAUUUUAUUUAUAUCAUUACAAUGUGGAAUUAUAUGAACCCAUUAGUUUGAUUGUUGUAAUUCAUUAAUAAUGAGGCUUAACAAGGUUUCUUGUCUUUUUUAAUGCUUUACUACUUUCUUAAUAAACCUUAUUGAAGUACAGAAAACAGUGUAAUUUAUCAAGUAAAUAUAUAUAUAUAUUCAUGAAAUUAAGUAGAAAAUAACUGCACCUUUAAAUUAAUAUAUACAUUAUAUAUAUGUACAGCAGAAUAAAUUUAUUAAUCUACUUAAAUCAUAUGUUUUAGAUUUCAGAUUUUGAACGUGCCCUGUUCUUUAGGGAUGCUACUACUCACGUGUUCAGAUUAUCAACUUUUGGAAUUCACAUGUACGUAAAAAGAAAAAAAAUUUCUUUCUAUCAUUCAAUUACAUCUCUAUUAUUGCCUCUCUUUUUUUCAGUGCUAUUAUUAUCUAAUUUUAGAAUAAUUUAAAAAAUAAAAUAAUAUAAAAACAAAAAAAAACACAUAAAAAAGAGUUAGGGUUUUUUAUUUAAAGAUAUUAGUUUUUUUAAAAAAAUAUUAAUACAAAUUUUAAUUGUGAUGAUUUAAUUGCAGUUAUGCAGAUCUACCGUCAGUGAAAUUACAAAAGUAUUCAGAUAAACUCGAUGUUUAUUCUUUUGGUGUUAUACUUUUGGAAUUGAUUACCGGAAGAAAGCUCAUAAUUGAUGAAAACAUUGACAUUAUUACUUGGGUAUGACUUUUUUACUUGUAAUAGUUUAAUAUAAAAAUUGCAAUAUAAAAUUAUGAUAUAAGAAUCAAUAAGAAAAAAAAAAUAAAUUUAAAUCUCCAUUGGAUUGGAUGUAUGCAAAUAAAAUAAUAAAGCAUUCUUUAUAAUCACAUUAAAAACAUUGAAAAAGACAAAACCAUAUGCUAUAAGUUAAAUACAAAUGAUUCAUUAAUAAUAAAUAACUUAUUAAUCAAUAUGUUGUAGGCACAACCUCUGAUGAAAAAGGCUUUGGAGGGAGAAUAUACGGAUUUUAUAGAUUCAAGAUUGCAAUUUUUUGACGAUCAAGAAAUGCAUCGAAUGAUUUUUUGUGCUAAUGUUUGCAUAAAUCAACCGUUAAGAUCUCGUCCAUCGAUGAAAAUGGUAAAAUUUAUUUAUAUAAUUAAUUUUAAUAUAUUUCAAAACUCUAUAUAUACAUUACUAUUAUUGUUUAUUUUCAAUUAAUUUUAUAAAAGCAUUGAGAGAUUAUAUAAUUGACUUAUAAAUCUUUCUAUAUUGAUAUGUCAUGUAGAUACUUCUAGCUCUUGAAGGAAUUAUUCCUCUAGAUUCUUUGGCAAGAGAUGAAUGACAACAAAUUGCGAUCGGAAGCUAUUCAUAAAGGUCCGUUUCUUAUAAAAAAUGGGAAUAUCUAUUUCGAAUGUUAUUCAUUUUCUUUAGAUUUAUUAAAUAAAAAAAUUAAAAAGUAUAUGAUUUGUCAUAUUUAUUCUAAAUUUAAAAUUUUGAACAAUAAAAACAAAUUCUUUUACAUUUACUUCAAUUAAUUUUUUUUAGAAAAAAUUUUAGUUCAAAUGUCACGUCACAUAGGUUUAUUCUUUGCAAGGCCUGCUCAAUAAAAAAUUCAAACAUUAACAUUAAAUUCAUAUUUAUAUUGAAAAUUUUUGAAUAAUAAAAUCAAAACUUUUUUAAUUUGACACAAUUAUAAUCAAUAGAACUAAAUAAAUUAAAUUUGAAAAGAACUAAAUAAAUUAAAUCUGAAAAGUUAAUGAUAAUUAAAUUACAAUAUAAUCCCUAAAAUUUUAUAUUAACAAAACAUAUAGUCUUUUAAUUUAACAUGUAGUCAUUUAUAAACUAUAAUAUAGUCCUUAAAUUUAUCAUAUGUACUAUUAAAUAUAUUAUAUUCAAUAAAUAUUUAUUAUAAAUAAAUUUUCAUUACAUAAAAUAUCACAUAUAAAUAUUAUAUAAUAAAAUAUUUUAUUAAAUAUUUAAAUUAGUUAUUAUAAAUUAUAUAUAUAUUUUUGAUAUAUAGAAAUUGUACUUCAUAUAAACAAUAUUAAAUAAAAUAAAAUAUUAUAUAUUUUAAUCAGUCAUUCAAAACUUGAUCGAAGAACCCGUGUUUAUUGAAGAAGCUAUAGAGUCGAGUAUAAAAAAUACUAGUUUGAAAGGCUUGUUGGAAUUGAUCUGCUGCAGUAUUUACAUUAUACAAACUUGAUCGAAGAACUAGUGUUUAUUGAAGAAGCUAGAGAGUCGAUUAUAAAAUAUACUAGUUUGAAAGGUUUGUUGAAAUUGAUCUGCUACGGAAUUUACAUUAUACGCAACAGAAGCACCUGAAGUACUAAACGGAAUAGGUAUUAGCUAUAGUUUGGUAAUGGUUGGAGGAGCAAACUUAGAUUUGACAAGAAUCUUAUCUCUUACCCAUAUCUCUCAUAAGUUAUUUUGUUCACCUAUAUAAAUAAGUAAAUUUGUGAUGUCUAGUAAUUUAUUAGUCUAUUGAAAUUGUACUUCAUAUCAUUAAUAUUAAAUACAAUGAAAUAUUAUAUAUUUAAUAUAGUCUAUAAUUAUUUUAUAUUUUAAAUUUUUAUUAAUCUACAAUAUUGUAUAAAAAUAAAAAUGAGAAGUAAAUAAUGAGAUUAACAAAAAAAAAGAUAUUGUUGAAAUAAAAAUAUGUAUUUUAAAAAUUUUAGAGGUUAUAUUAUAAUUUACGGUAACUUUUUCAAAUUUAAUUUUAAUAAUUUUGAUUAUAAUUGUGAUAAAAUGAAAAAAAUUUUAUUUUAUUAUUUAAAGUUUAAAAUUUAAAAUAUAAAUACAUUCAUAUUAUUUCUUUAUUUAAAAGGAGUAGGAUAUGAACUUAAUUCACCUUUUAAAAAAAGAAGUAUCCGUCUCAGUUCAUCUACUUGGUGAUUUUGCUUUUUUCCUUUGAUAAUAUUUUCUCCUUAUAGAGCUGCACUAAUUUAUUUAUUUAUUUAUUUUUUUGGAAACAGAUGAGCCUAAGCCAAGAAGCAACAGAAGCAACUAGUAAUGGUUCCUCCAACAUCAUUCCAGAAACUUCAUUUGAUAAGAUGGAUUGUUUUCCCAAACCCAUUGCCUUUAGGAGAUUUAAUAAAAUCCUUAAACCUUUCUCUUCUUAUUUUUAAUAGACCAGAGUUCUCAUUUAUCAUUUUAAGCCUUUCUCCUUUUAUUAUUUUCUUUAAACGAUAACUUAUUACAUUAUUUUCUAUAUUAAAUAUGACCAAGCUUAAAAAAUAACCCCUUUUAUUUAAUUUCAAUAUCAAACACUAUACAAAAAUUUUUAAAAUAUCAAUAAAUUUUUUCAUUAGUAAUUCAAUAAAAAUCUAUUAGUGAAUAAUAUGAUCUAUUUUUAAAAGUCUCGCUAGUAAAUUUUUACCAACAAAUUUUAAAUUUAUUAGCACCACUACCGAAUUUAUCAAUAUAGAUUCUCAUUUUUUAUUUAAUUCAGAUUGUAGUGUGAAUUUUUCGGAUAGAGUUACAAUUUGAAUAAAUAAUAUAAUUUAUAUUCCAUAGUCAUUAAAAAUGUAAAUAUAUAUUUGGAAAAGAAAAAGAGUAAAUGAUAAAAUAAAGUGAGAAAAAUAGAAAUGAAAGAAAAUAAAAAUAAGAGAAAAGGAAAUGGCGUAAAAUGAGAAAAAAUUAUAAGAAAAAAAAAGAAAAAGGGGAAAAACAAUAGAAAAGAAAAUUAUAGAGAAGAAAAAAGGAUGAAAGAAGAGGAAAAUGAUGAUAAGAGAAGUGAGAGAAAAUGAAAUAAAUAAUUAGAGAAGGAAAUAAACCAAGAGAAAAUAAUAGAAAACGAUGAGUUGUAAAACUCACUAUUUUUUUUUACUAUAAUUUUGAUAUAAAUAAUUAAUUUUUAUUUAAAAUUUGAUUUUAAAUAGGUUUUUGCGUAGAAGUUAAGAGAAGAAAUGAAAAGAGUUUGAAUUGGAAGAUUUUUGGAUGGAGAGGUUAUAGCCUUGGGCAAGUUUGUAACUCAAGGCGAUAGACAACUCCAUCUCACCCCGAUUAGUAAAUGGCAUAAAAUGAGAAAAAAUUAUAAAUGGCAUAAAAUGAGAAAAAAUUAUAAAAAGAAGGAAAAAGGAGAAAAACAAUAGAAAAGAACAUUAUAGAGAGAAAAAAAGGAUGAAAGAAGAGGGAAAGGAUGAUUAGAGAAGUGAGAGAAAAUGAAACAAAUAAUCAGAGAAGGAAAUAAAUGAAGAGAAAAUAUUAAAAAAUAAUGAGUUGCAAACAUCACCACUUUUUCUUAUUAAAUUUUAUAAUUUUGAUAUAAUUUUAAUAUAAAUAAUUAAUUUUUACUUGAAUUUGAUUUUGGAUAGGUUUCUGAACGGAAGUUGAGAGAAAAAAAUGAAAAGAAGCUAAAUUAGAAGAUUUUUGAAUUGGGAUGUAGCCAAAGCCAUGGGAUGUAGCCAAAGCCAUGUACAGCUUCAAAUUUGAAAAUUUGCCACCUCAGCCCGAUUUUUUCACCUAAACAUGGAUAAAAUCAGUUUUAAAUUGGAUCAAAUAUAAUCAGAUUAGAAUACUAGUAAAAUAGGAGAAGCAAAGUUUAUAUUAAAUUAUUAAAUUUUAUCUUUUUGUUGAAGGAAAAACCAAUAUAAAGUCUUUCCAAAAAUUAAACCUACAUCAUAUUCUUUUAUUCUCUCCCUCCUUUUCUCUCUAAGCUGCCUCCUCUCCUCUUCUCCUUUUUUCUUUUCCUCUUCUUUUCCUUUAGAUUUUUGUAAUUUUAUUAUGAUAUUUAAAAGCUAAACACUCUCUUUUUUUUGAAAAUUAAUUUAAAUUGAGAUUUUAUUUAAAUUGUGAGAUUAUGUGCUUCAAAUAUCUUUAUUUUAUUUCUAUUUUCUAUUAAUUUCGGAUUUUAAUAAACACCACCUCUAUUCUUAUCUUUUUAAGAAUUCAAGAAACCUAUUGAAUAUCUUGGGUAACAUAUAACUAAUUAAUCCAAUUAAAUCCAUAAUUAUUUAAUUAAAUUAAUAACAAGUAGCCAUUAAUAUAUUAGUUUAUAUUAAAAAAUUAGUAAAUUUGAUUUAAAUAAAUCACGUAUUUUUAUUAAUUAAGUUUGGAUUUUUAUUUCUUAAUACGGUUGAUUAAUUAAAUUUAUAUGCGUGUUGGAUUUGUUAGUUAACUAUAAAUUAAUCUAAGCGCGAAACGUAUUUAACUACUAUAACCAAAUAAUAGAUACUAAAAUGAAUUAUUUUUCUAAUCUAUAAUAACGGUCAAACCCUUCAAUUUGAUUACUUUCAACUGAAUUUAAUUUAAUUAUUUAUUUUACGAUCUCAAUUUGCAUUACUUGUUUUUUUUUUAAAAGUAUUUUUGACUUGUCCAAGAUAAAAACUAAUUUUAUAAAAAAUUCUCUUCUUUUUUACUUUUUAUAUUAAACUACUAUUUGAUUUCAACUAGUCGUUUAUGUGAAAUCAAUAUUCAACUAUCCUAUCUACAAGUUUUUGUUAAAUCAAGAAAAGAGAAAUAAAUUUUAAUUAAUAGAUUUGAUAUCUGUUAGAAAUAAAUAGAAAAAAUAUAGAAGAAAAUAAAAUUAGAGAAACUAAUAUGAAUAAAAAUUAUAUAUAAAAAAAGAGAUGGAGGAAAGAAAAGAAAAAUGAUGAAAGAAAUGAAAAAGGUGAAAUUAAUAGAAAGAAAAAUUAUAGAGCAAAAUGAAGAAAAUAAGAAAAGAGGGUAGAGUGAGAGAAAAAGAAAAAUUGAAAAAAGGAAAAUAAUAAAAAAAUAAGAGAAAAUAAUUAUGAGGUAAGAAAGUCAAAAUAAAAAUAAUAAUAAGAAAAAAAAGAGAGAAAAUAGAAGAAUGAAAAAUUAUAUAUGAAUGGAUGAUAAAAGGAGGAUAUCGCGUUAAUAUUUAUAAAUGCAAAUUAUUAAUGAAUUUCAAAUUUUUUUUAAAAAAUGUGGGCUUUUUUUUUAAAAAAAUUACUAAUAAAUUUAAAAUUCGUUAUUAAAUUAUUAGUAAAUGAAAAAUAGUAAAAUUUUUUAAAAAAUAACACAAAAAUUUUAUGCAUAAUCUUAUAUUAAAUUUAUCCAAAAAAAUUUUUUUAUUUAUUAAUGAUAAUAAAAAUUAAUAAUAGAUUUUAAAAUUUAUUGGUAAUCUGUUGGUAAAGUAUUAAUAGAUUUAAUAUUUGAUUGGAAUGAAAUUUAGAAUGAAUACACUUAACGUAUGAAUCAUUUAAAAAAUAAAUGUAUUUGUUCUGUAGCAUCAAUUCGGAUUGGUUUUGAUUCGUUUAAAAAAUAUAGUUUGAGAGACUAUAUGUGAAGCAAUUAGGUAUAAAUUGAUAUCGAACUCUCAAAAUUUGAUAAUUUCAACUCCAUUAACAACCACCUAUGAAUAUUUUUUCAGAUUACACCCAUUAUUUCAAGUUUUAGAUCGAAUUAAUCCAUUAACCUAAAUAGUUCAUGGGAGAAAAUUGACUUACUUGGAUUCUGGAGGAUUAACGGACCAAGUGCUCCAUUAACCUAAAUAGUUCAUGGGAGAAAAUUGACUUACUUGGAUUCUAGAGGAUUAACGGGACCAAGUGCUAGUUUUCGGAUACAAAAUUCAGUAGUUUUUCAAAUGUACUAUAUGAAUGGAUGGAUGACAAAAGGAGGAUAUGGCGUGAAUAUUUUUAAAUGCAAAUUAUUAAUGAAUUUAGUAAUGAAUUACAAAUUUAAAAAAACGUGGGCUUUUUUUCACUAAAAAUUAUUAAUAAAUUUAAAAUUCAUUAGUAAACGAAAAUAAUAGAUUUAAAAAAAAAUAACACAAAAAUUUUAUGCAGAAUUUUAUCUUAAAUUUAUCAAGAUGAAAAUUUUUUUAUUUAUUAAUGAUAAUAAAAAUUAAUAAUAAAUUUUAAAAUUUAUUGAUAAUUUGUUGGUAAAUUAUUAAUAGAUUUAAAAUCUAUUAAUAAUUUCAAUAGUUUUUCAAAUGUACUAAUAAAUUGAAAUUCAUCAAUAAAUUACAACAUAUUUGUUAAUUGAUUUUAAGAUAAUUAUUAAAUUUUGAUAUUAAUUAUUUUAUAUUUAUAAAUUAUCAAUCGUAUUUUAAUUAAAAUCUAUUAAUAAGAUUAACAGAUUUAAACUUUAAACAAAAUAUUUAUAUUAAAAAUUAUCAAUUAAUUUUAAAAUCGAUUAGCAAAUUCGUUAAUAUAACUAUCAAUUAAUUUUAAUUAAAAUUGACUGGUAACUCAACAGAGUUUUUAAAGAAAAUAUGAGGAAAUUUAUUACUGAAUUUCAAUAACUUAUUAGUAUAUUUGUACGCAUUCUCUUUAUUAAAAAAUGACCAAGCUAGCUAUUUAAAAAUGACUCUCAUAUUAUUGGCUAAUAUGUCAAACUAACUACUUUGUAGUUUCUUUCAUUUAUUAAUACGUAAUGGAUUUAAUUUAUAAUAAAUAGACCAACACUAAUAGCUCAUUCGCCCAAACAAAUGCAUUAAUAAUUCAACCAUCUUCUAUGACAGCCUGGCUGCUGUGUGGAGAUUACUUGCUCAAGUUUUAUUUUUUAUUCAAUUAUUUUCAGUUUAAAUAAUUGAAAAAGGGUUAAAUACUAAUUAAACUUAAAGGCCAUGAUUGCUCAUUGAUAGAGUCUUAGAUAAGUAUAUCCAUUCAUACGUCUAGGUGGAAAUCACGUUAACCUUAUGCCCUAAUAAACAAUAAACAACUUGUUAUCUUUAUAAGACUUUUAUAUUUUUAUUUUUAUAUAUUUCAUAAUUUUAUAUUGCCCACUACACCAAAUUGAUUGGUAGUUAAAAUAUCUCUCUCAAACAUUUGGAUUGGACCUCAGAUAUAAAUCAUUAAUGGCACCCUUGAGCCCAGUAAAAAAUAAAUUAGGUACAAAUAAACCUGAUUAGUCUUACUGUAAUGCAUUAAUUUAAUACUUCAAUAUCUAUUUCUUUAUUUAUUAUUAUUUUUCAAAAACCUCAUUGACGAGAUGAAUAGUACCUUCAAAAUUAAAAAAGCAUUGUUGAUAUUUGUGAGCCGGCUUAGAUUAUUAUUUUUAUAAAUAAAUUUUAACAAAUAAAAAAAACUCUUACGAGCACAUAUGACUUCUAUUUUAAUCUGGUGUUAUAAUUUAACAUUCUUUUAUGCUCAAAAAUAAAUUGAGCAUGUGGAAAUUGAUACAUAGCCCCUCAUACUUUUUAUUAUUAUUAUUUAAAAAAGAUUGUGAUCAAACAAUUAAAAAUUUAGAUUCCUACAAUGAAUAAUUUUCACCGCUAAAGGGUUUUCCUUUGUCACAAAAAGCUUAUAUGAUAGAUUUAUGAUAAAAUUAAUCAUGUGAUUGAUAGCUUCGUCACAAACUUUUUGCAAUAAAACUUGUGUCUAUCGCUACUAUGUCGACGAACUUUGUGAUUGCACUGCUAAAUCAACGGCAAAAUUUCUUCAUUGCAAAAAUUUCUUCAUUGCAAAAUGGUAUGUAUUGUUACUCUCAAACUCUUAUUAAGUAUGAAGUUUAUAAGAUCUAUUAUCGUGUUAAUGGCUUAAAAAAGCCUUUCAUUAAAAAAAAAAAUAUAAGUUACAAAUUAUCUUAUUGCAAAAUGGUGAUGUUUGUUUCACUUUGAUAUUUUGACUCUACAUAAAUUUUAGGACCAUGUAUUAUUAUGGGUCAUCUUAAGCAAAUUUAAUUUUUAUAAUUUUAUAUAUUUUACAAGAAUUAUUUUACAGAUGAGUCUUAAUAGGCUAUGUUAUCUAUAAAAGAGAUACAAAUCUAAAAUGAUAGUGCGCUAUACAUAUUGAAAGAUUCUUCUUCAAAUUCAAGUGAUCUAUCGCUCACACGAUGUAAGAGUGUCCUUAAUUGAUAGAAGAGUACUUUUGUUAAAUUAUUUAUGUAAUGAUGUUCAUUUUAUUUUUUUAUAUAUAUUAAAAAAUAUAAUUUUUUAAUUAUAUUAAAAUAUUUAGAAAUUUUUUUAAAAAUAAAAUAAAAUAAAAUUAAAUACAAUUAUAAUAAUCAAUUUAUAUACUUUUAUAGUUUAGAAAAAAUAAAUAAUAAUUUUAAAAUAAUAAAAAAAAAGAUAAAAAUUUAUAGAGCAGUAUUUUAUUGUAAUAUUUUAAAAGCCUUGGGUCUAGGUCGGUCUUUAUUUUGUUUUAUUUUAUGGGUCUUGGUCUAUAUAUUAUAAAACGUUAAUUCUAGAAGGCUUAAUAAUCAAUAAUUCAACGUGCUUUUAUCUCAUUGGAUAGAUAUUAUUGAUUAAUUAGAUGGUCAUCACCUAAUAAUUAUCUCAGCUCCACAAUACGGCUUCAACCUCAAUAUCUUUCACACUUGUAAGCUCUACAAAUAUAUUAAUAUUAAUAUUUUUUAUAAUGUUUAUAUAUUAAUAUUUAAUAGAUUUUAUUAUUAAUAUUUAAAUAAAAAUUAUUGGUGUUACAUAAUUUCAAGUUAUAAAAUUAAUAUUAUAUUGCGAUUAAAUACAUCAAAAUAAUUCAAUUCUAAAAUUAAUUUAAUUAUAUUGUAUAUAUUUAUUUAAUAAUAAAUUUUUUUAUUAUUUUAAUAAAUUAAUAUAGUAAUAUUGUGAUUAAAUAAUAUUAGCAAUCUUAUACGCCUUUAAUCACAUAAUAAUAUUAUUGUAUAAUUUUAUUAGGAUCAAUUAUAAAUUUAUUAAUAUGUAGUUAUUAUAUUAUAUAAAAAUAUUUUAAUAUAUAAAAGUCUUAUAAAAGAGUACUAAUCAAGUAUAGAAGGAAAAUAGUUUUAAAGGGCUGCUUUGAUUAUAUUCGAGUAAAAUUGUACAGUUAAAUAUUUAACAGGUGAUAUUGGUCAAUUUUAUAUGAAUUUAUUAUAUUAAUAAUGAAAUUAUAUUUAUUAUGUAUGUAAAAGAGUUAUAUUAAAUAAUUAUUUUAAUAUGUACAUAUAUAAAUAAUAAUUUUAUUUGAUUAAAAAUAAAAUGAUCAUAAAAUUGAAAAUUUAUUGUGUUUUUUUUGAAAAAUUAUAAUUUUAUUUUACAGAGGGCAUUAAAACCACAAGCAUUCCUAGAUAACCACAAGCAUUCCUAGAUAGCCACAAACACCAUAUUAUAGCAUAAAAGAGAGAGCACCAAAAUUUUCUUUGAAAACUUCCAUGGCAAAGAGAGUUCCAUUCCUCCAUUAAAGAAGCUACGGAGGAGGGAAGGCAAAACUGAAUAUUCCACCAUCAGAAAAACUAAUUUCAUAUAUCAUAUGCAAAGCCACAAAUGAAGAAAGAUGUGUGAGACAAUUUCAAUUAUGGCAUGAAAUUAAGAGUAGUUGUUGAUUCCAAUUUAUUAAACUCUUUUUCAUGUUUCAAAAGGUAGGGAUUAUUUUUAAAUAAAAUCUCCUGAUUUAUUCUUUGACGGGUGUCAUUUAAAAUUUACUUUUCUUUUCUUUGAAUUUGUAGAUAGAGUAAGUGAGUAUUGAUUCCACAGAGAACUAAAUUUGAAAUAGAAGAGUAAUUUAAUACAAAAAGUGAGAAGUGGUUUUGCUUUGGGUAAGCAAAGAAAAAUAAACUUAAAAGAAAAAUAAUAAAUAAUAAAUAAUGUAAUUUAAUUAAUUAAAACUUUCAGCUAAAAGUAAUCAAAUUGCGGUGUUUUGCAGUUGAUCAUUGAUUAGAAAAAACAUAAUUAUAUUAUUAUUUAUUGUUUGGUUAUAGUGAUUAAACACGCGAAUUCCACCAAUUUUUUAUUAUGAAUAAAUUAAUCAGUUUCGCGUUUAAAUUAAUUUCUAGUUAACUAGCAAACUCCAACACGCGCGUGUAAGAACCUAAACUUGAUCAAUAAAAACACACGUUUUAUUUAAAUCAAAUCUACUAAUUCCUUAACAUAAGCUAAUAUGUUAAUUGCUACUUGUUAUUAACCCAGUUAAAUAAUUAUGGAUUUAAUUGCAUUAAUUAGUAAUAUGUUGUCUUUCGAAGAAAUUCAAUACCCUUUGAAUUCUCAAGAAAACAACAAUGGAUAUGGUGUUCCUCAAAUUCAAAAAUUAACAGAAAAUAGAAAUAAGAUAAAAAUAAUUGAAAUACAUAACCUCACAACUUGAAUAAAAUUUCAAUUUAAAACUGAAAAUAAUUGUUUAGCCUCUAAAGGUUAUAAUAAAAUUGCAACAACUAGGAAAAAAAAAAAGAAAAAAAAAAUUAGAUGAAGAAGAAAAUAGGGGAGGCAGCAAGAGAGGAAAGGAAGAAGAGAGGGAAAAAAUAUAUGAUGUCCCUAGGUUUAAUGCUAGGAGCCUUUAUAUAGGCACAAAAAGAUAAAACUUAAUAGUUUAAAAUAAAAUCUACUACUCCUAUAUUAUUUCUAUUUUAUUUUAUCUUUAUUUUAAUUUGAUUCACUUUGAUUUAACUUGAUCUUAUUUGAAACUGAUCUUAUCCUUAUUCAGGUGGCAAAAUCUAUCUUAUUCCCAUCGCCUUGGGUUACAGGUUUGGCCAAGAUUGCAACCUCCCAGUAUAAAAAUAUUUUAAUUCAGUAUUUUUUCGUUUCUUUUCUCAACUUUUGCUCAAAAAUCUGUUUAAAAUUAAAUUUCAAGUAAAAUUAAAUAUUUAUAUCAAAAUUAUGGAAUUAACAAAGGAAAAAGUUGUGAGUUUUGCAACUCAUCAUUCUUACUAUAAAAAGAAUACUAAUUCACUUAAAAUAUUCUUUUUAGCUUUGAUGGAAACCUAUAAUUAAUAUUAGAGUUAUUGAUAAAGGAUUAUUUAGACUUUGUCAGAAAUUUUAAUCAAUAUUGCGUGACUAAGACGAUAUAAGAGAAAGGCUAGAAGCCGAAAAAAUCUUAUUGAAAUUCUUUAAAAAUUGAAAAGUGAGACUCUAGUAGUUAAGUAAGACUAUUUAUAAUAGAAAAAAAACUCUAAUAUGUAAAAUUAUAAAAAUAUCUAAAAAAUUAAUUAAAAUGUAAAAUUAACCCCUAAACGAUGGAAUUUCUAUAUCGAACUAUGUGACAGACUUGCGGCCCUCAUCACACUUUUAAAAGUCGUGCGCCUCGAAAUUCUCUUUUCGAAAAGUUAUUGUGAGUCUCUAUCGGAUGUCGACAGUAAAAAUUAAGACCGGUAUAGGUCUGUCGUAAAAUUCAAGACUAGUUACUCCGUAUCAGUUAUGACAACUAAUAAAGAACAUAUUAAAAACUUGAAAGCUAGACUUGGUGAACCCCAAUCCCAUUUUAGUUGAAUCGAGAACGGUGUGAAUGAAAAGUUGCAACAUAUGGAAUCUGCCGUCGGCAGAAUUUCUAAACUCAUAAUCUCCAAUCGCUAUUUGUUGGCAACAAUUUGGAGACACCAGCCACUUCUCCCAUUCAACUUAUGAACACGUACAGAGAAGAGUGAUGAUAUCAAUAUGAGGAGAGCAGACACUUGUUUGCUUCAAAGCUCACUAAAUUAGAAUUCCCUCAAUUCAAUGAUAAUGAUUCUACUGGAUGGUUUGCAAAAAUUGAAAAAUUCUUUGAUUACCAAGAUACUCUAGACGAACAAAAGGUUCCUCGGAUCAUGCCAUAUAACGAAAUAUGAACACGCCUACAUAGGCAACAUGGGACGUGAGCACACUUACAUAUAGAACGUGAGUGGCCCAUGUAACGUGAAGAAGAACGUGGCCUUAUUUGUUGAUAUGCUUGCCUCACCUACAAUCAGGCCAAAUUAUUAUCUAUUUUUAAUAUUGUUAUUUCUUCUUCACCUAGCUAUGAAGUUAGAAGUAGUUAUGGAUUCUAAUUUGUAUUUAAACUCUUUUUCAUUUAUGAAAAAAAGCAUGCAUUAUUCUGAACAAAAAUUCAUGGUUUAUUCUUACCAUGAACGGAAUAUUAGUUCACUUAAAAUAUUCUCUUUAGUUUUGAUUGGAACCCAUUAUCCAAGGCUCUUCAGUUUUUGCAUUGAACUGAAAUUAUUUACAUCUGAUGCUGGACCUUGGGAAAAUUGGGUAUGCAUUUGAAUCUGGUGUAUCCCAUACUCCACUAUUGUGAAUUAUUAUAUAUCCAUUCAUACGUCUAGGUGGAAAUGACGUUAACCUUAUGCCCUAAUAAACAAUAAACAACUUGUCAUCUUUAUAAGACUUUUAUAUUUUUAUUUUUAUAUAUUUCAUAAUUUUAUAUUGCCCACUACACCAAAUUGAUUGGUAGUUAAAAUAUCUCUCUCAAACAUUUGGAUUGGACCUCAGAUAUAAAUCAUUAAUGGCACCCUUGAGCCCAGUAAAAAAUAAAUUAGGUACAAAUAAACAGUGACGGAGCCAGGAGCUUCCCUUUAGUAGGGCACCACUGGCUUAGCGCGACAUUAAUAAUUUAUCAAAAUUUUAGCAAAACAUCCCUAAAAUAUGGAUAUUUUCCAAAUGAUUAUUUCCAGCCGCCUUUCUUCUUCUUCAUCCUCCAAACCAAAACGCUGCAACUGCACUGCUGCGGCACCUUCAUCCCCUUUUAAAGUAUUUUCCGGUCGCCGGUAUGGCACGUGCCCCUUGCCGUACCGUCCCUCCGCCCCUGCAAAUAAACCUUAUUAGUCUUACUGUAAGUGCAUUAAUUUAAUACUUCAAUAUCUAUUUCUUUAUUUAUUAUUAUUUUUCAAAAACCUCAGAUAUAGGACCUUCAAAAUUAAAAAAGCAUUGUUGAUAUUUGUCAGCCGGCUUAGAUUAUUAUUUUUAUAAACAAAUUUUAACAAAUAAAAAAAAACUCUUACGAGGGCAUAUGACUUCUAUUUUAAUCUGGUGUUAUAAUUUAACAUCCUUUUAUGCUCAAAAAUAAAUUAAAAAAAAAAAAGGGAAAACGACGGCCCCAACGCUAAAGUUACCUACUGUCUUCCUUCAUCCUUUCUACAUCUCCCUCUCUAUCUCUGACCAUACACAUUCACACACUAUAGAAACUGUGUUAUAUAUCUACUCGCAACAAACUUAUGGUAGUGGUUGCAUAAGGAGAAAAACAAUAGGAAAGAAAAUUAUAGAGAAGAAAAAAAAGGAUAAAAGAAGAGGGAAAGGAUGAUUAGAGAAGUGAGAGAAAAUGAAAUAGAUAAUUAGAGAAGGAAAUAAAUGUAUAGAAAAUAAUAGAAAAUGAUGAGUUACAAAAUUCACCAUUUUUUCUUAUUAAAUUUUAUGAUUUUGAUAUAAAUAACUAAUUUUUAUUUAAAAUUUAAUUUUAAACAGAUUUUUAAGCGAAAGUUAAGAUAAAAAAUAAAAAAAAGGCUAAAUUGAAAGAUUUCCAGACGGAAAGUUAUAGCUACAAACUUGUACUCCAAGGCGAUAGACAGCUCUAGAUUUUAAAAAUUAUUAUCUCAACCUGAUCAAGAAAUGGCAUAAAAUGAGAAAAAAUUAAAACAAUAGAAAAAAAAGUUAUAGGAAAGAAAAAAGGAUGAAAGGAGAGGGGAAGGAUGAUCAGAGAAGUGAGAGAAAAUGAAACAAAUAAUUAGAUAAGGAAAUAAAUGAAGAGAAAAUAAUAGAAAAUGAUGAGUCGGAAAACUAACCACUUUUUUCUUAUUAAAUUUCAUUAUUUUCAUAUCAUUUUGAUAUAUAUAAUUAAUUUUUAUUGAAAAUUUGAUUUUGAAUAUGUUUUUGAGCGGAAAUUAAGAGAACAAAUGAAAAGAGUUUGAAUUGGAAGAUUUUCGAACUGGAAGGUUAUAGCCUUGAGUAAGCUUGUAAUCCAAAGUAAUGGAUAAUUCUAAAUUUCAAAAAUUGCCACCUCAGCUUAAUUUUUCCACCUAAGCAUAGGAUAAAAUCAGUUUCAAAUUGAAUAAGCACAAUAGAUUAGAAUAGGGGUAAGAUAUGAAUAAUAUAAUUUAUUUUAAAUUAUUAAAUUUUAUCUUUUGUCGAGGAAAAACCAAUAUAAAGUUUUCCCAAGAGUUAAACCUACAUCAUGUUCUUUUAUUCUUUUCCUCCUCUUCUCUCUAAGUCGCCGCCGCCCUUUCUUCUUCUCCUUCUUCUUUUUUCUUUUCCUUUUCUUUUUCUUUAGAUUUUUGCAAUUUUAUUAUAGCAUUUCAAGGCUAAACACUCUCUUUUCAAUUGAAGGUUAAUCCAAAUUGAAAUUUUAUUCAAGUUAUGAGAUUAUAUGCUUUAAUUCUCUUCAUUUUAUUUAUAUUUUAUGUUAAUUUCUAAUUUUAAGAAACACCAUCUCCAUUUUGUUUUCUUAAAAAUUCAAGAGGCCUAUUAAAUCUAUUGAGAAUAUAACAUAUUGCUAUUAAUCCAAUUAAAUUCGUAAUUGUUUAAUUGGGUUAACAACAACUAGCAAUUAACAUAUUAGUUUAUAUUAAGAAAUUAGUAGAUUUAAUUUAAAUAAAUAGCGUGUUUUUAUUGAUAAAGUUUGGAUUUUCUCUCUUAAUACAGUUGACUAAUUAAAUCUAUAGCGUGUUGUAAUUUAAUCAUAACUUAAUUAUAAAGAAAAAUUGGUAGGAUUCACGUAUUUGACCACCGUAACCAAACAUUAGAUAAUAAAAUGAAUUAUUUUUCUAAUAAAUGAUUACGGUUAAACUCCUCAAUUUGAUUGCUUUCAAGAUCUCAAUCUGCAUUGCUUGUUUUUCUUUUAAGUAUUUUUUAUUUGUCCAAAACAAAAAUCAAUUUCAUCAAAAACUCUCUUAUUUUUUACUUUUUUUAAUUAAAUUAAUAUUUUAUUUCAAUUAGUCAUUUAAAUUAAAUAAAAUUAAGUUCUCUAUUUGAUUGAUACUCAUUUACUUUAUCUAUAAGUUUUUAUUAAAUCAAGGAAAUGAAAGUACAUUUUAAUUGAUGGAUAUCCGUAAAAAAAUGAUAGAAGAAGACAAAAUUGGAGGAACCAAAUUGAAUAAAAAUUAUAUAUAAAAAAAGAGUUUGGAAAGGAAAGAAAAAUGAUGAAAAAAAAAUGAAAAAGGUGAAAUUAAUAGAAAGAAAAAUUAUAGAGCAAAAUGAAGAAAAUAAGAAAAGAGGGGAGAGCUAGAGGAAAAGAAAAAUAAAAAAAAUGAUAAAAAAUAAGAGAAAAAAAUUAUGGGUAAGAAAGUCAAAAUAAAAAUAAAAAAAAAAAGAAAAAAGACAAAGAAAAUAGAAGAAUGAAAAAUGAUAAAUGAAUGGAUGACAAAAGGAGAAUACUGUCUUAAUAUUUAUAAAUAUAAAUUACUAAUGAAUUUAGUAAUGUAUUCUAAAUUUUUUAGAAAAAAUGUGAUUUUUUUUUCUUUAAACCAACAUAUUUAAAAUUUGUUAGUAAAUUUAUUAAUAAAUGAAAAAUAAUAAAUUUUAAAAAGAUAAAAUAUAAAUUUUAUGUAAAAUUUUAUUUUAAAUUUAUCAGGAAAAUUUUUUAUUUAUUAGUGAUAAUAAAAAUUAAUAAUAGGUUUCAAAAUUUAAUUUUAAUUUAUUAGUAAAUUACUAAUAGAUUUAAAAUCUAUUAAUAAUUUCAAUAGUUUUCCAAAUGCAUCAAUAAAUUAAAAUCUAUUAAUAAAUUAUAACAUAUUUAUUAAUUAAUUUUAAGUUAAUUAUUAAAUUUUAACACCAAUUAUUUUAUAUUUAUAAAUUAUCAACAUAUUCUAAUUAAAAUCUAUUAAAUAAGAUUAACAAAUUUAAAUUUUACACAAAAUUUUUAUAUUAAAAAUUAUUAAUUAAUUUUAAAAUCGAUUAGUAAAUUCGUUAAUAUAAUUAUCGGAUGAAAAUAGACCGAGUAACUCAACAGAUUUUUUAAGGAAAAUAUGACGAAACUUAUUACAGAAUUUUUAGGCAAUCGAUUGCCUACUUAGGCGACGUAAGAGCGCUCUUUCAGACAAUCGAUUGCCCACUUAGGCGACGUAAGAGCGUCUUCUCAGACAAUUAAUUGCCCACUUAGACGACGUAAGAGUACCAUUUUAGACAAUUAAUUGCCCAUUUAGGCGACGUAAGAGCUCCUUUAGAUAAUAUAAGAGCACCCCUUAGGCAACGUAAGAACGUUCUUUCAAAAAAUCAAUUGCCCACUUAGACGAUGUAAUAGCGCCCUUUCAGAUAUCAAUUGCUCACUUAAGCUACAUAAGAGCGCACUUAGACGAUGUAAGAGUGCCCUUUUAGGCAAUCAAUUGCCCACUUAAGCGGUAUAAGAGCGUCAUUAGGCGACAUAAGAGCGCCCUCCAGGUGAUAUAAGAACCCCUUCAAGUAAUCAAUUGCUCAUUUAGGUGACGAAAGAGCGCCCUUUCAGGCAAUUAAUUGCUCCCCUUAAGCAAUUUUUACUCCCUCAUCAACAACCGAUUGCCAUGCAGUUUGUUAUGAUGGCAUCAUAGUACCAAAUCUCAUCAAUGCAAGUUGUUAAAGCAGACGGGAAUAUAAGUCAAGUAACAUUUAUUUAAACAUACAAGUUCAUCUAUUAAAACACUUAUAUUUUAGUUAUAUAUUGGUAACUUUAGUCUUCUCAUCUAGAUUAAAAUACACUCAUAAAACAUCAUUAGCACAAAACAAGUAACAAAGAAACUAAAGCCUCCAAAGUCAAAAUACAAGGCGACAAGUUCGUCAAGGGAAAAGUCAAGGCAAUCACCAAAGUGAUAUGUUGCCAAAUUCCCGUAAGGAGGCAAGUUCGUCAAAGAGAAUAAUCUAGUAUCGAACCUAAAGAUUCGACCAUUGUAGGAGGGACUACCGAUAUAGUUAUAUCUCUAUAACAAAAUACAAAAUAAUAUUAAUAAAAUAGAGUCUAAGGGAGAAGAAAGAAAAACUCUAAUAGAGGAAAGCAAGCUCAAUCUUUUAAACCAAUUGCCCCUCUUUCCAUGAAACACCCUUUUUCUCUCUUAUUAUAGAGAAUGAUUGUUGAAAAAUGAGUUGUAGGAGACUUUUAAGGUGACUCCCCUUGUGAAUGAGAAAAAAUGGAAUUUUUAUAGUGUUUUGAUGUUUAACUUAGGGUUUUGGAGUUAAAAUAAGAAGAAAAUGAUAUCUUUAUAGUGUCUCAGGACUAGGCCGUGCGUGUAAGGAGUCUUUCUCUCAACCUAGCGGUGAGAACCACUGUCCAUUUAGGGACAAAAGUAUGUCUCACGAUCAGACCGUGAGAUAUUUUGACCUCAUUCUUCUAUUCAUUGCUCCUCAUAGCCUGUUUGUGAAUUUUUGUUGAUUUUCAUGGCCUAGUCAUGAGAAGUCUUAUCUCUUGAUCUCCAAAAUCUUCAAAAUAAACUCCAAUUUUAUUUAGAAAUAAAGAAAAUUAAUAAAAGUUAGAUAUUUGAAAAUUAAUAUCUAUCAAAUAAAAAUUGUAUAAAAAACAUAAGAAAUAACUAUAGAAUUGUAUUUAAAUGUGGUAAAAAUAAAUAUAAAAAUUAUUAUAUUAAAAAAGUGAAAUAUUAGUUAACUUAAAAUAUAUAUUUUUUAAUUUUGAUUGCCUAGGUUCUUCAGUUUUUGCAUUCAACUGAAUUUAUUUGCAUCUGGGUAUGGAUCUGAAAUUUGUUGUGGACAAGAUAUACAUAUACACACAUAUAAAUAUGGUUACAACAAUGGAGAAUGAUAUUGUAGCAAUGGGAGAUUGAACUGGUAGCACAAUUAUUGGCUUCCAUUAAUACAAUUAGACCAUAUACUGAGAGAAAUCAUCAUCUCAUUUAGAAAGUUUAAUUAAUGUUACAGAUUCUCUUUAUCAAUUAUAAAAAAAUCUGAACGAAUUAAAUAAAACAUUUGUUAGUAUGUAAAUUAAAGAAUGGAUAAUUAAAAAAUCAUAAUCAUAUGAAUUAGGUUCGCCUUCCACAUCGUCGAAAAAAAAAGUCACAAUCAUUGAAAAAAAAAGUUAAUAGUAUUUGAAUUCAAAGGCCACGAUGGUUCAUUGAUAAAAGUCAUUAGCGUAAGUGUAUACAUUCAUAUUCUAGGUGAAAAUCAAGCCAAUAUUCUCCAUUACCUUAAUAAACAAUAAGCAACUUGCUAGUGUUAUAAGAUUUAAUAUUUAAUUUUAAUAAACAAUAAAGUAUUUGAAUUCGAACAUUUCUCUCCAAACCUUGAGUUGAACCUUAAUAAUUUUUUAAACAAAUUUUAACAUGCAGAAAAUAACAGUUUUUAUAGGACUAGUUAUUAUUAAUAUAUUAAAAUAAUUAAUAUUUUUGAGCUAUUAAUAAAAAUUAUAUCUAUUUUCAGACUUCAUUUAAUCUGAUGGUAAAUUCAUUUAAGUAAAUUUAAGAGAUUUCAGAUUCUAUUCCUCUAAUUCUUAUUUAAAAAAAAAAAAUUAUAUCAGAUAUGUGAUUUGUUUUUGAGCUAUUAAUAAAACCCGCAUGCUGCGCAUUAAUAAAAAGAAACUCAUUAAUAAAUUUAUAUGCAUUGCACAAAAUGACAUUGACUGGAGCUGGACACCACAUGCUGCCUAUUCUACGCUCAACGUCAACAUUAUAUAUAUAUAUAUAUAUAUAUUUUAAAGGAUAACGAAGGUCUGAAUGCUAAAGUUACCUACUGUCUUCCAUCAUCCUUCCUACAUCUCCUUCUCUAUCUCUGAUCUUUCACAUUCACACUUUAAUAUAAGAACUGUAUUAUAUAUAUACUUGCAAGAAAUCAUUGGUUGUGGUUGAAUAAGUCUGCAACUUCUGAUGGCUUCACGGUGGGAAGAUCGCCGGAAUGAAACUGGAGGUACUAAUCGUUCUAGCUAAAACUGUUUAAUGAGUUCAAAUAGUAAUAUUGUUAUGGAACUUUCAUUUCAUGUAACUUAUUGAAGCAUGUUGUUUAUUGUAUGGUCACUAAGCACAGAUCCGAAUGAGUCUGAUCCAUUUCCUGAGAAGAGUCCAAGUCAUGCUUAUGCAUCUGAUAAUUCUAAGGUUAUUGGGCCAAAAUCAUAUUCAUACAGUGAAUUAGCACAGGCAACUGGUCAUUUUUCGCUCAAUUACCAAAUUGGUCAAGGUGGUUUUGGUCAAGUUUUUAAGGCAUCCUUAAAUGGUAAGAUCCGUGCUAUCAAGAAACUCAAUAAUUUUGUAGAUGUACAGCCCGAAGGAAAGUUGGAGAACGAGAUUAAGGUCGUUAAUAGAGUCAGUCACAAAAAUCUUGUUAAGCUAGCUGGUUACUGCAUUGAUGGAGCCAACAGAUUGCUUAUUUUAAAGUAUUUUUCCAAUGGGUCCUUGAGAUCUAAAUUACAUGGUGAGUCCCACACCUUUAUUUUAUGUUCAUAUGACUAAUUAAUAUAACAUAAUUAAUCUUAUAAAUUAUAAAUGGUAUUGUAGGAAAUGAAAAUGUUUUGGACUGGAAAAAGAGAAUGAAAAUCGCCAUAGGUUCUGCAAAAGGAUUGCAAUAUUUACAUGAAGACUGUGAGUAUAUAUUAAUAGAAUAUAUUCGUUCUUAGUAGGCUUUUAGGCUUUUUUAGAAUGAAUUUUAAUUUUUUUCUUUAUUUGUGCUAAUAAUUUAUUUCCUCUCAAAGUUUUGUUCUCCUUUUUUAUAUAUAUAUUUUUUCAGGUGAACCUAAAAUCAUACAUUUAGAUGUUAAGGCAGAUAAUAUUCUUCUUGAUGAUAACUUUGAACCUAAGGUAUGUUAUAUAAUUUGAUAAUAAAUAAAAAAAAAAUUUUAUAUCAUCAUAUAAGUAUAGUGUAACCUUGAUCAUUGAAUACCAAAAUUUUUAUUUUUGAAUAAUAUUGAAAAAUAAUGUGAACCCAUUAAUUUGAUUGCUUAGGUUUCAGAUUUUGGACUUUCCCUAUUUUUUUCGGAUGCUGCUUCUCAUGUCUCAAGAUCAUCAAUUAGAGGAACCCAAAUGUAUGUAAGAUACAAAUUUCUUUCUAUCAUUUAAUAACUGUCUAUUGUUUUCAGUGCCAUCAUGAUAUCUUCUCUUAGAGCUCCUUAAUUUAAAGAUAUUAUUUUCUUAUAGGAAAUCUUAAUAUGAACAUUAAUUGUGAAGAUAUUAAGUUGAAUUGUAUGAUUGAAUUGCAGCUAUGCAGAUCCAUUGACAACCCAAUUGGGAAAGCACUCUGAUAAAUCUGAUGUUUAUUCUUUUGGUGUUACACUUUUGGAGUUGAUUAGUGGGAGAAAACCCAUAGAUCAAAAAGGCGUUAGUAUUGUUAUUUGGGUACGAAUCUAUUAAACUUUAACAAUUUAAUAUAAAAUUUGUGUUUUUAGCUUUGAUAUAAGAAUUGAUUUUUAAAAAAAAUGGAUAGAGAAAAUCACAAUUGGAUGUAUUAAGAUAAAAUAAUGAAACUUUCUCUCUAGCAACAUCUAAAAAAAGACAAAAACAUAUGCUAUAUGUUAAAUAUAAAUUUACACGCAACAUGUAUUUAUAUCCAUUAAUAAAUAAUUUUUAAUCAAUAUUUUGCAGGCAAACUCUUUAAUUGAAAAAGCUUUGAAAGGUGAAUAUGGGGAUUUUGUAGAUUCCAGGUUACAAUCCUUUGACCAACCCUUUGAUUACGAAGAAAUGCAUCGAAUUAUUUUUUGUGUUAAUGCUUGCAUAAAUCUACCUCUAGAAUCCCGUCCAUCAAUGAAAAGGGUAAAUUCUGUUCACAUAAUUUAAUUUUGAUAUAUAUAUAUAUAUAUAAAAUACAUGUUAUUUGCAAAAAAAUUUAUGGAAGCAUUUAGAGAUUACACAGUUGACUUGUAAAUCUUUUUAUCAUUGCUAUGCCAUGUAGGUAGCUCUAGCUCUUGAAGGAAUUCUGCCUCUGAAGAAUGACAACAAAUUGUACUCCGGAGUUUCAUAUAAAGGUCUGUUUUCUUAUAAAAAAUGGAAUAACUUUUGCAAAGUAUUAUUAUUUUUUUAGAAGACUUACUAUUUAGUAAAAUUUAUUAGUUAGUAUCUUAAUUUUAAAAAAUAUAUUAAAACUUUCAUGAGACAUUAAAAAGUCUACUAAUUAAUUUUAUCGUUAAUUUUAGUCAUUAAAUAUGAAAAAAAAAUCUAAAAUUAGAGACUAAUUAACUUAAUAUAUAUAAAAUUAAGAUAUCAAUUAAUAAAUUUUAUUGAUAUUAUAGAGACUAAAUAAUAAAAACACUUAAUAUUUAAAGUUAACAAAUGACUAAUUAGUAGAUUUUUUAAUAUUUUAAAAAUAUUUUAAUGAGUUUAAUGAAUUUCAUUAUUAUAUUUGAGGGACUAAAUAAUUAUUUUUUCUUCUCUUUAUAUAUAAAUUUAACUUAAUGAUAAAGUGAGAUCAUUUUAAUGUUAAAAAAACCCCUAAUAUUAGAACAAAAUUUGAUUUUUAUUUAAAUCUGAUUGGCAUAUAAUUCCUUUAUUUAAAAGGAGAUGGAAUGAUAUGAACUUAAUUCAUCUUUUUUUUGAAAAAAAAAAAAAAAAAGUAUCCACCUCUGUUCAUGUAUUUAUAAUUUCUCCCUGUUGAGUUGCACUAAUUUACCCUUCUUUUUCCGGAAGCAGAUAAGCCUAAGCCAAGCCCCAAGCCUUCGUUCAUUCCAGAAACUAAUAGAUCAUCAAAUCAAGUUUACAAACCAAGGAGAUUUACUUAUAAACAACUAAUAAAUAUAACUUAAUGAUAAAGUUGGAUCAUCUUAAUGUUAAAAAAAUCCUAAUAUUGGAAUAAUUUUUAAUUUAUUUAAAUGACAUAUAAUCCUUUAUUUAAAAGGAGGAAGGGAUUUAAUUAAUUCACCUUUUUGUAAAAAAAAUAUAUCCACCUCUGUUCAUGUACUUGAUCCUUUUUUUUUUUUUUCCUGAAGCAGAUGAGGUUAAGCCAAGCCUCAAGCCUCCUAUCAAUCAAGAAACUAAUAAGCCAAGCUCCAAGCCUCCUGUCAUUCAAGAAACUAAUCAAAUCGUUGUACGGAAUGGUCGAAGCACCAGUCGACAACCAACAGAAGCAACUAGUAAUGGUUCCUCCAACAACAUUGGAGAAACUUCAUUUGAAGAGAAGACUCAAGUUUACAAACCGAGGAGAUUUACUUAUUUUGAACUAACAUCUGCGACUCGAGGUUUCGCUAAAAACAACCUUCUUAACGGGGGUCCUUUGGGUAAAGUUUAUAAGAGUAUCCUAAAUUAUGAUGAAACGGUGAUAGUGAAGAAACUCUAUAUAUACAUGUGUGAAGGGAAAGAAGAUGAAUUCAAGAAGAUUAAAGACAUCAGCACUAGUGUCCAUGAUAAAAAUGUUGUUAACCUGAUUGGAUACUGUGAUGAAGGAGACAAAAGGUUGCUCGUUUACGAGUAUUUUCCAGCCAAGUCCUCCUUGAGAUCUCAUUUAGAUGGUAAGCCCUUUAUCUUAAGCAACUCAUCAAUAAAUGUGUGUGUUACUAUAGGAUUUAUGGCUUUAUAAAGAUAAUGUUUAUUAAAUUUUGGAUCAGACCUAACUCAUUCCAAAAAUUAGUUCACUGAGAAGAGUGUCCAAAACCCAUAUAAGUGGCACAUUAUCCCUAUAUCUCAAAUCAUUAUCAGAUUCAACACAAUCUCCAUGUACAGGACUAAAUUGGGGAGUGAAAUAUUUAUGUAAGACUCAAUAUUGAAUGAGAAGACUAUAAACCAUGUUAAGUUUUGGGUAAGUCUAAUUCACCCCAAAAUCUAAUUCUGAAAAUCCUUAUAAGCGGCAUAUUACCUCUAUCCCAAACCAAUGUAGGAUUCAACAAUGUUAAAUGAAAAAUUCUUAUUUGAACCUGGACCUAGAACAUAGAAAAUUGGAUUUCAUUUAAUUUUUUUAUGGAGUAAUCCACUUACAUGUAUUUUUAGUCCAUAAUGAAUCGAGUCCGAAUACCGGCUUUACAUGUUAAAUGGAUACCUCCAACAGUCCUUAAAACAAAAAAAGUUGCAAACGUCAACGGCCAUUACUUCAUUCAAUGGCCCAUUUAAUAGCCAUAUCGAAAGAAGGGAUGAAGGCCAUCAGUUCCAAGUGUGAUGUGAAAAAAUUUCCCUUGAACCCGAGGUCACAGUGAGGUGAGCUGUUGGGAGCUAUGGGUAUUUUUUCCUCCAGAUUUAGAGUAGUUGCUUCAGUGGGAUGACUUAAACAUUGAGUAUGCGAGAGUAAGAUUUAUUAUUAGAAUACUUUAUUUAUGAGAUUUAGAGUGUUAUUUGAUUUAGUGAAAUGACUUAAAUACUGAUUAUAUGUGAGAGUAGUAUUUACUUUGGGGCAUUUUUUCUAAGGGAUUUAGAAGGUUGUUUAUUGCAUUAGGGUGACUUAAAUAGUGGGUAUGUGGGAGUGGUAUUUUCUAUCUGAGAUUGAAAAGAGUGUUCCUUUAGUGAAAGUUGCUUAAACACUUAGUGGUAAUAACAUGAGUCUUCAUAUUUAUAUGAGAGGAAUAUACAAAUAUUAUGGAAAAUAUUAUAGGAAUUACUCAAAUAAUUAUUAUAAUAUUUGUACAUAAUAUUAUUCGCAUAUAGUGAAAAAGUAUUUUAUUGCUAUCUAUAAACGUAGGCUGGCAUUCAGCUAGUCGAACCAAAUUAAAAUUUUGUAUUUUUUAUUUUUUUUACGAUUUCUAGAAAUAAUCCCUAAUUUUUUCCGAACGGAUAAUAUGGCAGGGAAUGGCAGUUUGGAUUGGCCAACCAGAAUGGAGAUCGCUAUACGCAUCGGAAGAGGAUUGGUAAAUCUGCAUGACUUAUGUGAGUCUUCGCUUGUAUGCUUAGGCCUUGGCUAUAUCAAAGCUUGAUUUUUCCAGAUUUUCUCCCUUAAUAUUUGUGAUCUCUAUAUUUCUCAGACAAGCCCUGGAAUAUAUACGAGCAUUAUAAGGAUAAUAGCAUCUUUCUUGAUGAAAAUUUUCAACCAAAGGUGAUUAUAUAUAUGGCAGAUUUAAACAUUUUCGAAUGAUCAAUUAGUAUUAUGUAAAAAAUUUCUUAAGCUUAUUAUUCAAUAUGCAACUAUACUUAACUGUAAAUAUAUGGUGCAAUAAAUUUACUUUGAUUAUCAUUUUAAUCAGUUUGCAGAGUAUAAACGUGACAAAUUUUUCUCAAAAGAUUCUGGAAAUUCUAUUCCUAGAAGGUAAAGAUGAAACUUUUGUUUAUGUUUUCUCUUCGUCAUAUUGUUUGCUCAAGCUUAUAGAUACAUGAUCAAUUCUCCAACUGCAGUUCUAUGUCUUCAAGAUAUGUAAAGCUAGAUGUUUAUUUCUUUGGUGUAAUUCUUUUGGAGAUGAUUACUGGGAAAUUACCUGAUCUUCGUUCCUAUGAUUCCUUCAACUUAAUUGAAUGGGUACGUAUUAAUUUUUUUGUUUUAAUACAAAUGAAAAGAGCUUCUUGAUUUGAGUAUGUAAGGGUUUAUUUAUUUAUUAUUCUUAACGUUCAGGCUGUUCCUACAAUUCAAAAUGAUUGGCCCCAAGGCAACUAUAAGUUUGUUGAUGAAAAAUUGGGGAGAAACUUUGACGAGGAUGAAAUGGAUAGAAUGAUAGAAUGUACUUUAGCAUGUGUAGAGCGUUAUCCACAAAAUCGACCAGAAAUGAGCAAGGUAAUUUCAUAAAGCUUUACAUUCUAUUUUAUAUUAUGCAUAUAUACAUGUGAGUUCGUUUUUUAAACGAUUCAAUCGAUAUAUUUUAGUAUUUAGAUAAUAAUAUUUUUAUUACGAUCGUAAAAUUAUUAUCUUAAUGGCUAAGAUAAUAAUUUAAAAUUAUUAUAAAAAAAUUCAUUCGAUAAAAUUAUAAUUUUAAUUAAAAAAAUAAUUAAAUUAUUACUUUAUUUUUAACAACAAUGUAAAUAUAAUAGUUGUUAAACUGUUAUUAUUAAUUUAUAAUUAUUUUUAAAUAUAUAAAACAAUAAUUUAUAAUUAUUGUAUUAAAUUUAUUUUUCUAAUAGUAAUUAUAAUAAACUAAUAACAUUCAUGUGUUGGAAUCAUACUCUAAUUUUGGGAAGAAAAAAAAACUCAAUUGCUAAAAGUUAAAUUUUGUAAGAAUUAUUGAUGAAGUUAUUUUAUUCCAUUUAUUAGCAGAUCAGUACUCUUUUGUUUCCCUUUUUCUAAUUACUUUUCUCGGUAAAGCAGGUUGUUGAAGUUCUAGCAGGAAACAUUCCUCGGAAAAAUCUCAAGAAUUGAGAUGAAAUGUUUGAAAAAGAAAAUUAUUUUUUUCCUUUUCAAUAGAAGUUGGAAACUUCCUUGAAAGGCCGAUUGGACAUUGAAAUAAAAGAUAGACCUCAGUUGAAAUGGCAAAGGAGUGUAACUGGAAGACUUUCUGAAUUUUGCUUGUAUUGAUGUGUCUUGGAGACUAUUGCAAUUUAAAAAAAAAAAAAAAAGUUCCGUUUGAAAUAAAUCGAAUGUAAAAAAGUGAUUUAGCUUAGAGUAAUUUUUUUAAUUAACUCUUUUUAGUUAAUAAAAUUAAAAUUUUAGUUAUUAUGUUUCUAAAUAUACAAAUUAAAUUAAAUUCUUCUAAAUUUUUAGUUUUCAAACAGGAAAAUAAAAGGUUUUGGAAGGUUUGAAUCCAAAUAAGAACCUUGAGAGAAUUAUAUCACCACCGCCAAAUUGCUGGACUAUCUACAGUAGCAUUUCUUUUUCAAAACAAUUGAAAAUGAGGUUACUUCUUAUUAUUAAUUUAAUUCCAAUAACUUAUCAUAUUUGUCGUUAUUAUCCAUAUUAAACAAUGACCAAGAUUUUAAAAUGACUCUCUCUAAUUUAAUUCUAAUAUUAAAAAUGACCAAAUUUAUUAUCUAUAUUAAACAAUGACCCUAAGAUCAAACUAACAACUUUGUAGUUUCUUCAUUUAUUAAUAUGCAAGUGGGACAUAAAAAAAUCAUUAGUUAAUUAAUUUAGUACGUCCUAUUUUAUAAUACACUGACCAAUCUGAAAGCUGAUUGGCCCCCACAAAUGGAUUAAUUAAUAAUUCAACCUUCUUAAUUAAUGCCGCCUUCACUGACAGCCUGGGUACUGUUCAGAAACUAACAAUAUAGUAAUCUUAGAUUGCACCGACUCUGCAUAAUUUGUAUUUUUUUAAUACUCCCUACUUUGAAACUUUAAUUUUCGCUAUCAGUCCUCAUUCAAUCUAUUCGAUUUUAAAAAUUAAAUCCAUCGAAAAUUAAAAUUUAAAUAUUUUUAAAAAUUUUAUUUUAAAAAAAAAAUAUAUUUUUCAAAGUUAAAUUAAAUUAAUUUUAAUUAAAAAUUAAAUUAAAUUGAAUUCAUUUAAUUUAAUUUUAUUCAAUUCAAUUUCAUCAGUUAAAUUUUUAAUAAUUUUUAUUUUUUAUAUUUUAAAAUUUAAUUAAAUUAUUUUUAUUUUAAUAUAAUUUAAUAUAUUUAUAUUAUUAAAAAUAAUAUAUUAUUAUCCUUAAUCGGUUCAGUUUAAUUUUUUUUUAUUUUUUUUAUUAAAAUUAAACUGAAUUGAAAUAAUUAAAAUUUUUAAAAUUAAAAAUUAAAUCAAAUCAAAAUAAAUAAAAAAUUAAAUUAAUUAAUUUUUUCCAUUUAAGCUGCAUGCGAAUCACUAUCAUCUUUGCCAUGCUGUCAAAAUUAGAUAACAUAUGUUUUUAUUAAAAAAAUAUUAUGCCCAUGUAAAACAUAUAGGUUAAAUAUAUAUUUAUAUAUUUAUAUUUUAAUAUUAUAUACAAAACGAUACAAGAAUAUAUAUAUAUAUAUAUGACUGACUCUCUCUCUCCUUGGCUUUUCAUUUCCUACCUUGACUGACUCUCUCUCUCUCUCUCUCAUCGUAACCUUGUGGGCAGCCAUGGCUGGGUCUUACUUUCGCUGGUUCAAGAAUAACGAAGGAAACGCCAAUGACCAAAACAGAGGAGGUAUAUCUUUGCUUAUACUGUAAGAUAAAUCCAACUCUGUUGGAAUUUCUUACCUUCUAAUAUCUAUAUUAAUAUAUAAAAAUCCAAAUCACUGUAUCAUGAUCAUAUAUGAUUAGAUUUGUUUGUUAUGUUAUAGACCUAUUUUUCUU